rnacentral:lncRNA from 1 species
AAGUAUUAAGGUAAACCUAACCAUAGCAUGAAACAUUGACACGGCACAUUAUAAAGAGUUCAAUCCAAAUUUUAUAGUAACACUAUUAUAUUUAAAUAGUGAUUAUUCUAACACAUGGAUAAUUAAUUAAGGCACCAGGUUGCGCUUGUGACCAGGAAAGACAAACUUAUGAACUUGCAAGCAUGGUAAUCAGAUCGACAUCCACACAAUGUCAAUAUGAACAUUGUCUUGAUACAACUUUAUUUGUAUUUUAUUUCAGAAUUUAAACAACUAGUUUGGGCGGGUCACACACGACGUUGUGUGACACUUUAUUUGUCACCGCUGCAUCGACAUAUCCAUCGACUAAACAACGGUGAUCCAACUAUAUAUUACUAGAGACCUUUCCUUAUCAGUAGGCACCAACUCCGGUGCCAACGCUGAAUGGCACACUAGUGGUGGUUCUAUACAAGGGCACAUUGACACGGCACAUCGUUGGCAGGGUACGGAGCGCAAUGGAAGUCAUCACCUCAAGCUGAGCUAUCUGGUGUGGAUGCAAAAAGGUACCCUGUGCCAAUUGUUGUUGUUGAGGUUGUUGCCCGAGUUGCUGCUGCGACUGCUGUUGGGGUUGGGAAACGCAUUGGCCCAACUAUUGCGGUUGCUGCUGCUGAGUUUGGAUGGAACCCUGAACCUGUUGUUGUUCUUGCAGGACGAUGGAGUAGAUGAUAGCACGGAUUGCCUCAUAGCGGGAUUGCUGGGGGAUUUGCGGCAACUGCUGGCAACAUUGUUGUUGCAUCACAUGGCAACUGCUCUGCUGCAACAUUUGCGACCUAGCAAGACUUUGUGGCAUUGCCACAGGGCUGCAUUGCUGCUGGAGGAAUACCUUGCAUGGGUUUAGUUGCUGCAAGAUAGAUGGAUGAACAAAUGGUAUUUGUUGUUGCGGUAGAACUGAUUGUUGUUGUUGCGAAAAUGGUGGUUGUUGCGGUAGUACUGGUUGUUGUUGUUGCGAAAAUGGUGGUUGUUGCUGUGAAAAUGGUGGUAGUUGUUGCUGCGAAAAUGAUGGUUGUUGCGGUAGAACUGGUUGUUGUUGCUGCAAAAAUGGUGGUUGUUGCUAUGAAAAUGGUGGUUGUUGCGAUAGAACUGGUUGUUGUUGCUGUGAAAAUGGUGGUUGUUGCUGUGAAAAUGGUGGUUGUUGUUGCUGUGAAUAUGGUGGUUGUUGUUGCUGCGAAAAUGGUGGUUGUUGUUGCUGCGAUAAUGGUGGUUGUUGUUGUUGCUGUGAACAUGGUUGCUGUUGUGGAAAUGGUUGUGGUUGUUGUUGGAUAGGUUGUUCUUGUUGUUGGUGCCAUAAUGUUUGUUGUGGUGGUAAUGGUUGUUGCUGCGAUGGUCUCUCCAAACCAGGGAUGUGGCUAUUCUCCAUUUGUGCAAUGGCACUUGUCGCCGCAACGGCGAGGAGGGCAAAGAUGAGGAAGGUCUUCAUGGUGGAUUGGUGUUAACUAGUGUUGCUUGGUUUUGAUGCUUGUGCUUGUGACGAUCUUUAUACUUCAUGCCUAUUUAUAGUAGCCCGGGCACCACCUUUUUCUUCUUUGCAUUAGCUUUAAUAAUUUUGUUUGGAUGCAAAAAUGAUUUUUGGUACAAUGUGUUAGGUUGCACUAGCUACACGCGUACUUUUGGAUUGAUCAUCAAAGUUGCUUUUUAGUUGUGCAUAUGAUCACACAUAAAGUACAGAAACCUUGAUGUUUGGUAUAUAUGACUCACCUUAUUCACUUUACAUGUCACACACUUAUCUGGAUAGUAUCACUUUUGCAACCGAGUUUGGAACCUUGUAUAGGCUGUCAUCCAUAAACAAGAAAGGCAAAACUUGUGUAGGACUAAGUGUAGAACUAACUUUGUAUUUUUCCUCUAAAAUGAUUAGAUGAACCGACGCCUAUAGAGCAUGACAUGACUCAUCGAAUUCCCUUUACAUGUAAAGGAUGGUAAUUGCUUACAAGCUACUCCUACUAGCAUAUAUCCGGUCCUAACUCUUGACACGUCAUCAUCAGUUUCGCCUAUUUUUUUAGAUAAAUCAUCAGUUUCAUCUAUUUGUGAAGGGUUUUUUUGGGGGAAAUGAUAGUUUUUUUAUGCUAGGGGGAUUUUUUUGGGGGGGGGGGAUGACGCUAGGGGGAAAUGAUAGAUGGGGCUGGAACAGAGGCCCCCAGCCUGGAGCGAGAGAUUAGGCCCAACAUAAGUGCCGUGUGUUAGGGCACCAAUUCGAUUUGGGCUAUAGUUCUCGUAGGCCCCAACGACACAAGCCCAGCCCACACUCCGCGGAUCUGCGUCCCUCCCUUCCUCGUCCUCCUCGCCGGCCGGACCGCUCGCCGUCGCAGCCUCUCCCGGACGCCCACCGCUCGCGGCCCCUCCACGUACCUCCGCGGCAGCGGAGACGUCAGCCUCCCUCCCACCCUCAACAUCCGGCCCCCCACCACCACCACCACCGCUCGACAAAAAAGGUCACUUUUGAAGCUCCUCCGUCGAUUGUGGGCCGUACGUCGACGGCAGCCACUCCGACCUCCCCAUCAACACAAGGUAUCGAUUUGUUUCGUCUGUCUCUUCCAACGAUUCAAUGCACAUAAAUCCGAGAGGCAGACCCAUCUCCAUGCUAGCUGCACGGAUUAGGAGGGUCAGGCAUCAGAAUUCAGCUGGGAAGCCUGACAGUAAUGUACAUUUGUGGCUUUAGUAGCUGAAUAUAACUAUGUGCUUUCUGAGAAUUUCACUUCAAAAGUUCCAAUAAUCAUCAAAUUUCCCCCUAUGCGCGCUAAGCAGGUGGACCAUAUAUUUCUCAUGUCGACGAACGAAAAAACAAAACUCCACAACUAGAAGUCUAUGAUAUUGACACGGAACCGUGCUGUAGGGUCGCAAGUAAAAAUAUGAAAAGCAUGCCUAAUAAGCGAGAUGACGCAGUUCCUGACCGCCCCGCUACGACUAUUGGUUCCAGCGUGGCGUUUGAAUUAUGCCGCGCUAGAUGUCUUUUGUCCGGCGAGGAACAAGUGGGGUCAAGCGUGCUUCGGCAAUUCCCGCCGUCAGAAGACUUCCUUGUAGUCCGGUGUAGAGGUGAGGUUGUGGGGAGAUACAUCGACUAGCACUACUAGGGAAAAGGCUAGCAGCAGCGCGGGUUUUAGAUGUAUCAGUAGUGCGGGUACCCGCGCUACUAAUACGGCGCUACAGCUAACUCAUAGCAGUAACGCGUGAGCACCCGCGCUACUGCUACACAAGUGUAGCAGCAGCGCGGUUAUGAGAAGCUCGCUACCGCUAGUAGCGCUAGCGCUCUUUGGCCGGACGCUCUACUGCUAUUGAGGCGCUGCUGCUAACUUUUGUACACUCGCUACUGGUAAUUUAAGUAGUUUUUUGGCAUAUUUGUUUUGUAUUUGAACCGGCUUUGUAGAAGAAUCUUUAGCACAUAGAAAUGUCAUCAUGAUACACAUACAAAUGCCUGCGAGACCACAAAUGUAAUCAUAGCAUGUACAUACAAAUAGUCUCUUCAUAAUCAUCAUCCAACACAAAGUGAUAUCUUGUCAUCAUCUCGAAAAUAGCAAUACAUGCAAGUCUCGAAUACUUGCAACUACAACAACGUCAUCCAUCUAAACAAAGGUAUACGCAAGAAGUGCUAUCACUAUGAGUGAGAGCGGAACCAUGCAGUACAUGAGGUGGCGGUUAUGAGUCCUCUCUUGCGCUAGCGUGAACCUCAAGUAACUAGCUUCUCCUUCUUGUCUGCUUUUGAAGCCUUUAUGGCUGGCGCCCGUGAACCCAUUCACUUGCGCCUGACACUCAUGCCACUCGUUGUACACCCCCGGAACCUUCCCUUUGUACACGACAUAGCAUUUCCAUCUCGCCAUCAAGAAACUAGGUACCUGUUAGAGAUGCAUGUUCAUGAAGAGGAUGUACAAUCAUAUAUAUGCAACAAAAUAUACUAGAGCAACACUAAGAAAGAAAGGUUAGCAACUAGAUGCAACAUAUACAUUACGCAAAUUAAUUAACUAGAGGUACGCAGGUCAUCGUACGCAAACUAACAAAGUAGCGUUACGCAAGUUUGGCAGGGACCAUGGACAUCACAAAGUUUCAUCGCUACAAAAAGUAUACAAGUUCAACCGACACAUAUCAUCAUCAUCGGCAUCAUAAAUCACUAGAAGUUCCAUCCUUCCAUAUCAUCGAGGACGAACCCUAGCUGCUUGAACGGCGUGAGGUCUAGACGUUGCAUGCCUAUGCGAGUUCGGACGUCAGCUCGCGAUAUAGGGCCGUGGUGGAACAUCCCCUUCUCAUCGACGACUUCUUUCAUGAUGAUCAUCGCAAUGUCGCUUUGGAUGCGAAAGAAGUCAUCUCUAAGUUUAUAAUUCGCUUCUCCAUGAGAUUCUAGCCACUUGUGGAUAUGAUCAUCAUUUCUGCUGUUAAUGCGAAGCUUUUGGUGAUCCGUGUUGAACUGAAUCAUGAGAUGGACGAUGUAGAAUCCAUCCUUCUUGCUUGGUUUUGGGACGUGGAUGCAGGAGAAGUUAGUUUUAUGCGCGAAACCCAUCUUCUUGUUCCUUUGUUUCCUGAUAUGCACGUGGCCACCUCUAAAGUUGAAGCCUUGGAGAGCAUCAUCUAGAAUAUUCAUUAUGUGGGUGUAGUCCUUUUUCUCGUAGUCUCUAGAAGGGUCAAAAUACACGGCGUGGGAGACUUGCGGGUAAAGAAUGAUAAGGACGGCGCGCCCGUUGCUGCGGGGAAAAGACACCUCAAAUUAUUCCCCAUAUGAGAGAGAAGGAAUGAUUGAAAUGUACGAAAGGGUUGUCCGGAACUGACUUACUUUGGAUGAUAAGGCACGAGGACAAUUUCCCGGUCCUUAUUCUGUACCAUGAAGUUUUGGAGGUACUCCCUAGCAGUUUCACGCUCAAAGUCGCCGAGACUCAAGAAAGACUCGUGCAUGUAGUACGGAUCCGCCACACAGAUUUGCGAGACUUCUUCACUCUUCACGACGGAGCUCAUAUGUAGCGCAAAAAGGCGGACGAUAGUAAAAUCAAGCCGCCUUGUUAGAAACAUCUCAAAGAUAUGGUCAAACCGCAGGAAGAACACCUCCGUGGGCCGUGUGUCGACGUAGCACUUCCCCUCAGGCACACGAGCUGCGUAUGUCGGAUAUCCUGGAUCCUUUGAGGCUAGUAGGCUUUUCUCAGUCGACAGCACGUGGUCGUGCAGUCUCCUGAGAUUCCCUGAUAGUGCCUCCAGCGGUUUCGGCGGUAGCAUCGGCUCGCCCGUGAGAUGGAACAUGACCGCACCUUUCACGGGUACACGCUCUUCAGAAUGCAUCGUCUGGCUGCUGUGUGCUCUGGCUUGUUUGGAGGCAGUUACCUUCCCCAAUCUCUUCCUCUCCUUUUUCUUGGGCACACCUUCCAGACCCUUCCUUAACCCCUGCCCAAGUGUUCCCGGGCUAAGUAUUGUACGACCCUCACGCCCGGCUAGUUGAGCCUGUGUUGAGGCGGCAUCUUCAGGCGUGUCCUGUGAGGAUUUCAUGAAGAGAGACUUUUUGCAUUCCAUGGUACGGCCCUGCCCGGGCAUAUCAUCCAUAUCCUCAUUAGCAAGCUGAUAGCCCGAUUCGUCAUAUGGUUGACUCAUCAUAUCUAUGUCACAGUCAUACGCGUUUGUAUUGAGGUAAUCCAUCGGGUCGACCUCCGUCUCAUCAUCCAUUCUCUGUUCUACAGGAGAAAUUACAUCAGCCAGUACUAUUGCACCCCCUUCAUCAUGUCGUCCGCCGCUCUCACACGGCACUACUACAGGAGCUGGUAAUUGCGUAGGUGGGGUGGUGGUCUCCGCACAUGCUUGCUGAUGUGUGGUAGUUAUUGGUGUGCUCUCGGCCGGCUCCAGACGAAUAAGAUUCUUCGGCCAUAGCAGCACCCAACCCUUGCAGCGUCCAAUCCGCGGCGGGGUCUCGUCGUCCGCUCCCACCUGCUGUACUGGAGGAGGCAAAUCCUCGUGCCCCGAUUUCACACUGGUCAAGCUAACCCUGAAGUGCCCAGCGGGGAUCGGCUGGUUGUGGAAUGUGCGUUGAGAGGGGUCCAUUAUCAUCCCCUUUCCCACGUCCACCUUCUGGCCUUUGAUCAAGUAGAGUAUGGUGCAUGGGGUUUCUUUCGCCUGCAAACACAUAUGUCUGUGGUGUAAAACAACCGAAAGGCAACAAAAAUGGAAUAUUAUAUAUAUAUAUAUGUUGGUGCGACAUGUAAUUACCGUGACGGCGUCGAGCUCAGCCAAAGACGAAGGCCCACCUAGCGCGCCUGAGACUGAGGACGGGCUGCUAUGAGCUGGAGCGGCUGCGAGAGGAGGCCCGGUUGCUUGAGCAAGUGAUGGUGCGAUGGUGUUGUUCAUGGAGUUGCUCGCGACGAAACUGGGCAUUGGGAAAUCAUGUACCGUCUUGUCUGGAUUUUCCUUCGCCCAGUUGAUGAUAACUGGAACCAAGUUAGUAGCGAAAUCAUUUCUGCAGGCAUUUACAGCUGCAUUGACUGCCUGCUGUAGCAACUCAUAUUUGUCCUUGGCUGCUUUUUUCGCGUCCUCGGCUGCUUUUUUCUCGACCGCAAGCUUCACCUUUGCGUCGAUGUCCGCCUAACUAAACUUCUUUUUCUGCUUCUUGGCCUCCGGGCCGUCGUUGUAAAACACCUUCCACGUGGCGCCGUCUCCAGCGCCGUGCACACGACCAUAUUGCGGCCGCUGGUCCAACGGGAGUCCCUUAAGUUCGUUCAAGGCCCAGUUGAGAGGUGUGUCCCACUUGGGCCUCAUCGGAGAAGUAGGGCUUUCGGCUGCAAGCCGGUGUUGCUUCUCCAGUAGUCUAAUCAAUUUCCUCGUGAUCUUGUCCGUGUAAAAAACCUUUUUCUCCUUGUCCCACUUGUAGCGGGCCCUGAUGAAGUCAUGCUCCAAGGGGUUGGUGAACUUCGCGAAGGGGUCUGGGAGACCCGCGGCUUCACGUUCCGCGUCCUCCUUAUCCCAUAUGGGCCUUUUACCGAGGUAGCCACGGCUUCCGAGGCGAUGCUUCCCCAUGUUCCGGAGCUGAAGGCUUUUGAAUUUCGCAGCCUUAGCCUUGGCUGCCUUGGUAGCGCAAGUGUCCUUGAACUUUUCGAACUCCUCUUCCGUAAGUGUCGGAUUUUCCUCCAGAAUCUUGGACAGGGGUUCAUCAGCCUCAAUAGCUCGUUUCACCCUCCCUUUCCAGGAGGCCAAAUCAUUGCUGAACAUGCCCAUGGCGUGAUUGUUAAUCUUUUUCAUCUUCGGAUCAUCCCACGGUUGUUCUAUGUUAUCAUCCCGGUCGGGGAACUUGAAUCUCUUCUGCAACUUCGUUAGGAGCAACUGCGUCAAAUGUUCUUUACUCCUUAAGUCAUCAUCGUUGAUGCUCGCGCAUUCCCGUAGGAUGCAUCCUACUUGGUUCCCAUAGCACUUGCGAGGUUCUUCCGGCUCUAACGGCUCAAACUUUCCAGGUGCCAUCUUUGUGAUCACAAGUCGUCCAAUCCCUAGUUUGUUAGGUUUUCGUAUCCUCUGCUUCUUAUGCUUCCUCUUUUCGGUAUCGGCAUCGGGGCCGGUACCUUCCCCGCCGGUCUCGGCGCCGCCAUCGGUGCCGGCGCCGUCGGUGCCGGCACCGUAGGUGUCGAUGUCGGCGUCAGUACCAUCAUCGAGGCCGACCUGCAAACCUUGCUUAGCAGUCAAAUAGUCGAGGUACUCUUGUUCACCCUCAUAAUCCAUCUCGUCUGCAUCUUGGUCAGAAGGCCCAGUUUCUUCGUUGUUCGACAUGUUUCCUAUGAUUAAGUGGCCUCAUUUAUUUCUAAAAGUAUGAAUAAAUGAGAAAUGACAUAAAAAGAAAUCUAUGUGCCAACACUCGAUAUGCCAACUAUGUAGCACAAAUCAUGCCUUUAUUCACGGGAAAUUUCGGCAUGACCUUUGCUAAAAAAUGGACAUAUCGAGCGCCUGAAAUUCACCGAAACGGAAAUGAAUCAACAUUCCUGCGCAACAUAGGCCACUCGGAUCAUUUUCCAAACAUGACAUGUCCAAAACAUGACAUAUGCACAUAUCACAUGUCCAGUUCAAAUUUCCAUAUAAAUUCAGCUAAUUCAUAACUAAAUAGAUAACCUAAUUAAUUAACAUGAAGANNNNNNNNNNNNNNNNNNNNNNNNNNNNNNNNNNNNNNNNNNNNNNNNNNNNNNNNNNNNNNNNNNNNNNNNNNNNNNNNNNNNNNNNNNNNNNNNNNNNNNNNNNNNNNNNNNNNNNNNNNNNNNNNNNNNNNNNNNNNNNNNNNNNNNNNNNNNNNNNNNNNNNNNNNNNNNNNNNNNNNNNNNNNNNNNNNNNNNNNNNNNNNNNNNNNNNNNNNNNNNNNNNNNNNNNNNGGGGGCGAGCGACAUGGUCGGGGGCGAGCACGCCGGAGUCGGGGUCGAGAGCGGGACAGGGGCGAGCGCCGGGGCUGGCACCGGCGCCGGCAGGGUCGGGGGCGAGCGCCGGGGCCGGGUCGGGCACGGCGGAGCGACGGGGGCCGGAGAGAGAGUGGGGAUUUGGGGGGAAAUGGCGGGAUGAAGCUGGGCGAGUGCGAAUUUUGGGUUAAGUGGACGUAGCAGUAGCGGGUUAUGUCAAAACGCGCUGCUACUAUAUUCUGUAGCGGCAGCGGUUUAUGAGAAACACGCUACUACUAUGGUGCGUAGCUGCAGCGCUUUAUGGGAAACUCGCUACUACUAUGGUGCGUAGCGGCAGCGGUUUAUGAGAAACACGCUACUACUAAGAUCUAGCAGCAGCGGUUUUGUGGAAACGCGCUGCUACUGCCGUCGCUACUGCCAGGUUUCCUUUUUCUUUUCCUUUAUUUUAUCCCACUUUUAUUUCCCGAGGGCAAUGAACGAAGGGAGGGCGAUAUAUAUUGCAUCAUUUGACGGUUAAAUAUGUAUGCAAAAUAGGAACAUAUAUAUUACACAUCAUUGGACCCAUGCAUAAUAAUGACUAAGUGUGUAUACAAAUUAAAUAGGAACAUAUAUAUAUUACACAUCAUUGGACCCAUAACAUACGUUUCCUCAGUGCUGACGUUUUCGUUUUUGAGUCAGCUUCUUUCCCUUCUUGUUCGUCGAAGAAUAAUUGAGCCCCUCAUUGUGACUUUGCCUUUUCCAUGGAGUACGAUUUUUCUUAGGUAAUGUAGUAUUGAUUCUUCUUUUGACGUAUACUUCAUCAUCAUCAUCAUCUUCCCUCAUUGGGUUGCUGUACUGAUCAUAGUCUUCCUCGUUGGCGACUCCAUCCAUUCCAAUGAUGUUCCUUUUGCCUCUCCUCACGACAACACGGCUGGGAUUGCGCGGGUCAGUUAUGAAGAAACAUUGUGUCACGUGCUUAGCGUGUACCCAUGGCUCGUUUUUUGCGAUAGCGUUCAUGGUAGCGCUCUUGGCGUCGGGUAUAGUCAUGGUAGUGAACAUCCGGCUUUCUCUUUCGACAUUCUUAGCCCAUCUGACACGGAACAUCAUCGUGCUGUGCAGUCCAGAGUAGUCAAGCUCCCAGAUCUCCUCGACCCUUCCAUAAAAUCGUUCAGUUGUGCCGUUGUCGCUGCCGGUCAUGCAUUCCAUCGUCACCCCUGAGUUCUGAUCAUCACUGUCCAUAUCUUUUGCCUCUGUGUAGAAUGUGUAUCCGUUGAUAUCAUAUGCCUGAUAGGUUACGAGGUUGGGCGAGGGGCCAUGUGCUAAGGCGUAUAUGAGCAAUCCGUCCUUAGAGCCCUCCUCCGGUGGAUUAGCAAUAAUAUGCUCUUUGAACCAAUGCAGGAAAGUGGAGUUGUGCUCUCUAGUAACUUCGGCGUCCGUCCUGCAUACCCCCCGGUCACGAUACUUCUUUGUGAUAAUUUCUUUGUGCAGUGCCACGAAAGGAUCUACCUCGUCUAGGUGUUGUAGCACUACCAAGUUUGCUCUGUCAAAGUCGCUGCGUCGAUCUGAGUAUGCCACGUGCAGUUCCCUGCGACCGUUGCAGUGACCAUCUCCUUUGAGCCUCCCAUCGUGCUUGUUAACGGGCAAACCAACACUAACACCAGGCGGCUGGUCUGCGCCAUAUAAAAAAUUCUCACAGAAAGAGAUGCACUCUUGUGCCAAAUAGCCCUGGACGAUGCUUCCAUCCGGACGGGACAUGUUACGAACGAAUCCUUUGAUGAUCCCAUUCAUCCACUCAAACGGGAUCAUGUUGUGCAGGAAUGACGGCCCCAGGUCUAUUAUGUCAUCCACAAUAUGGACACACAGAUGCACCAUCACGUCGAAGAACGCGGGCGGGAAGUACAUCUCAAGCUCAUUCAGUAUCACAACGAUCUCUUCCUGUAGCCUUUGGAGCUGCUUCACACUGAUCGACUUUCGAGAGAUGACAUCGAAAAAGUUGCAGAGACCAAUAAGCGUGUCACGGACGUGCUUGUCCAUUAUCCCUCUAAGGGCAACAGGUAGUAUCUGCGUCAUCAUCACAUGACAGUCAUGAGACUUCAUCCCGCUGAACCUUUUCUUGUCCGUGUCUAGAUAUCUGCUUAUCUUGCCACAGUAACCGGAACUAACUUUCACUCCGGUAAGGCACUUAAAGAAUUGAUUGAUCUCAGCCUGACUUAAGGUGAAGCAAGAGGGGGGGCAAUAAUCUUCUUUCUUUAAUUUCUUGCCCUUCUUCUCCCGUGCCUCUGUCUUCGUCUCUGUCUCGUCUGACAUUUUACGGGGCGGCAUCUGCAGAUCUUCCCUGAUUUUCAAAUCUUGCAAGUCUUUUCUUGCCUUCGGCCCAUCCUUGGUCUUAUCCGGCAUGUUCAUCAGUGUUGCGAGCAAGCUCUCAAGGACAUUCUUACAGAUAUGCAUUUGAUCAAGGCAAUGAGGUGUAUCGAGUUUGUGCCAGUACUCCAAGUCCCAGAACACGACCUCGUCUUCCAUACCUUCAGCAGCGGCUCCGGCGCCUUUCUCAUCGUCUUUCCCGGCGCGGGGCACUCAUUCCAGUUUUUCAAUAGCUCAUCGAUUUCGGCACCGCUCCGCUUACGUGGAGGUCCUCGAUGCUCAGCGUGACCAUUGAAUAGAUCUCCACGGUUUCUCCACGGGUCGUCCUGUUCAAGCCAUCUUCGAUGCCCCAUGUACAUGAUUUUCGCAGACCCGCCAUCUUUCCUUGACGUUAGCUGCUGAGACGUUGUAUCAUCCAUGCACCGCGUGCAUCCGCAAUAUCCAUGGCACACCUGGCCUGCCACAUAUCCGUAACCGAGAUAGUCCUGCACUGUCGUGAUCAGCGCGGCUCUCAUGUUGAAAUACUCACCUUUGCUGGCGUCCCAUGUCUUGGCCGGUGUUUUCCAUAACGUGUCUAACUCCUCUUGAAGUAGCCCCAGAUACAAAUUAAUAUUAUUUCCUGGUUGUUUCGGCCCUUGAAUAAGCAUGCUCAUGUGAAUGUACUUCGAUUUCAUACACAACCAGGGGGGGAGGUUGUACAUCCAUACAAACACGGGCCAUGUACUAUGGUUGGUGUUCUAGUUGCCAAAUGGAUUCAUGCCAUCGGUACACGCGCCGAGCACGAUGUUCCUUGCAUCACAUUCAAAAUACCGUUAGAAGCUGUUCAACGCUCUCCACUGGCUUCCAUCCUUCACGUGUCUCAGCUUCGGAUCAUCUCCAUCGUCGGGCUUCUUCCUCUCCGCGUGCCAGCGCAUUAGCUUUGCUUCCUUGGGAUCUACAAAAUACCUCUGAAGACGGGGAGUGAUCGGUAAGUACCAUACAACUUUCUGGGGACAUUUCUUCCCGGCCUUCUUGUAUCGAGAAGCAUUGCACACCGGACAGCUUGUUUUUUCCGCGUGCUCCUUCCGAUAAAUUAUGCAAUCGUUGAUGCAUGCAUGGUAUCUAACGUGUGGCAGAUCAAGAGGGCACACGAUCUUCUUGGCCUCAUCAACACUAGUAGGACAUAGAUUACCCGCGGGAAGAAUAUCCUUUAGGUACUUGAGAUGGUCAUCGAGGCUAGUGUCGGUCCAUUUGUUUUUAGCCUUCGUCUUCAGGAGUUGGAGCGUGAAACUCAACCGGGUCACCUCAGGAUUGCAACCAUCAUACAAUGGAGUGUUCGAGUCUACCACCAGUUGCUCCAGCUUAGCCUCCUCUCUAGAAGCAGCUCUCUCAGUACUCGUCUCCUUGCGAAGCAAUGCUUGAACAUGAGGGUCCCGCACAAUUGAACUUAGUACCGACGAACUCUGCUGCGUGGAGUCCAUGUCGUUCUCUCCGCCGCCAUGUCCGGCCCCUUCUCCUCCGCCAUGUCCGGCCACUUCUCCGCUGCCAUGUCCGGCCUCUUCCCCGCCGCCAUUAUCGAUCAUCUCUUCGUCUUGCCCCGUGUCAUCAUUGCCUGCCCCGUCGGCAUCCUCAACAUCUUCAUCCUCAUCUUCAAUUAUCCACCGAGUAUAGCCAUCCAUGAAACCAGUCAUGAGCAGGUGCGCUUCGACACGACCAUCGUCAUGGGGGUCGAGCCAAACUAUUCCUUUGCAUUUUCAACACGGACAUAAAACCUCUGUCCGGUUAUUUUCUUUCAUGUCUUGCACCGCCGACCGCAACCACCUGUCCACCAUUGUUCCACUGACCAUCGUCAACUCUGCACGGUAAUAAUAAAAAAAUUGAUUGUAAAAAUGCAUGCAUGCAUCAAAGUCAUAAAAAAAUUUGGCAUGACCUUCCCUAAAAAUAGGACAUAUAUGGAUCUAGAGUUUGCCCGAAAUUCGCCGAAACGAAAAUAAAUCGACAUUUCGGCAAAACAUAGGCAACUCAAAAGCACAAUUUGGCGGCGUCAACUCAUGCCACAGACACAAUUUCCACAAACAUAUCACACAUACACAUAAACACAUUUCCAUUUUGCAAAAGCAUGAAAUUUUCAUCACCUCUAUCUCGAUGGCCGGAGAUGAUGUUGUAGGGAGAUCAAAAGUGCACAAAGCUAUUCUUGACAAAGAUAGAUCUAGUUAGGGGGCAAAUAGGUCACUUAACUAAAUCCUACAUCUACCUAGCUACCUAAUUUGGAAGGAGACAACUUCAACUAGUGGAGGGGGAGGAAAAAGAGAAAGAAGAUGCAUUAAUUAAUGGAGGUGGUGUAGUUAUGUAGGAGUAAUGAAGAGAGAGAAGGUGGAUAGAGAANNNNNNNNNNNNNNNNNNNNNNNNNNNNNNNNNNNNNNNNNNNNNNNNNNNNNNNNNNNNNNNNNNNNNNNNNNNNNNNNNNNNNNNNNNNNNNNNNNNNNNNNNNNNNNNNNNNNNNNNNNNNNNNNNNNNNNNNNNNNNNNNNNNNNNNNNNNNNNNNNNNNNNNNNNNNNNNNNNNNNNNNNNNNNNNNNNNNNNNNNNNNNNNNNNNNNNNNNNNNNNNNNNNNNNNNNNNNNNNNNNNNNNNNNNNNNNNNNNNNNNNNNNNNNNNNNNNUGUGGUGGAGGGAAGAGAGGAGAGGGGGAGGUAGGGGGGAAGGGAAAAAAGGAAGGGGGAGGGGAGGGACGGGUUGGGGGUUGGUGGGGUUAGCAGUAGCGCGGGAGAUAAAACGCGCUGCUGCUAAGAACUUAGCAGCUGCGCGCUUUGCGGUAAGGCGCUACUGCUAACUGGGACAAAAAAUUGUGGCAAUUUGAAACUUACCAGCAGCGAUCUCGAGGAAACCGCGCUACUACUACGUACUUAGCAGUAGCGCUGUUAUUGCGACCGCGCUACUGCUACUUAGAGUUGGGGGAACACCGCCGGUCGAUAUUUGUAGCAGCGCGUUUCUUGUCGAGCGCGCUACUGCUAAAUCUUUAUCAGUAGCGAGUUUACGUAACCCGCGCUACAACUACUUAGCAGCAGCGCUCUAUUUUGAACCGCGCUGCUGCUAAGAUUCUGUGUAUAGGCUUUUCCCUAGUAGUGUAGGAAGGAAUGACCACAUGAAUGAGCAUACGUAUGAUGUGAUUAAGUCUCUCGAUUGGGUAUCUGGUGCCUUAUGUACGGUGUCUUCUUUUUGUCAAGCUAUGACAUCUUUCAGUUUGAGUGUCUGAUAUUAGGGUUGCAUACGUUUUGUUAUUCAGUUGCCUGUUGUGAACUCUACGGUUAUAUCAUCUCGAUGUGUGAGUCAAUGUGUUUGAACCAAUGUAGAGUUUCAUGUGAAUGUUACAAGUGUGAUUGAUAUGUUCAUGUUAUCCGCGGUUGCCUUGGUAAGAAACUGAAAGAGCAAACCGUUAUCGUGCUAGGACAAAAGUCAUCACUCAAUAUAAGUGCUUCUCUAGAACAGCCACACCUUGUGAAAGAAGAUGGCAAACACCCAAUCAUGUCUGGUUCGAUAUGGGCGUGGCUAUGGGUAGCUUAUAGCGACAUGGAAGCCAGCAUCGCUGGAAGAAACGCCCGGGUGGGCCGGCCUAGAGACAUUUCUUGAUAUCUACCCUUAGUUUUGUUUUUCUGCCCUUCUUUCUUUAUAUUUAUAUUUUUCCCGACAUGUUCACUACUUGAUGCUCAACUGGGAUCUCAUCCUUCACAAAUACGGAGAGCCAUUAUUGUUAGAGUUAAUCUUGACAUGUGUGUAUGUGCAUGUGUGCAUUGCAUGUUAGUGGUCUAGAGAUGGCCGGGUCGAUGCGUCUGUUCUGUGCUGGAGUGAGUCCAGCAGUUUGUUUUGGUCAGGUCGUGGUGGCUAGAGCCAUUCUAGGAGAGGAUCAAGUCAAGUUGUUAGCUGAACUCGGCUGGGUAGUGUUUGGCCGUUGAGGAUAGGCUGUACUAGUGGUGGGCAUGGCCGUGCAUAUAGCUAGCGAUUAGUUACACUAGUAGAAAACCACCCAUUAGUCCCGGUUCGUAAGGGCCUUUAGUCUCGGUUCAGGAACCGGGACUAAUGGGUCGUUACUAAUACCUCCACCCAUUAGCCCCGGUUCAAACACGAACCGGGACCAAUGUGCCUCCACGUGGCCCUGUGCGGCGAGCCCAGUCAGGGGGCCUUUGGUCCCGGCUGGUGGCUCCAACCGGGACCAAAAGGCAUCCACGCGUCUGCAUUCUAGUGGUUUCUGGUUUUUGUUUUUUUUUUGAAAGGAGGGGGGUUGGGGGUUUUGGGGAGUUAAUUUAGGUGUUUCGUAUAUUGUGUUAACUAGCUAAUUAAUAGAGAGAAGUGUCCUCUCUUAUGUCCGUGCUUGGUCGACGCUACGUAGUAUAUAUACAUAAGUAAUCGAGAGAACCAUUCAGUACAGAAGUUCGUCAUGCAUACCGAGAGAAGUGAUCGAUCGACCUCUCCUUCUCCGAGAGAUUGGUCGAACAACAAGUUUUUUACUGGCUACAUACAUGUACAAUAUGUAUAAGAUCUCUUAAUUACAAACCCAUAGCAUUUGAAAUCAACUUCCACAUGGUAUUCUCCGGCUUUACUGAUGACGUGUUCAAGAAAGAAUCCCGCUAAUUCCUCUUGAAUUGCUUUCAUGCGAUCUGGUUCUAGGAGUUCACCCCGCAUCUGCCACGUCUAAUUAAUUUGAAGAAGGGGGUUAAUUAAUACAUAUAUAUGAAUGAAACUCAACAGAAAAUGAUGGUGUAAUAAAAUGAAAUUGUGAAUAUUAUUGCUUACGCACUUCAUAUUGUCUUCUAGAGUAGCCCCGCUUGUUUCUCAAAGUUGCGUUGUGGAUGAACUCGCACACGUAGUAUCCACAAAAAUCAUUCCCUUCCUCCUGUCACAAGCACUUUACGAGAAACAGAGGUCAAUCAAACUGAUAAUGAAGCAUUAUAAAUGGCAUUGAUGAAAGUAUAGCUAUAGAAUCAACGGGAGAUGCACGCAACUAGCUAGCCAGUAGUACUUACUUUCGGGUAUACAUAUCGCAGCUCCUUCGGCAGUCCCGGAGCUUGUGCGGUGAACUGUUUCCGAACCCUGCAAGACAAAGAAAAUAAUUAUUAUUACUUGAGAUAUCAGGAAAUGAACAAAAAGUUGCCGAUAUGGUGCGAUAAUGAUCGAUUGAACUUACUUGCUGAGCAUUUCAGUCAUGUCCACAUAGGUGCUGGGAUCUUUCCGUCUCGAGUCUAAGACGGUUACUAGUCCACGCUCAAGCUUAAUCUCCAGAAGAAUAUAGUGGUACCUGCGCACGCGUGCAUAACUCAUCAAUUACAUUAACCUCGCUCGAGUAAUAAGGGAAACCGAAUAUGCACACGACAGUAACACUCACGGGCCGUUGUAAGGAAAGAGUAUGGUAUCUUUGUUUUGAUUUUUGAUCAACGAUUGUAGCAAGUUGUCCUCGGCCUCUUCGACGUUCUUUUCAACCAGAAAUACAUCUAUGAUAUUUGUGUUAAUGAACCCAAUAUCAUAAAUUUUUUGUUUUUUGCACUCGACGAUCUUCAAUCUGCAUAAUAUAUUGAGGAUAAUUAAUUAUAAAUACAUGCAAUGAAAGAUCCGAGCUAUAUAUAGAGACUUAAUGUCAGAAAUAGUACUUACAUGCAGUAGCAAAAGACCAUUAAUUUAUCGAGGGCCUUUUGAUUGAAGAACUCAAAGAACUCCUCAAAUGGAACACACAACAGAUCAUUUGAAAUGAGGUCGUGCUCCUCUUUAAUAUUCAAAUACAAACUGUUCGUCCCCUCAGACUCUCUGCAGGUUUUCAUGUACCAAUUAUGGAAUCUUCGCAUCAUUAUUGUCAGAGAUUUUUCAUCUUUGACGAGAGGCUUCCCGUACUCGUAUCUGAAUACGUCCACCUCCAUGAAAUCAGGAAGUGCAUCGUCAGGCAGGUAAUCUUCAAGAUUGCCAUAACCGGCCACCGUCCCCGGAGGAUUAGACACAUUGAGCGGGGGGCACGAUUGCUGUGCUUGUUCGCCGAGCUGGGCAAUUUUUUUCCCCUUUGCUCGUUGUUCUUUUGACCUUUUAUCAUUGACAGUAGUUCCCGACCGCUUGGCUUGGAGAUAUGUCUGUUCAGUAAUGCGCUCAUAGUUGGUUCUCGGCGGAGACUUUGGUGGUUUCCUCAGGGCAUCGAGAGUGCGCUUUGCUUUCACCGGAUCUACCUUCUCCUCCGGAGGUGGAUGUCUCUUUGCUUUCACCCCUUCAAAGAACUCCUUCACGUGGGCCUGCACGAUCGUAUUGUUUUCCUCCUUGGUCCUCUCGUACGGUAACUUCUCUAGAGGCUUUAGAGGUGGACCGUAUCUGUAUUGCCUCUCUCUUCUUGUGCUGCUAGACGCCGGAGCAGACGGAGCGGCUGUGGCGUCUGUCUUCUUCCGUGCUUGCUUAUGAGGCGGAGGAGAAGGACUACGACGCGCCGGAGCAGCCGGGGCGGCGGCGGGUCUCUUCCGCCCUUGCUGGCGAGGCGGAGAGGAGGAGGCGGAGUGCCGCCACAUGCCGGAGAAGGAGGCGGAGUGCCGCCAUGCGUGCCCUGAUCGUCACUCGCCGGAGGAGGAGGCGGUGGAGGAGGCGGAGUGCCGCCACGCGUGCCCUGAUCGUCACUCGCCGGAGGAGGACGCGGUGGAGGAGGCGGAGUGCCCUGACUCGCUGAAAGAGGAGGAGGAGGCGGAGGCGUCCAGUUCAGAAGGUUGAUGAGCUCCUUCUGCCAUAGGCAUGGAGUCUUCAGAGCAGAACCCAGCCUAGUCUCCCCUUCACCGGUAGUGUGCUCAAGCACGAGGUCCUCAAAUCCCUCCGUUAUUUCAUCCACCAUCACCUUAGCAAAUCCUUCUGGAAUUGGCUGGCAGUGAUAAGUUGUGCCGGGUCCACUAGGAUAAACUUGGCCAACAGCCGCCUUGACCUUCAAAUUCAUCCAUCACACAAUAAUGUGGCAAUUUUGAGACUCCGUGAUACCAUCCACGGGAUAGCUGGCAGGAGCCGUCAAGACAUGCUCCGGCUGAAGCAGCUCAGUGGAAGCCACGCUGCUUCUCUGCUGAGAUGGCGGGGUAGCUUCGGGGGAAGCUUCGGCAGGUCGUUUGUUGUGAUCUGCUGCUUCUUGUUCCUCUAGCCCCAUUACCCUUUCGUGCAGCGCCUGCAUUUGGUCCUGCUCCAGUUUCUUCCUCCUCUCGUAGGCUUUGUAAACGCCUGCGUCCAGAAAACCAACCUUCCACGGAAUGGAGCCUGGCGUGCCUCGUGUCCGUCCAGGGUGCUCGGGAUUCCCAAGGGCCAUUGUGAGCUCGUCCUUCUCCCUGUUUGGAAGGAACGUCCCUCGUUGUGCUGCAUCGAUAUAGUGUCGAAGGUUCUUGACUGGUGUUUGCAGUUGCUCGUCCGUCCACUGACGCUUCCCUGUUACAGGGUCCAAGGUUCCGCCAGCCCCGAAGACCCAAGUCCGGCAACGGUCUGGCCAGCGCAUUGUCUCUGGUUCGAUUCCUUUUUCAAGCAGAUCAUGCUCAGCCUUGGACCACUUAGGCCGGGCUUUGAGGUAGCCACCUGACUCCGUGCGAUGGUGAAGCUUCUUCUUCGCAGCAUUUUUCUUGUUUGUCUCCGACAUCGUCUUACUCUUUUCCGAUGUCUUGUGGGCCACAAAUGCGGGCCAGUGAUCUUUGAUCUUCUCAUAUUUGCUGAUGAAUUCUGGUGUCUUUUUUUUCUCGAGAAACUGGUUCAGCUCUUUCCUCCACCUCCUCAUUAGGCUUGCCAUCUUCUUAAGAGCACAAGACUUGAUUAAUUGCUCUUUAACUGGCUUCUCCGGAUCCUCCUCUGGCGGUAGGGUGAAAUUUGCCUUCAGCUCAGUCCAAAGAUCUUCUUUCUGCAUAUCAUUGACAUAAGACACCUCAGGGUCUUCAUCCUUAGCAGGCUUAUACCAUUGCUGGAUGCUGAUCGGGAUCUUGUCCCUAACAAGAACCCCGCACUGAGCAGAAAAUGCCUUCCUUGUCCGGAUGGGUUCAAUCGGUUCGCCGUCGGGCGCGAUUUCUAUGAUCUCAAACUUUUCAUCCGAGAUCAACUUUUUCUUCGGGCCUCGUCUCCUUACCGAAGUUGUGCUCGAUCCGGAGGGCUAGAAAUUAUAAGGAAGAAAGACGACAGUAAUUAAUAUGUGUACAUAUACCAAAACAAUGGAUGCAUCAAUUAACUAGUCAGCACGGGCUUAACUAAUAUAUAUAUACCUGGCCGGACUCGGUUCGGUGACCGGAGCAGUCAGCACGGUCUCCUUGUACCUCCAUUGUGUCACCGGAGCCAUCAUGAACAUAGUCCUCCUCUUGUACCGGCAUUAAUGGGUCGAAGCCAUCAUAAACAUAGCCCUCUUCUUCAUCCAGUCCUUCCAGCUGACCAUCGGUGUCGAUGAGAAAUGACGCAACAUCAUCACUUCCAUUUGCGAUUAUGUCCCCCAACAUCGCUUCUGUUUCUUCGUCUCGGGAGUGCUCCAUAGUUUCUGCAAAUAUUUACAACAUGUCAAUUAUUAUUCAAACAUGGUACAAAUGGAUAUAUAUAUAUAUAUAUAUAUAUAUAUAUAUAUAUAUAUAUGAAAAUGGAUUGGUACUCCUAGGAGUACAUACUCUCACCUACACCCGUCAUCGUUGGAAACAUUCAUCCCGCUAACUACUAAAAAAAGAGCUAACUAACUACGGAUAAAGCCUUUGGAUUUAAAAAUUAGUUGAACCGCUUCCUUUUUUUUCAGCUCUCGUAGGCGUGCCUUCCAGGGAUUCCAUUUGAAACGGCGUUCUCAUCUCUUGCCAGCACCCAUGAACAUAAAAAAACAGAGCAUCGGCUCGCCUCCGCCCCGCCGACUGACCGGAAGACUUGGUCGACAUGGCCGACGAUGAUCCCCGUGCUUCUUCCCUCGCAAACUAGGCUUCAACCACCACGUCCAUCAAUCAGAGGAAGAUUGAUUCAUCAUCUGUAGUUUGCGAGGGUACGUGCAAUUGAUGUUUCCCGAUUUUUCUGUUCGGCUACCACAACCGUGUUCAUGUUCCCGCUGACCCCUUGAUCCAUUCCUGUCCAGUAUGUCAUCGUCCGAGAAGAAAAUAGGACGGAGAUGAUUGAUCGGCCAGAUUGAUCGGCCAAGUCUACUAGUACCACUGGUGGAAAAAAGGCCUUUGGUCGCGGUUCGCAACUGCCAUUAGUCGCGGUUGCGCAACCGCGACCAAAUAAGCGCGACUAAAGCCCCCCACCUUUAGUCGCGGCUGCUUAAGAACCGCGACUAAAGGCCCGUCCAUGUGGGCGCCAGGCGGCCGUCGGGACGGAGGACCUUUAGUCGCGGUUCUUCUGGCCAACCGCGACUAAAGGCCGCCACAGGUUUAGGGUUUUAGCCCCCCCCCUAAACCUGUUUUCUGUUUAAUUUGUAUUGUUUUAUUUCUUUUGUGCUUUAUUUUAAUUUUGAAGGAGUUUCAUAUAUUCUACGGUACUACAUACAUGCAUAUGAAUGUACAAUUUCAAAUAAAUUUGAAAUUAGAACCAAAAAGAAUUCAAGAGGAAUAUACAAUAUAUAUUCAAUAUCAUCGGAUGACCAUAUACAAUUUUGAACAAGUUUCCAUACAUGAUUUAAUGCAUAUAAAGUUCUACGUCCUCGUAAUAGUGUUCUCCUUUAGGAUGGAGGACUUCCCUGCUGAACCAUCCAGCUAGUUCCUCUUGAAGUGGUCGGAAGCGAGCUUCUGGACUAAGCAUCCACCGGAGGUUAUUCCUCUGAGCAUUGGUAUCACUCGGAACCCGCUCAGAGGUGUAUCUCCGGAUCAUCUCACAGACAUAGUAUCCACAUAGAUUGGUCUCCGGUGGCUGAAUAUCCCCAGCAUUCUUAGCCACUGACCUUUUGAAUUCUAGCUCUUUUUUGAAUUCACCGACCUUUGUAUCUACGAACCGUCUCCAAACCCUACGAGGCAAAGAAAAUUAAAUGAACAAGAGAGUUAUUAGUUACUUGAUAUUAGGAAAUGAACGAAAUAGGCCGAUUGAUAUAGAGCGCAAAUGAAUGAAAAUAAUUACUUCUGCAGCAUUCUUCUCAUGCCGCCCCAAAGCUUUGGAUCCAUAUUCACAGAGUCGUGGACGAGACAUUCUGAGGUGUUAACUUUAAUUACUAGCAGAAUCCAGUGGAACCUGCGGACACGAUACAUGCACAGUACGUCAUGCAUAACUCAUCGAUUAGCCGGCCACAUACCAUGCAUGGAGUAAACAAAAGAGAAUGUGCUCAAGACACAAACACUCACCCAAAAUGGUAAGGAAAUAGAAUAUCACUUUUGAGUUCCUGCUUUGUAAGAAACUGCCACAGGUCUACCUCCACGUCGGCGGGGUGACGCUCCAACACAUGUCCAUUAACGAUGUGUGGGUCAAUGAACCCAACAUCAUGGAUGUUCCUUACUCUGCAUUCCUUAAUCUUCAUUCUGCAUGUAUAAUAGCGGACACAACAAUAUAGUUAGGACAUAUAUAUAGUGCAGGCAAUAUGAACGAGAUGGGGUAGAAAUUAAUAAAUCACUUACAGAACGUAGCAACUGAUGAUAGAUUUAUCGAGCUCGCGCAGAUUGAAAAGCUGGAACAAUUCACUCAGUUCAAUUUGUACAUAGUAAUGUUUGAAGUGAUGCUCAUGUCUAACUUCCGCAUAAAUAUAUUCUUUGGCGUUUUUAUUUUUUAUGUAACCCUUGUACCAUUUCAGCAGACCUUUCAUUUGUGGAGGUAGAUCCUUUUCCUGCGCAGGCUCGACGAGAGGCCCAUUCUUGACAUAUGUAAUUACUACCUCCUUCACUGGCGCCUCAUCAAGGCCUAACAGUUCACGAAGAGUAAUACCUAAGUUGGCCGCUUGUUCUAUGGCACUCGUUACAGUCAAUCCCUGUGCUGCCGCAGCUUGUAUGAUCUCGGGGGCAUCCGGACAGAAGGCUUCCACUAUAAGCGGGGCAAUCGAUUGUUUACUUUGUUCCCCGAGCUGGGCAACUUGUUUCCCGCUUUUUUUACUUUCGGCCUUCUCCCGCUCUUUGUUCUCCUUGAACAUGAGUGCCUGCCUGCGAAGUUCACGUGCAUAGUCGUUAGGCAGAUUCUUCGCGGCUUGGGACGGUGUGCUCAAAAAUGACUUAGCCCACUUGUUUUGCUCAUCAGAAAAUACUGGCUUGGGCUCGAGCUCUCUUUUCUUCUUGCAGUCCGCCUUCCAUUUCUCCAAAUCAGCAGCCGCGGCCGCGUCGACUUCCUCGGCACUACGUUCCCAAGGCCUUGUGGGGAGAGGCUUCAGUGAUGGCUCCGGUACCUUUGUGGUCUUAGGUACAUAAGGGUCCGGGUUAAUAAUCCAGGACUGCUUCUGCUUCUUUGCCGGAGGUGGAUUGGGGGGCGGCGUCUGAUCACCCGCCGGACGAGGACUGGGGGGCGGCGGCUGAUCACCCGCCGGACGUUGUGGACUGGGGGGCGGCGUCGGCUGACGUGACGGAGGUGUAGGUGAACCGCCACCACCACCACCACCACCACCACCGCCACCGCCACCACCACCACCGUAGGGGGGUGGACUUGUUGUCCUUGGCGCCUCGCCUGGAAACUUGAUAAACUUCUUUUGCCAUAGAAUGAAAUGGCGCUUGACAUCUCCAAGUCUUUUCUCCCCUUCAGGUGUAGCAAUGUCAAUCUCCAGGUCCUCAAACCCUUGGACUAUGUCCUCCACCGUGACACGAGCAUAGCCAUCUUGAAUGGGGUUGUUGUGGUGGAGUGCUCCAGGUAAACAUGGUAAAGCACUGCCGAUGGCUACCUUCAUGGACAUGUUCCCGAUAGGAUAAUACAGAUGACAUUCUUCUCCGCUGCUGGCUUCCGAGAUCUGCUGGAUGAUCUUCAUGCUGCACCCGAGCUGCAUCUCUUUCGGCUACUAGUACACUCAUGGUUUUCUUCAUCACAUCCAUUUCCGAUGCCAACCGCGCCACAACAUCUGCUUCCCGAUCCACCUUUCUCUUACGGCUUCUGUAACCGUACGGGUCAUCGUUCUGGGGGAACCCUAUUUUCCACGGAAUGUGCCCCAUGCCUCGUACACGUCCUCCGUGUUCAGGAUUCCCGAGGGAUUUUGUCAGCGCGUCGUUCUCUCUGUUGAACUUGAUCUUCCCCUGUUGAGCAUCCCUCAUUGCGUUAAUAAGGGCUUGGGUGGGUUUAAUUAAUUUGCCCCGGUAAACACACUCCCCUGUCUCCGGGUUCAGCGUUCCCCCAUGCCCGUACCACCAACUUUUGGCCCUUGGGUCCCAUCCCUCCGUACCUGCACGGAUUCCUCGCGCCCUCAGCUCGUUCUCCAUCUUCUCCAACCUAGGCACCCAAAUGCGAUACCCUCCUGGCCCCAUAACAUGAUUGUACUCCUUCUUAGCCGCAUUUUCCUUAUUUUUUCGAUAUUUGAAUGAACUGCUCCGAUUUCUUUUGCUUCACAAAUUCUGGCCAAUCAUGUUUCAGUUUCUCAUAUUGUCCUUUGAAAUCCGGAGUCUUGUUCUGCUUGACAAAGUCAUGGGCUAGAUUUUGCUUGAAUUUCCGGAAUGCGUCGGCCAUCUUAUGAAGAGCGAACUGUUUGACUAGCCUCCUCCUCUCCUUGUUUUCUUCAAUCUUGUUACCCUCCUCAUCGAAUUUGUUGUAUUCCGGAGGUAGAACGAAAUGUUCCAUAAGCUUCUUGAAGCAAUCUUUUUUUGUUCUCUUAUCGACAAAAGUGAAACCAUCAAUUCGUGCCUUCUUUGGCUCAUUCCACUCCUGGACGGUGAUCGAGACGUUGUCUCUAACAAUGGCUCCGCAUUGGCUGACAAACUUGGUGGCGUUCUUGCGGGGCUCCAGCGGCCUGCCGGUUGCACUGUCGACAACCUCGAUGGUGCAUGUUUCUCCUUGUUUCAUCGUCUUGGUUGCGCCACGCUUUGACGACGUACUCGAUUGUUUCGACGAUCCGGCCGAGGGCUAAAAUAAGAAAGAGUCGCGCGCGUUAGUACACACAUAUUUAUUCAAAUCAGUUAGUUUGUAUCACCAGAGGCUCAAUGUAUAUAUAUACCUCGGCGCCGGAGGUGGUUGCUACAUCCAUUUGAAGAUCGUCGUUUAUCGACGUUUGUUCGGCAUCAUCUUGCUGACGGCGCCCUUCAUCUUCACCGUCAAGGUUCAGAUAAGAAGAGAUAUCAUCUUCUUCUUCUCCGGUCGGCACAUAUAGAAUAUCGCCGUUUAUGAUGCCGAACAUAUGUGCUUCACCGUCCGGAUCAUAGUUGUCCAUAAUCGGGUCAGCUCUAUCGUCCGCCAUUAUGUCAGUCCUGAAAACAUGUAGUAAAAACAAAUUAAUUAAGUGAAGAAGGGGGGCGGUGGCGGUGGCGGUGGCGAAAGGGUGGUGGCAAAAGGAGGGGGCGAGGAAGGGGUGGGAGAGGGUGUCGCGGUAGAGCGCGAGACGGGGCGGCACGAACGUCAUUUUGUGAAGAAACUUUGCAAGCAAUUAAACAUUUGUCAAUGUUUGGUAAAAAAAAUACAGGUAGCGUCUGUUGCUCCUAAUGAUUGGAAACGGUUUCCAAUUGCCAACGAGGAUUUAGAUCGACUACUACUACUAGUUGCAUUGCUCCCCAUCGGGACGAUGUUGCUCCUAAUCCCCUCCUUUGGAAUCUAUAGUACUAGUGCAUACUAGCUGGCCGUUGACCGUUGUUGCUCAUCGCGUUUUCUCAAAGUCCACUGAUUUUGCUCAGGGCCAGUUCGGAGAUUUUGCUGGUCCACUGAUUUUGGAUCAACGCCGGGAUGGCAUGGGCGCUCGGCGAUGAUGCGAAGUAGACUUGCACAGGCAACGUGAUGUACAUGGAUGUGUCAGUACGGUACGCUCGGCGAUGCCACGGUAUGGAUGACUUCUCGAGUGGAGAUUGGAGAACCAAGUUCGCCGGUGAAACGUCGGCUCCUGAUCAGAUCUGGGGGUCGCGAACUAGCGAUUGGAUCUCGGAAGGGAGUUAGGAAAGCGAACAGACGUGCGUUCAAGGCUACAACUUUUUUUUUCAGGAUCUUGAAAACAGCUACGCGUUCAAGGCCCGGUCCUGAUUUUGCUCAUCUACCCGGGGCGGCGUUCGCACUGCGCGAGGGCCGACUCCGCGGGGUGCUGCCGCGUCGCCUCGUCGACGCUGAGCGAGUUGGCGAGGACCGUGUACAUGGUCGGCACGUCGCCGGCGGAGAGGGUCAUGCUGUCCCCGACCAGCGGCGGCCACGGACGGGGAGGGCGGCGGCGGUGACUGGGAAGGAAUGAUAGGAGAGGAAGGAAGGUCGCGUGGGGUUGAGGGCGGNNNNNNNNNNGGCGAGGAGGGACUCCUUGGCGGAGAGGCGCUCCGUCUCGCGGGCGUAGCUGGCAGCGGGCUCCCACGCCUGCGCGUACACGUCGUCCCGCCGUGCGUUCAAGGCUACAACUUUUUUUUUUAGGAUCUUGAAAACAACUACGCGUUCAAGGCCGGCCCGGUCCUGAUUUUGCUCAUCUACCCGGGGCGGCGUUCGCACUGCGCGAGGGCCGACUCCGCGGGGUGCUGCCGCGUCGCCUCGUCGACGCUGAGCGAGUUGGCGAGCACCGUGUACAUGGUCGGCACGUCGCCGGCGGAGAGGGUCAUGCUGUCCCCGACCAGCGGCGGCCACGGACGGGGAGGGCGGCGGCGGUGACUGGGAAGGAAUGAUCGGAGAGGAAGGAAGGUCGCGUGGGGUUGAGGGCGGGCGAGCGAGGCGGCAGUACCGAGGCUGGCCGGCGGCGCGCGCGCGGUGGGCGAGGGCGACGGCGGGCGGCGUCGAGGGCGAGGGCGACGGCGGGCGGCGUCGAGGGCGCGGCAGAGACGAACAGGCGAGAAACGGCGGGCGGCGUCGAGGGAGCCUUGUAUUUAUAGCCCCCCCNNNNNNNNNNNNNNNNNNNNNNNNNNNNNNNNNNNNNNNNNNNNNNNNNNNNNNNNNNNNNNNNNNNNNNNNNNNNNNNNNNNNNNNNNNNNNNNNNNNNNNNNNNNNNNNNNNNNNNNNNNNNNNNNNNNNNNNNNNNNNNNNNNNNNNNNNNNNNNNNNNNNNNNNNNNNNNNNNNNNNNNNNNNNNNNNNNNNNNNNNNNNNNNNNNNNNNNNNNNNNNNNNNNNNNNNNNNNNNNNNNNNNNNNNNNNNNNNNNNNNNNNNNNNNNNNNNNNNNNNNNNNNNNNNNNNNNNNNNNNNNNNNNNNNNNNNNNNNNNNNNNNNNNNNNNNNNNNNNNNNNNNNNNNNNNNNNNNNNNNNNNNNNNNNNNNNNNNNNNNNNNNNNNNNNNNNNNNNNNNNNNNNNNNNNNNNNNNNNNNNNNNNNNNNNNNNNNNNNNNNNNNNNNNNNNNNNNNNNNNNNNNNNNNNNNNNNNNNNNNNNNNNNNNNNNNNNNNNNNNNNNNNNNNNNNNNNNNNNNNNNNNNNNNNNNNNNNNNNNNNNNNNNNNNNNNNNNNNNNNNNNNNNNNNNNNNNNNNNNNNNNNNNNNNNNNNNNNNNNNNNNNNNNNNNNNNNNNNNNNNNNNNNNNNNNNNNNNNNNNNNNNNNNNNNNNNNNNNNNNNNNNNNNNNNNNNNNNNNNNNNNNNNNNNNNNNNNNNNNNNNNNNNNNNNNNNNNNNNNNNNNNNNNNNNNNNNNNNNNNNNNNNNNNNNNNNNNNNNNNNNNNNNNNNNNNNNNNNNNNNNNNNNNNNNNNNNNNNNNNNNNNNNNNNNNNNNNNNNNNNNNNNNNNNNNNNNNNNNNNNNNNNNNNNNNNNNNNNNNNNNNNNNNNNNNNNNNNNNNNNNNNNNNNNNNNNNNNNNNNNNNNNNNNNNNNNNNNNNNNNNNNNNNNNNNNNNNNNNNNNNNNNNNNNNNNNNNNNNNNNNNNNNNNNNNNNNNNNNNNNNNNNNNNNNNNNNNNNNNNNNNNNNNNNNNNNNNNNNNNNNNNNNNNNNNNNNNNNNNNNNNNNNNNNCGAGGAAGACCAAUCGGCUUAAGGUCAGGAACAAAGUCAACACAAAACUCAAUUACCUCCUCAUUUCCAUAGCCCUUGGCGAUGCUUCCUUCUGGCCUAGCACGGUUACGAACAUAUUUCUUUAAUACUCCCAUGAACCUCUCGAAGGGGAACAUAUUGUGUAGAAAUACAGGACCGAGAACGAAAAUCUCUUCGACUAGGUGAACCAGGAGGUGCGUCAUAAUAUUGAAGAAGGAUGGCGGGAACACCAACUCGAAACUGACAAGACAUUGGAUCACAUCGUUCUGUAACCAUGGUAGAACUUCUGGAUUGAUUACCUUCUGAGAGAUUGCAUUGAGGAAUGCACAUAGCUUCACAAUGGCUACUCGAACAUUUUCCGGCAGGAGCCCCCUCAAAGCAAUCGGAAGCAAUUGCGUCAUAAUCACGUGGCAGUCGUGAGACUUCAGGUUUUGGAACUUUUUCUCCGCCAUGUUUAUUAUUCCUUUUAUAUUGGACGAGAAUCCAGACGGGACCUUCAUACUGCUCAGGCAUUCAAAAAAGAUGACCUUCUCUUCUUUGGUCAGAGCGUAGCUGGCACGACCUUGAAACCAUUCCGGAUGCCGGUCAUCAGGGUCUUUCAAACGUUGCUGGUCCUGCCGUGCUUCCUUUGUAUCAUUUGUCUUCCCAUACACGCCCAAGAAGCUUAGGAGGUUCACGCAAAUAUUCUUCGUAACGUGCAUCACGUCGAUUGCAGAGCGGACAUCUAGGACUUUCCAAUAUUCUAGCUCCCAGAAUAUAGAUUUCUUCUUCCACAUGGCUGCGUUCCCGUCUGCUCCCUUCGGAACUGAUUGUCCGCCAGGACCCUUUCCAAAGAUGACUUUCAAAUCCUUGACCAUAUCAAAUACCUCAGCACCAGUGCAUUCCGCAGGCUUCGGCCGGUGAUCUGCCUUGCCGUUGUAAUGCUUGCCUUUCUUUCUUACUGGAUGAAUUUUCGGAAGAAAUCGAUGAUGCCCAAGGUACACGUUCUUCUUACAAUUUGGCAAAUGUACACUUUCAGUCUCAUGUAAGCAGUGCGUGCAUGCAUUGUAUCCCUUAUUUGACAGUCCCGAAAGGUUACUAAGAGCAGGCCAAUCGUUGAUGGUUACGAAAAGCAACGCUCGUAGGUCAAAUUCCUCUUGUUUGUGCUCAUCCCACACACGGACACCACCCCACAGCUGUAAAAGUUCAUCAACUAAUGGCCUUAGGUACACAUCGAUGUCGUUGCCGGGUUGCUUCGGACCUUGGAUGAGCACUGGCAUCAUAAUGAACUUCCGCUUCAUGCACAACCAAGAAGGAAGGUUGUAGAUGCAUAGAGUCACGGGCCAGGUGCUAUGGCUGGAGCUCUGCUCGCCAAAAGGAUUCAUGCCAUCCGUACUUAGAGCAAAUCUUAUGUUCCUUGCGUCAGCUGCAAAAUCUUUGAACCAUCUGUCGAUCUUUCUCCAUUGCGUUCCAUCUGCGGUGUGUCUCAACUCCCCGUCCGACUUACGGUCCUCUUUGUGCCAUCGCAACAACUUGGCAUGCUCUUUGUUCCUGAACAGACGUUUCAACCGUGGUAUUAUAGGAGCAUACCACAUCACCUUGGCGGGAACCCUCUUCCUGGGUUUCUGGCCCUCAACAUCGUCACCAGGGUCAUCGCCUCUGAUCUUAUAACGCAAUGCAGUGCAUAUCGGGCAUUCAUUCAAAUUCUCGUAUUCACCGCGGUAGAGGAUGCAGUCGUUGAUGCAUGCAUGUAUCUUCAGAACCUCUAAACCUAGAGGGCAGACAACCUUCUUUGCUUCGUACGUACUGGCGGGCAACUCGUUAUCCUUUGGAAACAUACUCUUCAACAUUUUCAGCAAGUUUUCAAAUGCCGAGUCAGCUACACCUGCCUCUGCCUUCCAUUUCAGCAAAUCCAGUGUGCAGCCCAGCUUUUUCAGACCAUCAUCGCAUCCGGGGUACAGCGCCUUUCUGUGAUCCUCUAACAUGCGAUCCAAAUUCUCCCUCUCCUUUUCAGUUUCGCAGCGUCUCCGUGCAUCAGCAAUGGUCCGACCAAGAUCAUCAACGGGAUCAUCACGUGCCUCUUCUUCACCUUCCCCUUCACCUUCAGCAUCCUCCAUGAAAGUAUCACCGAGAUGAGCAAGAUAGCUUUCAUCGAUGAAAUCAUCCCCUUCUUCAUCUUCUUCCAUUAUAACCCCUCUUUCUCCAUGCUUGGUCCAACAAUUAUAGCUUGGCAUGAAACCGUGCCGAAGCAGAUGCAUGUGAACAUCUCUUGAGGAAGAGUAACCCUUCUGAUUCUUACAGAUAACACAUGGACAGAUAACAAAAAACCCCUGCUUGUUCGCAUUAGCCACUACGAGGAAAUCUUUCAAACCCGUAGUGAACUCGCCGGAGAGUCGGUUACCGUACAUCCAUUGCCGAUUCAUCUGCAUUAUUAUAAUAUAAAAUAUAUAAUUAACCAUCAUGCAUUUGUUAAACUAACUAGCUACAAACAAUAUAAAUUAAACAAUGAACUGCACACAUGCAUAUUUUAUCAAUGACACAUCAAAGGUUCAUCAAGUUGCUAACCGCGAUCGAGGAGUGUGGCUCCAACACUUCAUGUCAUGUUUGUUUCAUGCUCUUGGGGCAUUUCAUCAAACACCUUAUGUGCAUAAGAGGAACCAAAAGCAAACCUACACCCACUUGUGAAGAGAAUGGCUCCAAAUGGCUAAGUGUUGGCUGCUGGAUGGGUAUAUAUAGGGGAGGGGCUUUAGUUGCGGUUGGCUUGGCAAACCGUGACUAAAGGUGCCCGAAGGCCUUUAGUCGCGGUUGUCCUGGCCAACCGCGACUAAAGACCCUCACGUGCGCCAGCUGGCCACCGAGCGCCCUGAGCCCAGGCCUUUGGUCGCGGUUCACCUCCAGAACCGCGACUAAAGGUCCCAUUAGUCGCGGUUCCUACAGCUUCGCGACUUAUGGGGCUGGACGGAAGCUUGUUUUUCCACCAGUGUACUAGGUAAGGUGUCGUUCCAGUCAAAUUGAUGAAUUCAUCUUUUGUUACCUUUGUUAUAGGAAUAUAGGCUGCAUUUAUUAGUCAUAUCGAGCUCUCAAGGAGUCAAGAUCUUGUUAACUUACUAAUAAUUUCUAUAUACCUGCAGCGUUAUGGCCUAUGGUGCAGGGCAAAGACAACAAGGACGACAUGCGGCGGCGACGUGGCCAUGGUGAAGCUACUUCGUCCGGCUACCCCAUGGUUGGCGUGUCUGCCGUCCUCUCAAUCUAUCACACGUACGUCCGGUGCAUGCAUGGUGUCGGGCCGAAGAGCACACAAAUCUACAUCCAGGCCCUGGGCACUAGCAACCGCUGAUGCACUUAGCCACUUACCAAUGUAUUCCUAUUGUACGUAUAUAAUAAAGUGGUUAGUACGUCGACGUAGAAAUAGUUAGUAGCUUGCUUUGCACUCACACAAUCGAGUCAUGAUUGUUACUGAUGAUCAAAAUUUUAUGUAUUUUUUAUGCCGGAUGGGUUUACUACUUCUUCUUCGGUUGUAUAUAAAGCUUCCAAAAAAUUAGUAUAUAAUCCUCCAGAAUAAAUCAGUAUAUAGUCCUCCAAAAAAAUGAGUAUAUACACUUUGUAACGCAGCAUAUACCCCAUAAAAAAUGUAGUAUAACGCUGCAGAAAUAAGACAUACUCCUUUUCUAGUUGCAUAUACCCAAUCACAAAACUACACUGAAAUAAUUAGUAGUACAUACUCCUUUUCUAUUUUGGAAAGGAACGUCCAUUUCCCUCUUCAACAAGUGCUUUAUUUUUCUAGGGGUAGCCUUGUGUUUUUACUGCCAUGCGACGACAUUACAAAAUGUAUUACACCCAUUAUUCAUCUAAUUUUUUAUAUACCCUUUUAUGCAUACUUUGAAUUUAUCACUCAUUUGGGCGACCAGCCCGCUCUCUCAUUGCAGCGACUCGACUCUCACAUAAAGCCAGUAUAUACUCACGUAAAAAAAAGCAGUAUAGACUCCCUUACUGAAAAAGAACUAUAUACUCCCCUACCAAAAAAAGUAGUAUAUGCUCCAUUACCAAAAAGGCAGUAUAUACUCAUAUACAAAAGGUGGUAUAUACUGUCUUCCCAAAGUAGUAUAUAUCUUUUUCCUUGCGUUAGAGAAGUAGUAUAACCAGAACAGAUAGUUCAUACUUGUGUGCUGAAAAAAGUAGUAUAUAAAUAUAUAUGUAAGAGUGAGUAUGGUAGAUAUGUAUCGGUCCUUACAAAAAAAAUCAACCACUGUUAUUGUUUAUUUGCACCGAACUAACCUUAUCUGUAUGCUAGGAUCCUUGAAUCUCUCAAUCUGUUGAUGCACAUGCAUGCGUCGGCCGGUGGAGCAAUUAGCAACUAGAUCUAAUAACUGCCAACCUGUUCAGUCCAUGGGAGUACAUACUCCUGGGAGUAUAAAAGAGGAGUCUAUAUAUAUAUAUAUAUAUAUAUAUAUAUACGGUGGCGCUAUUGUGUGCGUGAGCGCAGAUUUACUUAUCGUGCGCGCCGGUCAUUGCGUGCGCCACUCGUAUUCCUAAUGAUGGUAAAAUUCCUGGCAGAAAUAGUAAUAUAAUUUAAUUGGUUACUGCCUGCCACCACCACGGUAGCGAUUUAAUUGGUUAGGUCUACUAGUAAAAAUGCAUAGCAGAAAAAGUAAAAGAGCUAAAAGUAUUACUGUUGGAUGCAUCGGUCCCCGCUUCGACUGCCUACUAGUAAAACACCUCAUAAAAGUAGUAAUAGGAUUACCCUACACGCAUCAGCCCCUUGCCAUACUUGUGAACAGGUAAACUUCAUGUGAAGAAUAGUACUGGAUGGUAACUGUGUUACCAUAGAACGGACACUUGCUAUUAGCUAGCUACAUGGUAAUUUUAUUACCGCUAACUUUCAUCGGUUUAAUACCUAAUCAUGUUACCACUUAUUUUCUUAGUAGUAUUGGAUGGUAACUAUGUUACCACAUGACGAAAAAAUUGCUAUUAGCUAAUAGCUACACGGUAAUUGCAUUACCACUCAUGUGUAGAAGCAUGAUACACGGUCUUUUUUCCAAUUACGUUUGGUCGAAGACGCAAGGGUUUGCUAAUCGCUAAAGUGGGGUCGAAGCAGUAAUAAGUUUCCAACCGUUACCAUGUUUCUUAAGGUAUGUUACGUAUGGGCGCAAGACAUGUUCUUUAAUAGGAGCGGGACAACGGUUGCUUAGACGGAGAAUGGCGCGCAGUCUGGCCGGAGCGUAGAAUUAGACUUCUGCGCUCAGGCUUAGUUUAGCACGUCUAUAUAUAUAUAUAUAUAUAUAUAUAUAUAUAUACAUACAUGUUAGUGGCCUCGACGCUGCUUCUCUAGGGUUUGGGGUCGCCUCGACACAACGCUUCAAGGGUUUGGGGUGGCCUCGACGACAACGUUUUUUUAACUUGAUAAAUUUGGGUGGCCUCGAGAGAGUUAAUUUGUCGGGUAGGGGCGCGGCGGGAGGGGGUAGGAGACCAACAUCGUUUUCUCUCUAGGGUUUGGGUGUCCUCGAGAGUUAUCGGGGAGGGGGUAUCGGUACCACCCCCUAGCUCGUGUUGAAGUUUCUUCUUUCUCCUCUAUUCCUUUCUUUCUUCUUCUCCUCUUCUUUUUCUUCUUCUCCCUCGAGAAAGGAAAAUANNNNNNNNNNNNNNNNNNNNNNNNNNNNNNNNNNNNNNNNNNNNNNNNNNNNNNNNNNNNNNNNNNNNNNNNNNNNNNNNNNNNNNNNNNNNNNNNNNNNNNNNNNNNNNNNNNNNNNNNNNNNNNNNNNNNNNNNNNNNNNNNNNNNNNNNNNNNNNNNNNNNNNNNNNNNNNNNNNNNNNNNNNNNNNNNNNNNNNNNNNNNNNNNNNNNNNNNNNNNNNNNNNNNNNNNNNNNNNNNNNNNNNNNNNNNNNNNNNNNNNNNNNNNNNNNNNNNNNNNNNNNNNNNNNNNNNNNNNNNNNNNNNNNNNNNNNNNNNNNNNNNNNNNNNNNNNNNNNNNNNNNNNNNNNNNNNNNNNNNNNNNNNNNNNNNNNNNNNNNNNNNNNNNNNNNNNNNNNNNNNNNNNNNNNNNNNNNNNNNNNNNNNNNNNNNNNNNNNNNNNNNNNNNNNNNNNNNNNNNNNNNNNNNNNNNNNNNNNNNNNNNNNNNNNNNNNNNNNNNNNNNNNNNNNNNNNNNNNNNNNNNNNNNNNNNNNNNNNNNNNNNNNNNNNNNNNNNNNNNNNNNNNNNNNNNNNNNNNNNNNNNNNNNNNNNNNNNNNNNNNNNNNNNNNNNNNNNNNNNNNNNNNNNNNNNNNNNNNNNNNNNNNNNNNNNNNNNNNNNNNNNNNNNNNNNNNNNNNNNNNNNNNNNNNNNNNNNNNNNNNNNNNNNNNNNNNNNNNNNNNNNNNNNNNNNNNNNNNNNNNNNNNNNNNNNNNNNNNNNNNNNNNNNNNNNNNNNNNNNNNNNNNNNNNNNNNNNNNNNNNNNNNNNNNNNNNNNNNNNNNNNNNNNNNNNNNNNNNNNNNNNNNNNNNNNNNNNNNNNNNNNNNNNNNNNNNNNNNNNNNNNNNNNNNNNNNNNNNNNNNNNNNNNNNNNNNNNNNNNNNNNNNNNNNNNNNNNNNNNNNNNNNNNNNNNNNNNNNNNNNNNNNNNNNNNNNNNNNNNNNNNNNNNNNNNNNNNNNNNNNNNNNNNNNNNNNNNNNNNNNNNNNNNNNNNNNNNNNNNNNNNNNNNNNNNNNNNNNNNNNNNNNNNNNNNNNNUGAAAACACUUUUUUUUGUUUUCUUUCUUGCUUUAUUUAUUUUAUUUUGUUUCUACUUGCAAUAAAAUACUUAUUGUUGUUUUUUUGUUUUGUUUUCUGCAUUAUUUAUUUUCUUUUGUUUUUUGCUUUAUUUUUUAAUUCUUUUUGCUUUUAGUUUUAGGAAAAUUAUAAACUUUCUAUUAGUGCCAUUACUUUUCAAAUUUGAAAACACUUUUUUGUUUUUUAGUUUUCUUUCUUGCUUUAUUUAUUUUAUUUUGUUUCUACUUACAACAAAAUACUUAUUGUUGCUAUUUUUAAUUAUUACGAAGGCCAAACCAUAAGACAUUAAAGCAUUUCAAAUGAACUCUGAAAAAGUUGAAAGUUGGCAUGGUAUCAUAAAUUGACCCACACAUAGCAUGUGCAUGUACAAAACGGACAAUGUUAUCAUACUCGUCAGUUACAAAGUUGGCAUGGUAUCAUCAUAAUAGUUGCGGGAGAAAGUCUUCACUUUUUCUUCGCUUGUGUCAUUUGCUUAUUGCGCCGUAACCAUGGAUAAUCUUCAUCGUUUAUCAGGAUGCUGGGGUCAGCCUUGACUUUAAAGGGAGGAAUUUCAUGAAACUUUUCAUAAUCUUCAGACAUGUCUGUCUUGUCCUCCUCUCCCACGAUGUCCCUUUUUCCUGAAAGAACUAUGUGGCGCUUUGGCUCAUCGUAUGAUGUAUUCGCUUCCUUAUCUUUUCUCUUUCUUGGUCUGGUAGACAUGUCCAUCACAUAGAUAACCUGUGCCACAUCAUUGGCUAGGACGAACGGUUCGUCAGUGUACCCAAGAUUUUUCGGAUCCACUGUUGUCGUUCCGUACUGUGGGUCUACAUGUACCCCGCCUCCUGACAGAUUGACCCAUUUGCACUUAAACAAAGGGACCUUAAAAUCAUGUCCUUAGUCAAGUUCCCAUAUGUCCACUAUGUAACCAUAAUAUGUGUCCUUUCCCCUCUCGGUUGUUGCAUCAAAGCGGACACCGCUGUUUUGGUUGGUGCUCUUUUGAUCUUGGUUAAUCGUGUAAAAUGUCUUCCCAUUUAUCUCAUAUCCUUUCCAAAUCGUAACAGUCGAAGAUGGUCCCCUGGAUAACAAGUACAUCUCAUCACAAACAGCGUUGUCACCUCUGAUACGUGCUUCCAACCAACUGCUGAAAGUCCUGAUGUGUUCACAUGUAAUUCAGUCGUCGCACUGCUCCGGGUGUUUGGAGCGCAGACUGUUCUUGUGUUCAUCCACAUACGGGGUCACCAAGGUAGAGUUCUGUAGAACUGUGUAGUGUGCUUGAGACCAAGAAUAUCUGUCCCUGCAUAUUAUUGAGUCCCUUCCAAGCAUGCCUUUUCCAGUCAGUCUCCCCUCAUACCGCGAUUUAGGGAGACCUAUCUUCUUAUGGCCAGGAAUGAAGUCAACACAAAACCCGAUGACAUCCUCUGUUUGAUGGCCCAUGGAGAUGCUUCCUUCUGGCCUAGCGCGAUGAGGGACAUAUUUCUUUAGGACUCCCAUGAACCUCUCAAAGGGGUACAUAUUGUGUAGAAAUACGGGGCCCAAAAUGACAAUCUCGUCAACUAGAUGAACUAGGACGUGCGUCAUGAUAUUGAAGAAGGAUGGUGGGAACACCAGCUCGAAACUGACAAGACAUUGCACCACAUCACUCCUUAGCCUUGGUAUGAUUUCUGGAUCGAUCACCUUCUGAGAGAUUGCAUUGAGGAAUGCACAUAGCUUCACAAUGGCUAAUCGGACGUUUUCCGGUAGAAGCCCCCUCAAUGCAACCGGAAGCAGUUGUGUCAUAAUCACGUGGCAGUCAUGAGACUUUAGGUUCUGAAACUUUUUCUUUGCCAUAUUUAUUAUUCCUUUUAUAUUCGACGAGAAGCCAGUCGGGACCUUCAUACUAAGCAGGCAUUCAAAGAAGAUUUCCUUCUCUUCUUUGGUAAGAGCAUAGCUGGCAGGACCUUCAUACUGCUUUGGAGGCAUGCCGUCUUUUUCGUGCAAAUGUUGCAGGUCCUCCCGUGCCUCAGCUGUAUCUUUUGUCUUCCCAUACACGCCCAAGAAGCCUAGCAGGUUCACGCAAAGGUUCUUCGUCACGUGCAUCACGUCGAUCGAAGAGCGGACCUCUAGGUCUUUCUAGUAGGGUAGGUCCCAAAAUAUAGAUUUCUUCUUCCACAUGGGUGCGUGUCCCCCAACGUCACUCGGAACAGCUAGUCUGCCGGGACCCUUUCCAAAGAUUACGUGUAAAUCAUUGACCAUAGCAAGUACGUGACCACCGGUACGCAUGGCGGGCUUCUUCCGGUGAUCUGCCUCGCCUUUGAAAUGCUUGCCUUUCUUUCGACAUUGAUGGUUGGUCGGAAGAAAUCGACGAUGGCCCAGGUACACAUUCUUCCUACAGCUUGCCAGGUAUAUACUAACGGUGUCAAGUAAACAGUGCGUGCAUGCGUGGUAUCCCUUGUUUGUCUGUCCUAAAAGGUUACUGAGAGCAGGCCAAUCGUUGAUGGUCACGAACAGCAACGCCUUUAGGUUAAAUUUCUCCUGUUUGUGCUCAUCCCACGUACGUACACCGUUUCCAUUCCACAGCUGUAAAAGUUCUUCAACUAAUGGCCUUAGGUACACAUCAAUGUCAUUGCCGGGUUGCUUAGGGCCUUGGAUGAGAACUGGCAUCAUAAUGAACUUCCGCUUCAUGCACAUCCAAGGAGGAAGGUUAUACAUACAUAGAGUCACGGGCCAGGUGCUGUGAUUGCUGCUCUGCUCCCCGAAAGGAUUAAUGCCAUCCGCACUUAAAGCAAACCAUACGUUCCUUGGCUCACUUGCAAACUCAUCCCAGUACUUUCUCUCAUUUUUCUCCAUUGCGACCCGUCAGCGGGUGCUCUCAACUUCCCGUCUUUCUUACGGUCCUCACUAUGCCAUCGCAUCAACUUGGCAUGCUCUCCGUUUCUGAACAGACGUUUCAACCGUGGUAUUAUAGGAGCAUACCACAUCACCACUACUAGGGAAAAGCCUAUACAUAGAAUCUUACCAGCAGCGCUCUUCAAAAUACAACGCUACUGCUACUUAGCAGCAGCGCGUGUCUGCCAAACACGCUGCUGACUUGGAAGUAGCAGUAGCGGGUGCAUCGCAUACAGCGCUACUGCUAUAGUUGCCAUGACCUUGCCCCCCCCCCCCCNNNNNNNNNNNNNNNNNNNNNNNNNNNNNNNNNNNNNNNNNNNNNNNNNNNNNNNNNNNNNNNNNNNNNNNNNNNNNNNNNNNNNNNNNNNNNNNNNNNNNNNNNNNNNNNNNNNNNNNNNNNNNNNNNNNNNNNNNNNNNNNNNNNNNNNNNNNNNNNNNNNNNNNNNNNNNNNNNNNNNNNNNNNNNNNNNNNNNNNNNNNNNNNNNNNNNNNNNNNNNNNNNNNNNNNNNNNNGCAAACGCGCUACAACUAUCCCUACCUUAUCCCCAUGCGCACGACCGGCCCUCUCACUCACACUCUCACUCUCGCCCACGUCAACCGUCGUCGUCCGUCGCCGCCGCCGCCGCCUUCGUCCGUCCGCCGCCGAGGUACUCCCCUCCUUCCGUCCCUCCUCCAUCCUCCUUGCACAUCCUCCCUCCGCCUGUGGCCGCCCCUCCUUCCUCCGCCGCUGCCCUCCUCCCUCCGCCUGCGGCCGCCCCUCCUCCCUCCUCCGACGGCAGCCCUCCUCCCACCGCCCUCGACCUCGCUGCCCCUAGCUACCUCUCCGUCGCCCCCCACCCCUGCCACUAGUUAGUACUAGAUUUAGUAGUAGUAGAUGUUAAUUUAGGGUUAGCUAGUACUAGAUGUUGCUUAGUUAGUACUAGAUUUUUAGUAGUAGUAGUGGUAGUUGAACUACUUUAGUUGUAGUUGAACUAGUUUAGUAAGUAAAUUAAUAAACGAGUUGAACUAGUUGAAUUAAUAGAACUAAUCUAUUUUUAGUAAGAUAAUUAAUAUAACUAGUUGAACUACUUUAUUUUUAGAAAGAACUAAUUUUUUUCUAUUUAUAUUAAGUUUAUAUUUAGUAAGAACUAGUUGAAUUAAUAAAACUAGUUGAACAUGUCAUGUUUGUUGUUAGUGAUAACUUAUAUGGUUUCAGGUGACCUCCGUCGUCCCCGUCACCGACCCCCUCCGACAUCCCCGUCGUCGUCCCAGUCACCGACCCCCUCCGACAUCGAGGUGAGACCAGCCAAAUAUCCUUGUAUAUCUUGUGUUGUUGCUCAAAUUGGAUAUGUGGUUGCCCAAGUGGCCGUUCAUGUAGUUUACAUCUCCGAGUGGCCUAUGUUUUGCCGGAGUGUUGAUUAAUUUCCGUUCCGACAAAUUUCAGGCGCUCGAUAUGUCCUUUUUUAGCAAAGGUCAUGCCGGAUUUUGUCGUGAAUUCUGGUAUGACUUGUGCUAGAAUAUGUACAAGUUUAAUCUUUGAAUUAUGAUUGUAGGAAAUGUCGUACUCGGACGACGAAGGUCUCCCGGGGGAGUGUAGCUGGUGCCACGACGAUCGAGGUAUGUGCGAUAGGUUCGUUCGGCUGGACGAAGAUCGGCGCUUCAACAUUAAGCUCGAGGAGACCUUCGAUUGUGAAAUGGUACGCAACAACGACAAGUGUUUUUUCUCCAUUAAGCAUGACUUCAACUAUUUCAACGUCUAAUUUUCAUAUUUUACAAUUCGACUAGCUUAUCCCAUGCCAUGCAAGACGCUAUGUCUUGGAGAGGAUGGGUUUUGAAGACCAUGAAAAUUUCAAAACAAAGAAAAUACACCUAAGGACCCAUCAUGAUAUGGAUUUUGAAGUAAACCUGUGCAAUGCUCAGAGCGCAACCCAUUUUGGUUGCCAAAAUUGGGAAGCACUUUGCAAAAUGUAUGGUUUUUAUGAGGGUAUGAUUGUCACCAUGGAUCUUGGUGAUCCUGACAGUGAGGAAGACAAUAUGGACAUUUGGGUCCUUGUUGAUACGCUUCCGAUUGUACCGCUAUGUGACUUUCUCAAACAUAGUUAUUAACUAAUUUAUAUUGUUUAUUUCAAAAUAGUUGAUAGCUUAUUUCCAUUGACAGCUUAUUUUGAUUCUUCAAAGACUGUGCGGAAGAUGGUAGAUAAAACCCACUACACCGAAGGCACCCAAUUAACGUAUAAGGAGAAAAAUCAUCUGAUCGCAUUUUGUACUCUUCUUGAGAAUUACAAUGACUAUAAUCGAACUCCUCCAGAUUAUGGUGAAUAUGUGCCACUAGUGCAUGUGUUGAACAACGAUAACUUAUCUGGAGAUACCCUGGUAAGAUUUUUUACUAUUACGACAUCCGUGUAUUUUUUGCAUACUUCUAAAACUAGUACAUCAUUGCUAACUACGAAGUUAUUAUUAUGUUUUUCAACAGAAACUCCCGAUGGAUUGUGUGCCUCAUCUGAUGUCUCUGCAUGGUCGCCUCUCAGUUCUGAACAUACUGCCAGGUAAAUCUACAGAGCUCACCUAUGCAUAUCAGAUUUCUAAAACCCGUGAACACAUGAUCAUCAGAGAAUGGAAGAAAUGUAUGGACAUUCGCAAGGAGGUUCUUGGAAGUAACAUUCAGCGAAACGUAAGAAUGGGAGACAGGCUAAUCUCCAUUCUCCAUAAUGGAGAGUCAGGGGCUAUCUUGUUUUUUGUUAUUUUACCUUAGAAAAUGUAGUAGGUCUUAAUCGAAUGUAAUAGGUCCUAUGAGGUACAAUAUGUUUAUUAUGUGGUAAUGUGUUAGAGUUGAUAAUGAUGAUCUUGAGGAGGUGUUAUGUGAUGUCAAUGAUGAAAACGAUGAUAUUGAGGAGGUGUUAUAUGACAAUGAUGUAUUAUGAUGCUAAGUUGUUAAUGAUAUGAUGAUGAUGAUGAUAUUAUUAUAUCAUUGGGUGAAAGAACCGUGGAUUAGUUUCAAGUGGAUGGACAUCCACUUGAAACUAGUCCACGGUUCUUUCACCCCAUGAUGUAAUAACUCAUUAUGAUGUAAAAACAAUCUCUAAAUUCCUGUUGUAUGAAAACUUGUGUAAGGGUGUAUGAAUACAACAUGAAAAAGAAAAGAAAUAAAAUACUAAAUAAUAGUAGUAGCGCGGGUAAGGAGAAGCGCUACUACUAAUUACCAGUAGCGAUGUUCUAAAGAACCGCUGCUACUAAGUCAAUUUAGCAGUAGCGCGUGUCAAGACGCGCUAUUGCUAAGCAUUAGCUGUAGCGCCUUAUCAGUAGCGCUCCUGCCCGCGCUACUGAUAGGCCCAAAACCCGCGCUGCUGCUAGGCUUUUCCCUAGUAGUGCACCUUCGCAGGAACCCUCUUCCUGGGGGGCUCGCCGUCAACAUCACCAGGGUCAUCUCGUCUGAUCUUAUACCAUAAUGCACCGCAUACCAGGCAUGCGUUCAGAUCCUUAUAUGCACCGCGGUAGAGGAUGCAGUCAUUAGGGCAUGCAGGUAUCUUCUGCACCUCCAAUCCUAGAGGGCAUACGACCUUCUUUGCUGCGUAUGUACUGUCGGGCAAUUCGUUAUCCUUUGGAAGCUUCUUCUUCAAUAUUUUCAGUAGCUUCUCAAAUCCUUUGUCAGGCACAGCAUUCUCUUAAAGGAAAUAUGCCCUAGAGGCAAUAAUAAAGUUAUUAUUUAUUUCCUCAUAUCAUGAUAAAUGUUUAUUAUUCAUGCUAGAAUUGUAUUAACCGGAAACAUGAUACAUGUGUGAAUACAUAGACAAAACUAUAGUCACUAGUAUGCCUCUACUUGACUAGCUCAUUAAUCAAAGAUGGUUAUGUUUCCUGACCAUAGACAUGUGUUGUCAUUUGAUUAGUGGGAUCACAUCAUUAAGAGAAUGAUGUGAUUGACAUGACCCAUUCUGUUAGCCCAGCACUUGAUCGUUUAGUAUACUGCUAUUGCUUUCUUCAUGACUUAUACAAAGUUCCUGCAACUAUGAGAUUGUGCAACUCCCGUUUACCGGAAGAACACUUUGUGUGCUACCAAACAUCACAACGUAACUGGGUGAUUAUAAAGGUGCUCUACAGGUGUUUCCGAAGGUACAUGUUGGGUUGGCAUAAUUCGAGAUUAGGAUUUGUCACUCCGAUUGUCGGAGAGGUAUCUCUGGGCCCUCUCGGAAAUACUCAUCACAUAAGCCUUGCAAGCAUGUAACUAAUGAGUUAGUUAUGAGAUGACGUAUUACGAAACGAGUAAAGAGACUUGCCGGUAACGAGAUUGAACUAGGUAUUGGAUACCGACGAUCAAAUCUCGGGCAAGUAACAUACCGAUGACAAAGGGAACAAAGUAUGUUGUUAUGCGGUUUGACCGAUAAAGAUCUUCGUAGAAUAUGUAGGAACCAAUAUGGGCAUCCAGGUCCCGCUAUUGGUUAUUGACCGAGAAUGGUUUUAGGUCAUGACUACAUAGUUCUCAAACCCGUAGGGUCCGCACGCUUAACUUUUUGAUGAUAGUUUUAUUAUGAGUUUAUAAGUUUUGAUGUACCAAAGUUUGUUCGGAGUUCCGGAUGUGAUCACGGAUAUGAUGAGGAGUCUCGGAAUGCUUGAGCCAUAAAGAUUGAUAUAUUGGACGACUAUAUUCGGACACCGGAAAGGUUCCGGGAGUUUUCGGAGAAAACCGGAGUGCCCGGGGGGUUACCGAAACCCCCCGGGAGAGUUAAUGGGCCACAUGGGCCUAGGUGGGAAGAGAAAGGGGCGGCCAGGGUGAGCCGCGCGCCCCCUCUCCCUCUAGUCCGAAUUGGACUAGGAGGGGGGGCGGCGCCCCCUUUCCUUCCCCCCCUCUCUUCCUUCCUUCCCCCUCCUAGUAGGAGUAGGAAAGGAGGAAUCCUACUCCUACUAGGAGGAGGAUUCCUCCUCCCUUGCGCGCCCCAAGGGGCCGGCCGGCCUCCCCCUCCCUCCUUUAUAUACGGGGGCAGGGGGCACCCCAUAGACACACAAGUUGAUCUACGGAUCGUUCCUUAGCCGUGUGCGGUGCCCCCUUCCACCAUAUUCCACCUCGGUCAUAUCGUCGCGAAGCUUAGGCGAAGUCCUGCGCCGGUAGAACAUCAAGAUCGUCACCACGCCGUCGUGCUGACGGAACUCUCCCUCGACACUCGGCUGGAUCGGAGUUCGAGGGACGUCAUCGAGCUGAAUGUGUGCUGAACUCGGAGGCUCCGUACGUUCGGUUCUUGGAUCGGUCGGAUCGUGAAGACGUAUGACUACAUCAACCGCGUUGUCAUAACGCUUCCGCUUACGGUCUACGAGGGUACAUGGACAUACACUCUCCCCUCUCGUUGCUAUGUCAUCACCAUGAUCUUGCGUGUGCGUAGGAAAAUUUUGAAAUUACUACGUUCCCCGACAGUGGUAUCAGAGCCUAGGUUUUAUGCGUUGAUGUUAUAUGCACGAGUAGAACACAAGUGAGUUGUGGACGAUAUAAGUCAUACUGCCUACCAGUGUGUCAUACUUUGGUUCAGCGGUAUUGUGAGAUGAAGCGGCCCGGACCGACAUUACGGGUACGCUUACGCGAGACUAGUUUCACCGUUAUGAGCACUCGUGCUUAAAGGUGGCUGGCGGGUGUCUGUCUCUCUCACUUUAGUUGAACCGAGUGUGGCUACGCCCGGCCCUUGUGAAGGUUAAAACGGAGUCUAUUUGACAAACUAUCGUUGUGGUUUUGAUGCGUAGGUAAGAACGGUUCUUGCUAAGCCCGUAGCAUCCACGUAAAAUUUGCAACAACAAAGUAGAGGACGUCUAACUUGUUUUUGCAGGGCAUGUUGUGAUAUGAUAUGGUCAAGACGUGAUGCUAUAUUUUAUUGUAUGAGAUGAUCAUGUUUUGUAACCGAAGUUAUCGGCAACUGGCUGGAGCCAUAUGGUUGUCGCUUUAUUGUAUGAAAUGCAAACGCCCUGUAAUUGCUUUACUUUAUCUCUAAGCGGUAGCGAUAGUCGUAGAAGCAAUAGAUGGCGUAAACGACAACGAUGCUACGAUGGAGAUCAAGGUGUCGCGCCGGUGACGAUGGUGAUCAUGACGGUGCUUCGAAGAUGGAGAUCACAAGCACAAGAUGAUGAUGGCCAUAUCAUAUCACUUAUAUUGAUUGCAUGUGAUGUUUAUCCUUUAUGCAUCUUAUCUUGCUUUGAUUGACGGUAGCAUUUUAAGAUGAUCUCUCACUAAAAUUAUCAAGUAGUGUUCUCCCUGAGUAUGCACCGUUGCCAAAGUUCAUCGUGCCGAGACACCACGUGAUGAUCGGGUGUGAUAAGCUCUACGUCCAUCUACAACGGGUGCAAGCCAGUUUUGCACACGCAGAAUACUCAGGUUAAACUUGACGAGCCUAGCAUAUGCAGAUAUGGCCUCGGAACACAGAGACCGAAAGGUCGAGCGUGAAUCAUAUAGUAGAUAUGAUCAACAUAAUGAUGUUCACCAUUGAAAACUACUCCAUCUCACGUGAUGAUCGGUUAUGGUUUAGUUGAUUUGGAUCACGUGAUCACUUAGAUGACUAGAGAGAUGUCUGUCUAUGUGGGAGUUCUUAAGUAAUAUGAUUAAUUGAACUUAAAUUUAUCAUGAACUUAGUACCUGAUAGUAUCUUGCUUGUCUAUGUUUGUUUGUAGAUAGAUGGCUCGUGCUGUUGUUCCGUUGAAUUUUAAUGCGUUCCUUGAGAAAGCAAAGUUGAAAGAUGAUGGUAGCAAUUACACGGACUGGGUCCGUAACCUGAGGAUUAUCCUCAUUGUUGCACAGAAGAGUUACGUCCUGGAAGCACCGCUGGGUGCCAGGCCUGCUGCUGAUGCAACUGACGACGUUAAGAACGUCUGGCAGAGCAAAGCUGAUGACUACUCUAUAGUUCAGUGUGCCAUGCUUUACGGCUUAGAACCGGGUCUUCAACGACGUUUUGAACGUCAUGGAGCAUAUGAGAUGUUCCAGGAGUUGAAGUUAAUAUUUCAAGCAAAUGCCCGGAUUGAGAGAUAUGAAGUCUCCAAUAAGUUCUAUAGCUGCAAGAUGGAGGAGAAUAGUUCUGUCAGUGAACAUAUACUCAGAAUGUCUGGGUAUAACAAUCACUUGAUUCAACUGGGAGUUAAUCUUCCUGAUGAUAGUGUCAUUGACAGAAUUCUUCAAUCACUGCCACCAAGCUACAAGAGCUUUGUGAUGAACUAUAAUAUGCAAGGGAUGAACAAGACUAUUCCCGAGCUCUUCGCGAUGCUGAAAGCCGCAGAGGUAGAAAUCAAGAAGGAGCAUCAAGUGUUGAUGGUCAACAAGACCACUAGUUUCAAGAAGAAGGGCAAAGGAAAGAAGAAGGGGAACUUCAAAAAGAACGGCAAGCAAGUUGCUGCUCAAGAGAAGAAACCCAAGUCUGGACCUAAGCCUGAAACUGAGUGCUUCUACUGCAAGCAGACUGGUCACUGGAAGCGGAACUGCCCCAAGUAUUUGGCGGAUAAGAAGGAUGGCAAAGUAAACAAAGGUAUAUGUGAUAUACAUGUUAUUGAUGUGUACCUAACUAGAGCUCGUAGUAGCACCUGGGUAUUUGAUACUGGUUCUGUUGCUAAUAUUUGCAACUCGAAACAGGGACUACGGAAUAAGCGAGCACUGGCCAAGGACGAGGUGACGAUGCGCGUGGAAAACGGUUCCAAAGUCGAUGUGAUCGCGGUCGGCACGCUACCUCUACAUCUACCAUCGGGAUUAGUUUUAGACCUAAAUAAUUGUUAUUUGGUGCCAGCGUUGAGCAUGAACAUUAUAUCUGGAUCUUGUUUGAUGCAAGACGGUUAUUCAUUUAAAUCAGAGAAUAAUGGUUGUUCUAUUUAUAUGAGUAAUAUCUUUUAUGGUCAUGCACCCUUGAAGAGUGGUCUAUUUUUAUUGAAUCUCGAUAGUAGUGAUACACAUAUUCAUAUUGUAGAAGCCAAAAGAUGCAGAGUUGAUAAUGAUAGUGCAACUUAUUUGUGGCACUGCCGUUUGGGUCAUAUCGGUGUACAACGCAUGAAGAAACUCCAUACUGAUGGACUUCUGGAAUCACUUGAUUAUGAAUCACUUGGUACUUGCGAACCGUGCCUUAUGGGCAAGAUGACUAAAACACCGUUCUCCGGAACUAUGGAGAGAGCAACAGAUUUGUUGGAAAUCAUACAUACAGAUGUAUGUGGUCCGAUGAAUGUUGAGGCUCGUGGCGGAUAUCAUUAUUUUCUCACCUUCACUGAUGAUUUAAGCAGAUAUGGGUAUAUCUACUUAAUGAAGUACAAGUCUGAAACAUUUGAAAAGUUCAAAGAAUUUCAGAGUGAAGUAGAAAAUCAUCGUAACAAGAAAAUAAAGUUUCUACGAUCUGACCGUGGAGGAGAAUAUUUGAGUUACGAGUUUGGUUUACAUUUGAAACAAUGCGGAAUAGUUUCGCAACUCACGCCACCUGGAACACCACAACGAAAUGGUGUGUCCAAACGUCGUACUCGUACUUUACUUGAUAUGGUGCGAUCUAUGAUGUCUCUUACCGAUUUACCGCUAUCGUUUUGGGGUUAUGCUUUAGAGACGGCCGCAUUCACGUUAAAUAGGGCACCAUCAAAAUCCGUUGAGAUGACGCCUUAUGAACUGUGGUUUGGCAAGAAACCAAAGUUGUCGUUUCUUAAAGUUUGGGGCUGCGGUACUUAUGUGAAGAAACUUCAACCAGAUAAGCUCGAACCCAAAUCGGAGAAAUGUGUCUUCGUAGGAUACCCAAAGGAGACUAUUGGGUACACCUUCUAUCACAGAUCUGAAGGCAAGAUUUUCGUUGCUAAAUUCGGAUCCUUUCUAGAGAAGGAAUUUCUCUCGAAAGAAGUGAGUGGGAGGAAAGUAGAACUUGAUGAGAUAACUGUAUCUACUCCCUUAUUGGAAGGUAGUUCAUCACGAGAACUGGUUCCCAUGACAACUACACCAAUUAUUGAGGAAGCUAAUAAUAUUGAUCAUGAAACUUCAGAUCAAGUUUCUGCUGAACCUCGUAGGUCUACCAGAGUAAGAUCCGCACCAGAGUGGUACGGUAAUCCUAUUCUGGAAGUCAUGUUACUUGACCAUGAUGAACCUACGAACUAUGAGGAACCGAUGAUGAGCCCAGAUUCCGCAAAAUGGCUAGAGGCCAUGAAAUCUGAGAUGGGAUCCAUGGAUGAAAACAAAGUAUGGACUUUGGUUGACUUGCCCGAUGAUCGGCAAGCCAUUGAGAAUAAAUGGAUCUUUAAGAAGAAGACUGACGCUGAUGGUAAUGUUACUGUCUAUAAAGCUCGACUUGUUGCGAAAGGUUUUCGACAAGUUCAAGGGGUUGACUAUGAUGAGACUUUCUCACCCGUAGCGAUGCUUAAGUCUGUCCGAAUCAUGUUGGCUAUUGCUGCAUUUCAUGAUUAUGAAAUUUGGCAAAUGGAUGUCAAAACUGCAUUCUUGAAUGGAUUUCUAGAAGAAGAGUUGUAUAUGAUGCAGCCGGAAGGUUUUGUUGAUCCAAAAGGUGCUGACAAAGUGUGUAAGCUCCAAUGUUCCAUUUAUGGACUGGUGCAAGCAUCUCGGAGUUGGAAUAAACGUUUUGACAGUGUGAUCAAGGCAUAUGGUUUUAUACAGACUUUUGGAGAAGCCUGUAUUUACAAGAAAGUGAGUGGGAGCUCUGUAGCAUUUCUAGUUUUAUAUGUUGAUGACAUAUUAUUAAUUGGAAAUGAUAUAGAAUUUCUGGAGAGCAUAAAGGGAUACUUGAAUAAAAGUUUUUCAAUGAAAGACCUCGGUGAAGCUGCUUACAUAUUGGGCAUCAAGAUCUAUAGAGAUAGAUCAAGACGCUUAAUAGGACUUUCACAAAGCACAUACCUUGACAAAAUUUUGAAAAAGUUCAAAAUGGAUCAGGCAAAGAAAGGAUUCUUGCCUGUGCUACAAGGUGUGAAGUUGAGUCAAACUCAAUGCCCGACCACAUCAGAAGAUAGAGAGAAAAUGAAAAAUGUUCCCUAUGCUUCAGCCAUAGGCUCUAUCAUGUAUGCAAUGCUGUGUACCAGACUUGACGUAUGCUUAGCAAUAAGCUUGGCAGGAAGGUACCAAAGUAAUCCAGGAGUGGAUCACUGGACAGCGGUCAAGAACAUCCUUAAAUACCUGAAAAGGACUAAGGAUAUAUUUCUCGUAUAUGUAGGUGACAAAGAGCUCGUCGUAAAUGGUUACGUCGAUGCAAGCUUUGACACUGAUCCAGACGAUUCUAAAUCGCAAACCGGAUACGUGUUUAUAUUAAACGGUGGAGCUGUAAGUUGGUGCAGUUCUAAACAAAGCGUCGUGGCGGGAUCUACAUGUGAAGCGGAGUACAUAGCUGCUUCUGAAGCAGCAAAUGAAGGAGUCUGGAUGAAGGAGUUCAUUUCCGAUCUAGGUGUCAUACCUAGUGCAUCGGGACCAAUGAAGAUCUUCUGUGACAAUACAGGUGCAAUUGCUUUGGCAAAGGAAUCCAGAUUUCACAAGAGGACCAAGCACAUCACGAGACGCUUAAAUUCCAUUCGGGACCAAGUCCAAGUGGGAGACAUACAGAUUUGCAAGAUACAUACGGAUCUGAAUAUUGCAGACCCGUUGACUAAGCAUCUCUCACGAGCAAAACAUGAUCAGCACCAAGACUCCAUGGGUGUUAGAAUCAUUAUUGUGUAAUCUAGAUUAUUGACUCUAGUGCAAGUGGGAGACUAAAGGAAAUAUGCCCUAGAGGCAAUAAUAAAGUUAUUAUUUAUUUCCUCAUAUCAUGAUAAAUGUUUAUUAUUCAUGCUAGAAUUGUAUUAACCGGAAACAUGAUACAUGUGUGAAUACAUAGACAAAACUAUAGUCACUAGUAUGCCUCUACUUGACUAGCUCAUUAAUCAAAGAUGGUUAUGUUUCCUGACCAUAGACAUGUGUUGUCAUUUGAUUAGUGGGAUCACAUCAUUAAGAGAAUGAUGUGAUUGACAUGACCCAUUCUGUUAGCCUAGCACUUGAUCGUUUAGUAUACUGCUAUUGCUUUCUUCAUGACUUAUACAAAGUUCCUGCAACUAUGAGAUUGUGCAACUCCCGUUUACCAAAAGAACACUUUGUGUGCUACCAAACGUCACAACGUAACUGGGUGAUUAUAAAGGUUCUCUACAGGUGUUUCCGAAGGUACAUGUUGGGUUGGCAUAAUUCGAGAUUAGGAUUUGUCACUCCGAUUGUCGGAGAGGUAUCUUUGGGCCCUCUCGGUAAUACUCAUCACAUAAGCCUUGCAAGCAUGUAACUAAUGAGUUAGUUAUGAGAUGACGUAUUACGGAACGAGUAAAGAGACUUGCCGGUAACGAGAUUGAACUAGGUAUUGGAUACCAACGAUCAAAUCUCGGGCAAGUAACAUACCGAUGACAAAGGGAACAAAGUAUGUUGUUAUGCGGUUUGACCGAUAAAGAUCUUCAUAGAAUAUGUAGGAACCAAUAUGGGCAUCCAGGUCCCGCUAUUGGUUAUUGACCGAGAAUGGUUUUAGGUCAUGACUACAUAGUUCUCGAACCCGUAGGGUCCGCACGCUUAACGUUUCGAUGAUAGUUUUAUUAUGAGUUUAUAAGUUUUGAUGUACCGAAGUUUGUUCGGAGUCCCAGAUGUGAUCACAGACAUGACGAGGAGUCUUGGAAUGGUCGAGACAUAAAGAUUGAUAUAUUGGACGACUAUAUUCGGACACCGGAAAGGUUCCGGGAGUUUUCGGAGAAAACCGGAGUGCCGGGGGGGUUACCGGAACCCCCCGGGAGAGUUAAUGGGCCACAUGGGCCUAGGUGGGAAGAGAGAGGUGCGGCCAGGGUGGGCCGCGCGCCCCCUCUCCCUCUAGUUCGAAUUGGACUAGGAGGGGGGGCGGCGCCCCCCUUUCCUUCCCCCCCUCUCUUCCUUCCUUCCCCCUCCUAGUAGGAGUAGGAAAGGAGGAAUCCUACUCCUACUAGGAGGAGGAUUCCUCCUCCCUUGGAGCGCCCCAAGGGGCUGGCCGGCCUCCCCCUCCCUCCUUUAUAUACGAGGGCAGGGGGCACCCCAUAGACACACAAGUUGAACUACGGAUCGUUCCUUAGCCGUGUGCGGUGCCCCCUUCCACCAUAUUCCACCUCGGUCAUAUUGUCGCGAAGCUUAGGCGAAGCCCUGCGCCGGUAGAACAUCAAGAUCGUCACCACGCCGUCGUGCUGACGGAACUCUCCCUCGACACUCGGCUGGAUCGGAGUUCGAGGGACGUCAUCGAGCUGAACAUCUGCUGAACUCGGAGGCUCCGUACGUUAGGUGCUUGGAUCGGUCGGAUCGUGAAGACGUACGACUACAUCAACCGCGUUGUCAUAACGCUUCCGCUUACGGUCUACGAGGGUACGUGGACAUACACUCUCCCCUCUCGUUGCUAUUUCAUCACCAUGAUCUUGCUUGUGCGUAGGAAAAUUUUGAAAUUACUACGUUCCCCAACAUCUCUGCCUUCCACUGCAGCAAUUCCAGUACGGUACCGAGCUUUGUGUUGCCAUCUUCGCAAUUGGGGUACAACCCUUUUUUUUGGUCCUCUAGCAUGCGAUCGAACUUCAGCUUCUCCUUUUGACUUUUGCAUUGCGUCCUUGCAUCGACAAUGACCCGGCGGAGAUCAUCAUCAUCGGGCACAUCGUCUGGUUCCUCUUGAUCUUCAGCAGCUUCGCCUGUUGCAGCAUCAUCGUGCACAUCGUCUGGUUCCUCUUGAUCUUCAGGAGCAUCACCGUAUUCAGGGGCACAUAGUUGUCAUCGUACUCUUCUUCACCGUCUUCCAUCAUAACCCCUAUUUCUCCGUGCCUCAUCCAAACAUUAUAGUGUGGCAUGAAACCCUUGUAAAGCAGGUGGGUGUGGAGGAUUUUCCGGUCAGAGUAAGACUUCGUAUUCCCACAUAUAGGACAUGGACAACACAUAAAACCAUUCUGCUUGUUUGCCUCAGCCACUUCGAGAAAAUCAUGCACGCGCUUAAUGUACUCGGAGGUGUGUCUUGAACCGUACAUCCAUUGCCGGUUCAUCUGCGUGCAUUAUAUAAUGAAGUGACCAAAUUAAUAGAAGUUCAUCAUCACAUUAAAACCAAAGUACAUACAUAGUUCUCAUCUAACAACAUAAAGCUCUGCAGAGCAUCUAAAUUAAUUAAACCAUACACUGAAACUAUGUAAAACAUUUCAAUGCGAAAACAAAUGCAACCAUAAUCGCAACCAAUGUAACAACUGAUCCAACGGCAUAAUGAUACCAAGCCUCAGUAUGAAUGGCAUAUUUUCUAAUCUUUCUAAUCUUCAAGCGCAUUGCAUCCAUCUUGAUCUUGUGAUCAUCGACGACAUCCCCAACAUGCAACUCCAAUAUCAUCUUCUCCUCCUCAAUUUUUCUAAUUUUUUCCUUCAAGAAAUUGUUUUCUUCUUCAACUGAAUUUAACCUCUCGACAAUAGGGUCGGUUGGAAUUUCCGGUUCAACAACCUCCUAGAUAAAUAAAAUCUAUGUCACGUUGGUCGGCAUAAUUGUCAUAAACAAUAAAUGAACCAAUAGUUAUGAAAAGAUAAUAUAUACCACAUCCGAAUCAUAGACAGGACGAGGGCCGACGGGGGCGGAUACCAAAACCAUCGCACUAUAUAAGAUGCAAUAAUAAAAGUAAGAAAAUAAUACAAGUAUCUAUCUAAACAUACAAGUAAGAAUAUUUUUCCUUUCAGAAAGAAGAUAAGAACAAGAGGCUCACCACGGUGGUGCCGGCGAUGAGAUCGGCGCGGGUGAUCGACGACGAUGAAGACAAGGACGGGGCGUGACGGACCGCUAAACCUAGACAAAUAUUGAGGAAAAUGGAGCUUGGCGGUCGAGCUUGGAGGGGAGAAAGCUUAAGUAGUGUGGCUCGGGCAUUCCAUCGAACACCUCGUGUGCAUAGGAGGUGAGCUAGAGCACCACAAAGCUCUCCCCUCGCCGGCCACGAAAAACAGAGCACUGGGAGUGCUCUGCUCGCGAGCGGGGGGUAUAUAUAGGCACCACCAUUGGUCCCGGUUGGUCGCACGAACCGGGACUAAAGGUUGGCCUUUGGUCCCGGUUCGUGCCACCAACUGGGACCAAUGGUGGUGGGCCAGGAGCGAGGCCCAUUGGUCCCGGUUCGUCCCUCCAACCGGGACCAAAAGGUCCAGACAAACCGGGACCAAUGGCCCACGUGUUGGGUUUCGUAGUAAUUUCAAAAAAUUUCCUACGCACACGCAAGAUCAUGUGAUGCAUAGCAACGAGGGGAGAGUGUUGUCUACGUACCCAACGCAGACCGACUGCGGAAGCGAUGACACGACGUAGAGGAAGUAGUCGUACGUCUUCACGAUCCAACCGAUCAAGCACCGAAACUACGGCACCUCCGAGUUCGAGCACACGUUCAGCUCGAUGACGAUCCCCGGACUCCGAUCCAGCAAAGUGUCGGGGAAGAGUUCCGUCAGCACGACGGCGUGGUGACGAUCUUGAUGAACUACAGCAGCAGGGCUUCGCCUAAACUCCGCUACAGUAUUAUCGAGGUAUAUGGUGGCAGGGGCACCGCACACGGCUAAGGAAUAGAUCACGUGGAUCAACUUGUGUGUAUAGAGGUGCCCCCUGCCUCCGUAUAUAAAGGAGGAGAGGAGGGGAGGCUGGCCGGCCAAGGAGGGGAGGCGCAGGAGAGUCCUACUCCCUCUGGGAGUAGGAUUCCCCCCAAUCCUAGUCCAACUAGGAUUCCUCGGAGGGGAAGGGAGAGAGGGGGGCCGGCCACCUUCUCCUAGUCCUAAUAGGACUAGGGGAGGGGGAAGUGGCGCAGCCACCUUGGGCUGCCCCUUUCUCCUUUCCACUAAGGCCCAUGAAGGCCCAUAUGGCUCCCGGGGGGUUCCGGUAAUCCUCCCGGUACUCCGGUAAAAUCCCGAUUUCACCCGGAACACUUCCGAUGUCCAAACAUAGGCUUCCAAUAUAUCAAUCUUUAUGUCUCGACCGUUUCGAGACUCCUCGUCAUGUCCAUGAUCACAUCCGGGACUCCAAACAACCUUCGGUACAUCAAAAUGCAUAAACUCAUAAUGUAACUGUCAUCGUAACCUUAAGCGUGCGGACCCUACGGGUUCGAGAACAAUGUAGACAUGACCGAGACACGUCUCCGGUCAAUAACCAAUAGCGGGACCUGGAUGCCCAUAUUGGCUCCUACAUAUUCUACGAAGAUCUUUAUCGGUCAGACCGCAUAACAACAUACGUUGUUCCCUUUGUCAUCGGUACGUUACUUGCCCGAGAUUCGAUCGUCGGUAUCCAAUACCUAGUUCAAUCUCGUCACCGGCAAGUCUCUUUACUCGUUCUAUAAUGCAUCAUCCCGUAACCAACUCAUUGGUCACAUUGCUUGCAAGGCUUAUAAUGAUGUGCAUUACCGAGAGGGCCCAGAGAUACCUCUCCGACAAUCGGAGUGACAAAACCUAAUCUCGAAAUACGCCAACUCAACAUGUACCUUCGGAGACACCUGUAGUACUCCUUUAUAAUCACCCAGUUAAGUUGUGACGUUUGGUAGUACCCAAAGUGUUCCUCCGGUAAACGGGAGUUGCAUAAUCUCAUAGUUACAGGAACAUGUAUAAGUCAUGAAGAAAGCAAUAGCAACAUACUAAACGAUCAAGUGCUAAGCUAACGGAAUGGGUGAAGUCAAUCACAUCAUUCUCCUAAUGAUGUGACCCCGUUAAUCAAAUGACAACUCUUUUGUCCAUGGCUAGGAAACAUAACCAUCUUUGAUAAACGAGCUAGUCAAGUAGAGGCAUACUAGUGACACUAUGUUUGUCUAUGUAUUCACACAUGUAUUAUGUUUCUGGUUAAUACAAUUCUAGCAUGAAUAAUAAACAUUUAUCAUGAAAUAAGGAAAUAAAUAAUAACUUUAUUAUUGCCUCUAGGGCAUAUUUCCUUCAGUCUCCCACUUGCACUAGAGUCAAUAAUCUAGUUCACAUCGUCAUGUGAUUUAACAACAAUAUUCAUAUCUGUAUAUGAUUAACACCCAUAGUUCACAUUAUCAUGUGACCAACACCCAAAGGGUUUACUAGAGUAAAUAAUCUAGUUCACAUCUCUAUGUGAUUAACACCCAAAGAGUACUAAGGUGUGAUCAUGUUUUGCUCGUGAAAGAAGCUUAGUCAAUGGGUCUGUCACAUUCAGAGCCGUAUGCAUUUUGCAAAUAUUUUAUGUCUACAAUGCUCUGCACGGUGCUACUCUAGCAAUUGCUCCCACUUUCAAUAUGUAUCCAGAUUGAGACUUAGAGUCAUCUGGAUCGGUGUGAAAACUUGCACCGAGGUAACUUUUACGACGGGCUCUUUUAUCACCUCCAUAAUCGAGAAAUAUUUCCUUAGUCCUCACUAAGGAUAUUCUUGACCAAUGUCGAGUGAUCUACUCCUAGAUCACUAUUGUACUCCCUUGUCAAAUACUGAGCAAGGUAUACAAUAGUUCUGGUACAUAGCAUAGCAUACUUUAUAGAACCUAUGACUGAGGCAUAGGGAAUGACUUUUCAUUUUUUCUAUUUUCUGUUGUGGUCGGGAUUUGAGUCUUACUCAAUUUCAUACCUUUGCAACACAGGCAAGAACUCUUUCUUUGACUGUUCCAUUUUGAACUAUUUCAAAAUCUUGCCAAGGUAUGUACUCAUUGAAAAUCUUAUCAAGCGUCUUGAUCUAUCUCAAUAUAUCUUGAUGCUCAAUAUGUAAGUAGCUUUUACUGAGGUCUUUUCCUUUUAAAGAACUCCUUUAAAACACUCCUUUAUGCUUUGCAGAAAAAUUCUACAUCAUUUCUGAUCAACAAUAUGUCACUCGUAUAUACUAAUCAGAAAGGCUAUAGUGCUCCCACUCACUUUAUUGUAAAUACAGGCUUCUCAAAAAGUCUGUAUAAAACCAUAUGCUUUGAUCAACUCAUCAAAGCGUAUAUUCCAACUCCGAGAGGCUUGCACCAGUCCAUAGAUGGAUCGCUGGAGCUUGCACAUUUUUUUAGCACCUUUAGGAUUGACAAAACCUUCUGGUUGCAUCAUAUACAACUCUUCUUUAAUAAAUCCAUUAAGGAAUGCAGUUUUGAUAUCCAUUUGCCAGAUUUCAUAAAAUGUGGCAAUUGCUAACAUGAUUCAGACAGACUUAAGAAUCGAUACGAGUGAGAAAAUCUCAUCGUAUUCAACACCUUGAACUUGUUGAAAACCUUUCGCAACAAGUCGAGCUUGGUAGAUAGUAACACUACUAUCAGUGUCCGUCUUCCUCUUGAAGAUCCAUUCAUUUAACAUGGCUUGCUGAUCAUCGAGCAAGUCAAUCAAAGUCCAUACUUUGUUCUCAUACAUGGAUCAUAUCUCAGAUUUUAUGGCCUCGAGCCAUUUCGCGGAAUCUGGGCUCAUCAUCGCUUCUUCAUAGUUCGUAGGUUCAUCAUGAUCUAGUAUCAUGACUUCCAGAAUAGGAUUACCGUACCAUUCUGGUGCGGAUCUUACUCUGGUUGAUCUACGAGGUUCAUCAGUAUCUUGAUCUGAAGUUUCAUGAUCAUUAUCAUUGGCUUCCUCACUAACUGGUGUAGGUGUCACUGAAACAGUUUUCUGUGAUGAACUACUUUCCAGUAAGGGAGCAGGUACAGUUACCUCGUCAAGUUCUACUUUCCUCCCACUCACUUCUUUCGAGAGAAACUCCUUCUCUAGAAAGGAUCCAUUCUUAGCAACGAAUGUCUUGCCUUCGGAUCUGUGAUAGAAGGUGUACCCAAUAGUCUCCUUUGGGUAUCCUAUGAAGACACAUUUCUCCGAUUUGGGUUCGAGCUUAUCAGGUUGAAGCUUUUUCACAUAAGCAUCGCAGCCCCAAACUUUAAGAAACGACAACUUUGGUUUCUUGCCAAACCACAGUUCAUAAGGCGUCGUCUCAACGGAUUUUGAUGGUGCCCUAUUUAACGUGAAUGCGGCCGUCUCUAAAGCAUAUCCCCAAAAUGAUAGCGGUAAAUCAGUAAGAGACAUCAUAGAUCGCACCAUAUCUAGUAAAGUACGAUUACGAUGUUCGGACACACCAUUACGCUGUGGUGUUCCGGGUGGCGUGAGUUGCGAAACUAUUCCACAGUUUUUCAAAUGUACACCAAACUCGUAACUCAAAUAUUCUCCUCCACGAUCAGAUCGUAGAAACUUUAUUUUCUUGUUACGAUGAUUUUCAACUUCACUCUGAAAUUCUUUGAAAUUUUCAAAUGUUUCAGACUUAUGUUUCAUUAAGUAGAUAUACCCAUAUCUGCUUAAAUCAUCUGUGAAGGUGAGAAAAUAACGAUAUCCGCCACGAGCCUCAGUAUUCAUCGGGCCACAUACAUCGGUAUGUAUGAUUUCCAACAAAUCUGUUGCUCUCUCCAUAGUACCGGAGAACGGUGUUUUAGUCAUCUUGCCCAUGAGGCACGGUUCGCAAGUACCAAGUGAUUCAUAAUCAAGUGGUUCCAAAAGUCCAUCAGUAUGGAGUUUCUUCAUGCGCUUUAUACCGAUAUGACCUAAACGACAGUGCCACAAAUAAGUUGCACUUUCAUUAUCAACUCUGCAUCUUUUGGCUUCAACAUUAUGAAUAUGUGUAUUACUACUAUCGAGAUCCAACAAACCAUUUUCAUUGGGUGUAUGACCAUAGAAGGUUUUAUUCAUGUAAACAGAACAACAAUUAUUCUCUAACUUACAUGAAUAACCGUAUUGCAAUAAACAUGAUCAAAUCAUAUUCAUGCUCAACGCAAACACCAAAUAACACUUAUUUAGGUUUAACACUAAUCCCAAAAGUAUAGGGAGUGUGCGAUGAUGAUCAUAUCAAUCUUGGAACUAUUUCCAACACACAUCGUCACUUCACCCUUUAACUAGUCUCUGUUUAUUCUGCAACUCCCGUUUCGAGUUACUAAUCUUAGCAACUGAACUAAUAUCAAAUACUGAGGGGUUGCUAUAAACACUAGUAACGUACACAUCAAUAACAUGUAUAUCAAAUAUACUUAUGUUCACUUUGCCAUCCUUCUUAUCCGCCAAUCACUUGGGGUAGUACCUCUUCCAGUGACCAGUCUCUUUGAAGUAGAAGCACUUAGUCUCAGGCUUAGGACCAGACUUGGGUUUCUUCACUUGAGCAGCAACUUGCUUGCCGUUCUUCUUGAAGUUCCCUUUCUUUCCCUUUGCCCUUUUCUUGAAACUAGUGAUCUUGUUAACCAUCAACACUUGAUGCUCUUUCUUGAUUUCUACCUUCGUUGAUUUCAGCAUCAUGAAGAGCUUGGGAAUCGUUUUCGUCAUCCCUUGCAUACUAUAGUUCAUCACGAAGUUCUAGUAACUUAGUGAUGGUGACUAGAGAAUUCUGUCAAUCACUAUCUUACCUGGAAGAUUAACUCCCACUUGAUUCAAGCGAUUGAAAUACCCAGACAAUCUGAGCACAUGCUCACUAGUUGAGCGAUUCUCCUCCAUCUUUUAGCUAUAGAACUUGUUGGAGACUUCAUAUCUCUCAACUCGGGUAUUUGCUUGAAAUAUUAACUUCAAUUCCUGGAACAUCUCAUAUGGUCCAUGACGUUCAAAACGUCUUUGAAGUCCCGAUUCUAAGCCGUUAAGCAUGGUGCACUAAACUAUCAAGUAGUCAUCAUCUUGAGCUAGCCAGACGUUCAUAACUUCUGCAUCUGCUCCUGCAAUAGGUCUGUCACCUAGCGGUGCAUUAAGGACAUAAUUCUUCUGUGCAGCACUGAGGAUAAACCUCAGAUCACGGAUCGAAUCCGCAUCAUUGCUACUAACAUUUUUCAACACAAUAUUCUCUAGGAACAUAUCAAAAUAAACAUAUGAAAGCAACAACGCGAGCUAUUGAUCUACAACAUAAUUUGCAAAAUACUACUAGGACUAAGUUCAUGAUAAAUUAAAGUUCAAUUAAUCAUAUUACUUAAGAACUCCCACUUAGAUAGACAUCCCUCUAAUCCUCUAAGUGAUCACGUGAUCCAAAUCAACUAAACCAUGUCCGAUCAUCACGUGAGAUGGAGUAGUUUCAAUGGUGAACAUCACUAUGUUGAUCAUAUCUACUAUAUGAUUCACGCUCGACCUUUCGGUCUCUGUGUUCCGAGGCCAUAUCUGUAUAUGCUAGGCUCGUCAAGUAUAACCUGAGUAUUCCGCGCGUGCAACUGUUUUGCACCCGUUGUAUUUGAACGUAGAGCCUAUCACACCCGAUCAUCACGUGGUGUCUCAGCACGACGAACUUUGGCAACGGUGCAUACUCAGGGAGAACACUUCUUGAUAAUUUAGUGAGAGAUCAUCUUAUAAUGCUACCAUCAAUAAAAGCAAGAUAAGAUGCAUAAAAAGAUAAACAUCACAUGCAAUCAAUAUAAGUGAUAUGAUAUGGCCAUCAUCAUCGUGUGCUUGUGAUCUCCAUCUCCGAAGCACCGUCAUGAUCACCAUCGUCACCGGCGCGACACCUUGAUCUCCAUCGUAGCAUCGUUGUCGUCUCGCCAAUCUUAUGCUUCCACGACUAUCACUACUGUUUAGUAAUAAAGUAAAGCAUUACAUCGCGAUUGCAUUGCAUACAAUAAAGCGACAACCAUAUGGCUCCUGCCAGUUGCCGAUAACUCGGUUACAAAACAUGAUCAUCUCAUACAAUAAAAUUCAGCAUCAUGCCUUGACCAUAUCACAUCACAACAUGCCCUGCAAAAACAAGUUAGACGUCCUCUACUUUGUUGUUGCAUGUUUUACGUGGCUGCUACGGGCUUAAGUAAGAACCAAUCUCACCUACGCAUCAAAACCACAACGAUAGUUUGUCAAAUAGACUCCGUUUUAACCUUCUCAAGGACCGGGCGUAGCCAUACUCGGUUCAACUAAAGUUGGAGAGACAGUCGCCCGCAAGCCAUCCAUGUGCAAAGCACGUCGAGGGAACCGGUCUCGCGUAAGCGUACGCGUAAGGUUGGUCCAGGUCGUCUCGUCCAACAAUACCGCCGAACCAAAGUAUGACAUGCUGGUAGGCAGUAUGACUUGUAUCGUCCACAACUCACUUGUGUUCUACUCGUGCAUAUAACAUCAACAUAAAUAACCUAGGCUCGGAUGCCACUGUUGGGUUUCGUAGUAAUUUCAAAAAAUUUCCUACGCACACGCAAGAUCAUGUGAAGCAUAGCAACGAGGGGAGAGUGUUGUCUACGUACCCAACGCAGACCAACUGCGGAAGCGAUGACACGACGUAGAGGAAGUAGUCGUACGUCUUCACGAUCCAACCGAUCAAGCACCGAAACUACGGCACCUCCGAGUUCGAGCACACGUUCAGCUCGAUGACGAUCCCCGGACUCCGAUCCAGCAAAGUGUCGGGGAAGAGUUCCGUCAGCACGACGGCGUGGUGACGAUCUUGAUGAACUACAGCAGCAGGGCUUCGCCUAAACUCCACUACAGUAUUAUCGAGGUAUAUGGUGGCAGGGGGCACCGCACACGACUAAGGAAUAGAUCACGUGGAUCAACUUGUGUGUAUAGAGGUGCCCCCUGCCUCCGUAUAUAAAGGAGGAGAGGAGGGGAGGCUGGCCGGCCAAGGAGGGGAGGCGCAGGAGAGUCCUACUCCCUCUAGGAGUAGGAUUCCCCCCAAUCCUAGUCCAACUAGGAUUCCUCGGAGGGGAAGGGAGAGAGGGGGGCCCGCAGCCACCUUGGGCUGCCCCUUUCUCCUUUCCACUAAGGCCCAUGAAGGCCCAUAUGGCUCCCGGGGGGUUCCGGUAACCCUCCCGGUACUCCGGUAAAAUCCCGAUUUCACCCGGAACACUUCCGAUGUCCAAACAUAGGCUUCCAAUAUAUCAAUCUUUACGUCUUGACCAUUUUGAGACUCCUCGUCAUGUCCGUGAUCACAUCCGGGACUCCGAACAACCUUCGGUACAUCAAAAUGCAUAAACUCAUAAUGUAACUGUCAUCGUAACCUUAAGCGUGCGGACCCUACGGGUUCGAGAACAAUGUAGACAUGACCGAGACACGUCUCCGGUCAAUAACCAAUAGCGGGACCUGGAUGCCCAUAUUGGCUCCUACAUAUUCUACGAAGAUCUUUAUCGGUCAGACCGCAUAACAACAUACGUUGUUCCCUUUGUCAUCGGUAUGUUACUUGCCCGAGAUUCGAUCGUCGGUAUCCAAUACCUAGUUCAAUCUCGUCACCGGCAAGUCUCUUUACUCGUUCUAUAAUGCAUCAUCCCGUAACCAACUCAUUGGUCACAUUGCUUGCAAGGCUUAUAAUGAUGUGCAUUACCGAGAGGGCCCAGAGAUACCUCUCCGACAAUCGGAGUGACAAAACCUAAUCUCGAAAUACGCCAACUCAACAUGUACCUUCGGAGACACCUGUAGUACUCCUUUAUAAUCACCCAGUUACGUUGUGACGUUUGGUAGUACCCAAAGUGUUCCUCCGGUAAACGGGAGUUGCAUAAUCUCAUAGUUACAGAAACAUGUAUAAGUCAUGAAGAAAGCAAUAGCAACAUACUAAACGAUCAAGUGCUAAGCUAACGGAAUGGGUGAAGUCAAUCACAUCAUUCUCCUAAUGAUGCGACCCCGUUAAUCAAAUGACAACUCUUUUGUCCAUGGCUAGGAAACAUAACCAUCUUUGAUAAACGAGCUAGUCAAGUAGAGGCAUACUAGUGACACUAUGUUUGUCUAUGUAUUCACACAUGUAUUAUGUUUCCGGUUAAUACAAUUCUAGCAUGAAUAAUAAACAUUUAUCAUGAAAUAAGGAAAUAAAUAAUAACUUUAUUGUUGCCUCUAGGGCAUAUUUCCUUCACCACGUGGCCCGGCCGGCCCCCGGGGCUCAAGAACCAGGUCCAAUGCCCCCAUUGGUCCCGGUUUUGGAUUGAACCGGGACUAAUGGGCUGGACCGGCCUGGACCAUCGCCCCCUUUUCUACUAGUGUUAGUGCAUGGUGGUUAGUGAAGUUAGUGGAGCAUGGUGUGAGUGCGUGGGUCAUGGUUGAGUGCCAGACUUUGUAUAAAUUGUCAUUUGAGUCAAUGAGAAAAUGUAAGGCCGAGAGGGCCAGUGCAAAGAUGUAGCAUUUGUGGUAGCCAAGGGAGAUUAACUGGGCAAAGCUAUGUGUUCUUCCUUGGUCUAUGCGUGUGUGUGUUCUGUGUGUGUUCUCUCUCUGCGUCCUUGUGUUCAUGGGAGUGUUUUUGAGAGAAGCCAGAAGAGAGAGUUGUGAGAGGCAGCUCGAGGUAGAAGAAGGAGCGGUGCUGCUCCGAGAGGAGGCGGCGCCAACAAUUAUUGACGAAAGGGAUAUUAUAUUGCGCAAGGUAUAAUCAGACGCGUCGGGGAUGGAGCGACUACACACAUAUGGGAUCACAACUGGAUUAUGAGGGAAAGCUAUAAGAGGCCAAUAAAUAAGUUAGUGCAGAUCCCCCCUCAGAAACAUUUUAUGUAUACACGUUAACAUUUCCCAGAUAUAUGAUUAAUAUUUUUAGAAAACUUCUAUUUUUUAUGUGUACUUUUUAUACAUUUUGUAAUAUCAGAAAUAGUUUUUAUAGAAGGUUUAACAUUUUUCAAAUACAUGAUUACCUUUUUGUAAACUUAUAUUGUUUGACGUUUACUUUUUUCCAUAGACAUAGUGAGGGGUUAUAUCUAAGGAAUAGGCCCAAGUACAUGUAGGCACAACCAAAGGCCCAUGUUAAUCAAGGAUGUUCCACAAGACAAAUGGGAAAACACACCGGGGCUAAUGGAGCUACAAGGCCAAGGCAUCGGAUACAAGGGGAGAGUCAACUGUGUACAGUCAGAUUACACAACCCUUAACAGACAAGACUCAUCAGUUGGUCCACUAUAGGAAUCAGGUCAUUUGCCGUCAGCCGAGAACAGAUGCGAAGGCUUUGCCGUGAGCAAGUUGACGACAAACACAAUCAGCAAAGACUAUAUCAGCAAAGAGCUAAUUUGACGUCAACUUUUCAUCGCGCUGAUGACAAAGACUUUGCCGUCAAUUAAACUAUGUGUUUGUCGUCUGUAGAAAAAACACAAAUGGCAAAGAAAUUAAACAAAUGGUCAUUUUAUAAUAAUUUUUCGAAAUGUAUAUAGUGUAUUUUAAAAUGUUAAAUAUGUAUCAAGAAUUAUUUCAUAAAUAUACAGAAGAUGUACAACGUGUAUGAAAAUUAUGUAGACAUCAGAACAUAUUAUAGAAAUGUUAAUCUUGUAUUUAAAAAUGUUAAAUACACAUAAAUAAAAAUGUUUUUGAUGUACAUAAAAAAAUUGUACAUCGUGUGUGAACAAAGUAUGCAUUGAAAAAAAAAUCUUGUUGGAAAGAAAAUCUCGUGCUAUAUACGAAAAUGUAAAAGGUGUAUGAAAAUAAUUAGAUAUAUGCUUAACGAAAAAAAGGAAAGAAGGCGCAAAAAAAUCCGAUCAACACCAAGAUAGGAACAAGAAAACCUGAAGAAGACCAUUGAAAAAAAAGAAAAGAAUACAAGAAAGAGGAAAAAAAACAAAAAAAUGAAGAAGCUGAUGCAGAACAGGGAACUUGGUGAAAACGAAUAAAAAUUGAUGAAAACCGAGAAGAAAAACAAGAAAACUGAAGCAAAAAAAUAAUAAAAAUAUGUAAAAAAAUGAUGAAACAUUGCAAAACACUGAAAUACUAUGAAAACCAAAGGAAGAAAAGACUCAAAAAGAAGAACAUACAGCGAGCGAAUGAACAACAACUGAGUGAACGAGCGACCAUGCGAGAACACGUUAAUUGUCCGGCCCAUACUUGUGGACUCCAGAGGCGAGCCAGAAUAGGCGAGAUAUAGCUAUGACGAUUUGAUACCCUUCACAGCUUCACGAAUGCUAUAUCUCGCUCACAGCGAAAGUAUAUUUUGUCUGGCCUGAAGGUGCAAGAAUAGCAUCAGGUCGCUGUAAGGUUUGUGAUCCUACAAUGAGAGCUCCGAUAAGAUUAAAGUUCAUUUUUCUGACAACCUUUGGUCGUUCGUUCGCGCUCAGGUCGUCCGCUCACUCGAUUCCACGUACUAGUUUGGUUAUGUUGUUUUUUUCAUUUUGUUCUUUUUUUGUUUCUUCACUGGCUUUCUUUGGUUUUUAUAUCGGUUUUCUUUGUUUCCUUCACGUUUUAUUCCUGUUUUCCUUUUUACUGGUUUAUUUAUUCCUUUUUUUCUUUGUUUCUUUCUUGGUUUUCUUUGUUUUUCUUUCUUUUGAUGUCAAUCUUUUUACAUACGCAUUCAACAAUUUCCGUAUACAUCAGAAACAUUUUAUGUAUACACAUUAACAUUUCCCAGAUAUAUGAUUAAUAUUUUUGGAAAACCUCUAUUUUUUAUGUGUACUUUUUGAUACAUUUUGUAUAUAUCAGAAAUAUUUUUUUAGAAGGUUUAACAUUUUUUUAAAUACAUGAUUACCUUUUUGUAAACUUAUAUUGUUUGACGUUUAUUUUUUUCCAUAGACAUAGUGAGGGGUUAUAUCUAAGGAAUAGGCCCAAGUACAUAUAUGGCACAACCAAAGACCCAUGUUAAUCAAGGAUGUGGUCCACAAAACAAAUGGGGAAACACACGGGGGCCAAUGGAGCUACAAGGCCAAAGCAUCGGAUAUAAGGGGAGAAUAAGUGUGUACAGUCGGAUUACACAACACUUGACAGACAAGACUCAUUAGUUGGUCCACUAUAGGAAUCGAGUAAUUUGCCGUCAGCCGAGAACAGACUCGAAGUCUUUGCCGUCAGCAAGUUGAUGACAAACACAGUGAGCAAAGACUAUAUCGGCAAAGAGCUAAUUUGACGUUAACUUUUCAUCCGCUGAUGACAAAGACUUUGCCGUCAAUUAAACUAUGUGUUUGUCGUCUGUAGAAAAAACACAAAUGGCAAAGAAAAGCAUCUUUGCCAUCAGCAACUGAUUCACAUGUGUCGUCAGCCAGACUCGUCUUGUCACUAGCCUCAAACAUCACAGAUGGCAAAGAUUUUUUUUUAUUUUUAAAAUUCCGCGUCGACCACCCUAUCGCUCGUGCAGCCACCGCCUGGCCGCGCUCGCCUCCCUGCUCACAUGCCCUGCCAGCUUGCGCCGUUGCCAUCCGGCAGCGCUCGCCCGACCCUGCUCAUCGCCCGGCCGAGCUCGCCCGCCCUGCUCGGUCGCGUCGUCGGCAGCUGCCCUGCUUGCACACGUACCUGCCCAGCCUUGCUCAUACCGCCGGCCACCCUGCUCGCUAGAGAAAGGAAGGCGAGAGAGGAGGCUCGGGGGAGAAAGAAAAAACAAAGGAGAGAGAGAGGAUGCUACCACUGCCACAUCACCAAUACGCAUGAUCGAUCUGCAAGAUGUGCUCUCUCUUUUGCCGCCUCUGAUGGCAAAGUAUGUCUUUAUCGUCUAUAAUAAGAUUACAAACAGCAAAGUGAGCUCUUUGCCGUCUGUAAAAAAACGGACGACAAACAAACUUUGUUGUCAGCUGCCGACGGCAAAAAGUGCUCUUUACCGCAGCCUCGAUGAGAAGCUGAAGGCAAAGUGCCCCACAGACGGCAAAUUAGUUGAUUCCUGGGUGGUUAUGAGCAAGACAGGAGCAAUAACCCUAUCUACACUCGGUCAUCUGGAAGACAGGAGUAGUCGAACCAUCUAUAGUCGGCUACAUCUGAGGUUACCGUGACCCUUACGAUGCAUUCAUUAUCGCCGUUACUCAAUGGAGUAGUUAAAUACGUCAGUUAGCAAUAAUAAUAGCCACGAACAGUCAAUCAUGCAUGUGACCAUCAAUAGCAUUUAUACCAACCCAUUACGGCACUUCCUCCUAGCACACUCUAUAUAAGCCAGGAGUAGGACAUGAGAGUGAGGGAUGAACUCUCUCACAGUAUAACCUACGCCAAGAGCAGGAACACCACAUGAAUAGAGAUUACCUCCACCAACGUACUCCCAUCCGUUUUAUGUACCGAUCAAUGUAUAUAAUGGCUUCUACAUUCACAUCCCGUAGUAUUGUCAGGAUUAUAUCCACGACAGAAACUAUAUUUUGUUAUACAUCAAGAACAUUUUAUAUAUAAAUAUUUACAAUUUUUUAAAUACAUGAUUAAUAUUUUUUCAAACAUAUAUUUUGUAUGUCUCCUUUUCAUAAUCUUUGAUCCCUGGAAGUUUCAGAUUUUUUCCGAUUUGUUCUCAUUUUUUUAUGAAUUUACUGUUCAUGAGGGUGUAGGGGCACCCAGGAGCUGUUAGGCAUAAUAUUUCUGCUGUUGUUGUCAUCAUCAAGGGGAAUGAGAAGGGUUGAAGUUUUCGUUUUCUUUGAGGGGGAAAUCAGAGUUGGGGGCUGGAAGUGAGUGAUUAGGCCCAACAUAAGCGCUGUGUGUGUGUGUCUCGUCACGGGCACCAAAUUCGAACUGGGCUAUUGUUUUCUGAGAACCCAACGUCACAAGCCCAACCAACAGUCUGCCGAUCUGCAUCUUCCUCUCCUUGUCCAUCCUCCUCGUUGGCCGGACCGCCUCGAGCCACGGCCGCUCCCUGGCGCAGCGUCCUCCCCUUCCUCUCCACCCCCAAAUUCUCUUGUAUCCUCUUCUGAUCUCCUUCCUUACUUCCUCUCGCUGAUGGUCUCCACAAGAAGGUCUCCGAGCUCCUCGGAGGGUUCCGGCUGUACGUCGACGCAGCCUCUCCGACCUCCCCAUGAACAUGAGCUAUCGACCCUGAAAGCCUGUCUCUUCCAUGAUUCGAUUCACAUGAAUUCACGAGCCGCAUGAAUCAUGAAGGUCAUGGAGCAGAAUUCAGUCGUGUAGCCUGACAGUGAUGUACAUUUGUGGCUUUUCUGGCUAAAUAGCUCUGUACCCUAUGUGGAUGCCACUUCAAAUAAUCGUCAAAAUAAUUCUCCUGCACGCGUUAUACAAAUGGCGAAGAAGAAGUUCGCGUGGAACAUUUCGUUUCUUAUUGAUGUCCGAGAGAAAAGCUCCUAGGAAGUUCAUCCGCUCGGUGGAUUAUAAGUUUAAGUUUGUUACAACAUCCAAUCAUCCAUAUAAUCUCUGUGUUUCUUCUGUUUUCUACCAGUCAUAUAUCAUAUGUGCAUCAGAGGAAAAAUGCUUUCAGCAGUCAUGUUGGAGCGCGCAUACCAAGUUCCCACAUUGCAAAUAUGAUCCUAGCCAUUAAUAUGUUUCAUUCCACAUUUUCUUGAUCUAAUUUCUAAAUGAUUGGACAACCUGUUAUAGUCUUAUAGAAUUAUGAGCCGCCAAAUCCACAUUUCUCUUGGUCUAAUUUCUAAAUGAUAAUGUGCAGCAUCUAUCUCCUGGUGAACCUUUUUUUCUUGCGACUGUAUCUCCUGAUGAACCUAGUUUUCUCUAGGUAGCACAAUAAUUGUACUGGUUUGAUGUAAAGGACAUAAAUACAAGGGAAUAAAUUGGAAGCUUAUUUCAAAUUAACUAGCUAGUGGUGUUUGUGAAGUUCAAGAAAAAGCUGGUCUUUUUCUCGACAAAUAAUUUAACAUGCAAAGAAUCAAUAAAUGUAUUUGCAAGAAAGCAAACAUAAUUAACGAUAAAACUGGUUUAUUGUCACUGUAGACAACGGUAGUAGUUGGAACUAGAUACAAACCAAUAAAAAACAAGAUCUCAAAUCUCCAACCAAUAAAGAGUUCAACCCAAAUUUUACAGUAACACCAUUAUAUUCAAAUAGUGAUUAUUCCAACACAUGGAUAAUUAAUUAAGGCACCAGGUUGCCCUUGUGACUAGGAAAGACAAACUUAUGAACUUGCAAGCAUGGCAAUCAGAUCGACAUCCACACAAUGCCAAUAUGAACAUUGUCUUGAUACAACUUUAUUUUUAUUUUAUUUCAGAAUUUAAACAACUAGUAUGGGCGGGUCACACACGACAUUGUGUGACACUUUAUUUGUCACCGCUGCAUCGACAUAUCCAUCGACUAAACAACGGUGAUCCAACUAUAUAUUACUAGAGACCUUUCCUUAUUAGUAGGAACCAACUCCGGUGCCAACACCGAAUGGCACACUAGUGGUGGUUCUAUACAACGGCACAUUGACACGGCACAUCGUUGGCAGGGUACGGAGCGCAAUGGAAGUCAUCACCUCAAGCUGAGCUAUCUGGUGUGGCUGCAAAAAGGUACCUUGUGCCAAUUGUUGUUGUUGAGGUUGUUGCCCGAGUUGUUGUUGUGACUGCUGUUGGGGUUGGGAAACACAUUGGCCCAACUGUUGGGGUUGCUGCUGAGGAGUUUGGAUGGAACCCUGAACCUGUUGUUGUUCUUGCAGGAUGAUGGAGUAGAUGAUAGCACGGAUUGCCUCAUAGCGGGAUUGCUGGGGGAUUUGCGGCAACUGCUGGCAACAUUGUUGUUGCAUCACAUGGCAACUGCUCUGCUGCAACAUUUGCGACCUAGCAAGACUUUGUGGCAUUGCCACAGGGCUGCAUUGCUGCUGGAGGAAUACCUUGCAUGGGUUUAGCUGCUGCAAGAUAGAUGGAUGAACAAAUGGUAUUUGUUGUUGCGGUAGAACUAGUUGUUGUUGUUGCUGCGAAAAUGGUGGUUGUUGCGGUAGACUUGGUUGUUGUUGUUGCAAAAAUGGUGGUUGUUGCUGUAGUACUAUUUGUUGUUGUUGCGAAAACGGUGAUUGUUGCUGUGAAAAUGGUGGUAGUUGUUGCUGUGAAAAUGAUGGUUGUUGCGGUAGAACUGGUUGUUGUUGCUGCGAAAAUGGUGGUUGUUGUUGUGAAAAUGGUGGUUGUUGUUGCUGCGAAAAUGGUGGUUGUUGUUGUGAAAANNNNNNNNNNNNNNNNNNNNNNNNNNNNNNNNNNNNNNNNNNNNNNNNNNNNNNNNNNNNNNNNNNNNNNNNNNNNNNNNNNNNNNNNNNNNNNNNNNNNNNNNNNNNNNNNNNNNNNNNNNNNNNNNNNNNNNNNNNNNNNNNNNNNNNNNNNNNNNNNNNNNNNNNNNNNNNNNNNNNNNNNNNNNNNNNNNNNNNNNNNNNUGGUUGUUGUUGCUGCGAUAAUGGUUGUUGUUGUUGCUGCGAAAAUGGUGGUUGUUGUUGUGAAAAUGGUGGUUGUUGUUGCUGCGAUAAUGGUUGUUGUUGUUGUUGCUGUGAACAUGGUUGCUGUUGUGAAAAUGGUUGUGGUUGUUGUUGGAUGGGUUGUUGUUGUUGGUGGUGCGAUAAUGUUUGUUGUGGUGGUAAUGGUUGUUGCUGCGAUGGUCUCUCCAAACCAGGGAUGUGGCUAUUCUCCAUUUGUGCAAUGGCACUUGUCGCCACAAUGGCGAGGAGAGCAAAGAUGAGGAAGGUCUUCAUGGUGGAUUGGUGUUAACCAGUGUUGCUUGGUUUUGAUGCUUGUGCUUGUGAUGAUCUUUAUACUUCAUGCCUAUUUAUAGUAGCCCGGGCACCACCUCUUUUCUUCUUUGCAUUAGCUUUAAUAAUUCUGUUUGGAUGCAUCUAAAAUGAUUUUUGGUACAAUGUGUUAGGUUGCACUAGCUACACGCGUACUUUUGGAUUGAUCAUCAAAGUUGCUUUUUAGUUGUGCAUAUGAUCACACACAAAGUACAGAAACCUUGAUGUUUGGUACAUAUGACUCACCUUAUUCACUUUACAUGUCACACACUUAUCUGGAUAGUAUCACUUUUGCAACCGAGUUUGGAACCUUGUAUAGGCUGUCAUCCAUAAACAAGAAAGGCAAAACUUGUGUAGGACUAAGUUUGCAAUCGGAGGGUUCUUCUAGACUCGAUUUCUUUUCGUAAAACUAACUUUGUAUUUUUCCUCUAAGAUGAUAAGAUGAACCGACGCCUAUAGAGCAUGACAUGACUCAUCGAAUUCCCUUUACAUGUAAAGGAUGGUAAUUGCUUACAAGCUACUCCUACUAGCAUAUAUCCGGUUCCAAGCCUAGACACGUCAUCAUCAGUUUCGUCUAUUUUUUUAGAUAAAUCAUCAGUUCUAUCUAUUUGUGAAGGGUUUUUUUGGGGGGAAAUGAUAGUUUUUUUAUGCUAGGGGGGUUUUUUNNNNNNNNNNNNNNNNNNNNNNNNNNNNNNNNNNNNNNNNNNNNNNNNNNNNNNNNNNNNNNNNNNNNNNNNNNNNNNNNNNNNNNNNNNNNNNNNNNNNNNNNNNNNNNNNNNNNNNNNNNNNNNNNNNNNNNNNNNNNNNNNNNNNNNNNNNNNNNNNNNNNNNNNNNNNNNNNNNNNNNNNNNNNNNNNNNNNNNNNNNNNNNNNNNNNNNNNNNNNNNNNNNNNNNNNNNNNNNNNNNNNNNNNNNNNNNNNNNNNNNNNNNNNNNNNNNNNNNNNNNNNNNNNNNNNNNNNNNNNNNNNNNNNNNNNNNNNNNNNNNNNNNNNNNNNNNNNNNNNNNNNNNNNNNNNNNNNNNNNNNNNNNNNNNNNNNNNNNNNNNNNNNNNNNNNNNNNNNNNNNNNNNNNNNNNNNNNNNNNNNNNNNNNNNNNNNNNNNNNNNNNNNNNNNNNNNNNNNNNNNNNNNNNNNNNNNNNNNNNNNNNNNNNNNNNNNNNNNNNNNNNNNNNNNNNNNNNNNNNNNNNNNNNNNNNNNNNNNNNNNNNNNNNNNNNNNNNNNNNNNNNNNNNNNNNNNNNNNNNNNNNNNNNNNNNNNNNNNNNNNNNNNNNNNNNNNNGCCGCCACCGCUCGACAAAAAAGGUCACUUUUGUAGCUCCCCCGUCGAUUGCGGGCCGUACGUCGACGGCAGCCACUCCGACCUCCCCGUCAACACAAGGUAUCGAUCUGUUUCGUCUGUCUCUUCCAGCGAUUCAAUGCACAUAAAUCCGAGAGGCAGACCCAUCUCCAUGCUAGCUGCACGGAUCAGGAGGGUCAGGCAUCAGAAUUCAGCUGGGAAGCCUGACACUAAUGUACAUUUGUGGCUUUAGUAGCUGAAUAUAACUAUGUGUUUUCUGAGAAUUUCACUUCAAAAGUUCCAAUAAUCAUCAAAUUUCCGCCUAUGCGCGCUAAGCAGGUGGACCAUAUAUUUCUCAUGUCGACGAACGAAAAAACAAAACUCCACAACUAGAAGUCUAUGAUAUUGACACGGAACCGUGCUGUAGGGUCGCAAGUAAAAAUAUGAAAAGCAUGCCUAACACUACUAGGAAAAGGGCUAUAGAUGGAAUUGACACUAAUGACGCACCAGACAUGUGGUGCGCCAUUAGUAUAUACUAAUGGCGCACCAUCUUCUGAUGCGCCAUUAGUGUUGAAAUUACUAAUGGCGCACCCUGCCCACGGUGCGCCAUUAGUACCAAUUUUUUUUUGAACUAGUGCGCCUGUCCAAACAUACUAAUGGCGCAUCCGCUGGUGGUGCGCCAUUACUAGUUGUAACUAGUAAUGGUGCACCAGCCAGAGGGUGCGCCACUAAAGUUAUUUUUUUUAUUAUUGUUUUUAUUCCUUUUUUUGCAAAAGUACUAAUGGCGCACUCACACGCGGUGCGCCAUUACUAGUUCAAACUAGUAAUGGCGCACCGUGGCAGAGUGCGCCAUUAGUAUGUUUUUUUUUCAAAACUACUAAUGGCGCACCACCUGGUGGUGCGCCAUUAGUAACCUGGAUUACUAAUGGCGCAUUUGUUGCUGGUGCGCCAUUAGUAAGUGGGCAGCAACAAGAUAUUUUGGACAGCCUCUCCUCCCACACUCACUUUCUCCCCAUUUCAUUCUCUCCACCGCCUCCUCAUGUCUCGGGUGCCUCCUCUUUUUCACCUCAUUUCCACCAUAGAUUCAUUCAAAUUAAGUGGUUAAGUUACCUUGUUUUGCUAGGUAAGUAAGGGGGGAAGCUAUAUUUAUGUUGUUCUCCCUACAACAGUGUGCACAUGCACUUUUUAUGGCCUAGCUAGAUCUAUGUAUGUUCGUGGUGUUGCAUAUGUUUGUGGUGUUGCAUAUGUGUUUGUGUUUGAAGGUGUACCGGUAUUUGAAAUGCGAUAGUUGCCAAUAUUUUGCCGGAAUGUUGAUUCAUUUCCGUUUCGGCGAGAAUUUUGGCAUUAAGCAUUCUUUUUGGUCCUAUUUUUAGGGAAAGUCAUGCCAAAUUUUUUCUUGGUUCUAAAAUAUCGUUUUGCUCUACCCCGCAGGCGACCAUGGUCCGCACGAUGACCGAAGGCAUCGUGAAUAGGUUUUUGAGGUCCACGAAGGCCGAGAUGCUUCAAAAGAACGAGACGGAGAUAAGAUGUCCGUGUCGAAGAUGCAAGCUGAAUAGCCUUAUUGCGGACCCGGAUUCCGGGCAGGUGCGGGACCACCUGCUCUUGCGUGGUUUCAUGGAUGGCUGUCGGUGGCAAGGUGAUGAAGAUGACUACGAAGUCGUCCAUGGGGGCCGGGCAAGAAAUGAGGAAGGGCAGCAAGACAACCACCGCGGCUCGGGGGGGCGAGAAGAAGAAGAAUCCCCAGGAGAUGAUCACGACGGUGAUGUUGUACACAGUCAUCAUGUAGAAGAUGCAGGACAUGAUGAUGAUGCCGGCGGAGCAGACGACGCUGGACCAUCGAUGGGCUGGGUGCAGGACCCUCAUAUUCAAGAGCUGCUUCUCAAGCAGACGGAUAACGCAAGAGCUGCCGCCCGAGAGAAAGCCAAGAUGGAUCAACUUGAGUUAGACGCGGUUACUCCAUUGUAUGAAGGAUGCAGGCCCGAGGAUACCCGCCUGAAAGUAACACUCAUGGCUCUGGAGAUGAAGGUAAAACACAAAAUGACCGACGCAUGCUUCGACGAGAACAUGUCAUUCUGGCACGAACGUCUUCCCAAAGGGAACAAGUGCCCGACCAGUUUGGAGGAGGCGAAGAAAAUCGUGUGUCCUCUGGAUUUACCGCACGUGAAAUACCAUGUGUGCAUGAACAAUUGCAUCAUUUAUCGGGACGAGCACGCGGAGUCUACCAUAUGUCCGGUGUGCGGUGUCACUCGAUACAAGAAGGGGAAGAAAGCUCCUCGAAAAGUGGUGUGGUACUUUCCGAUCACUCCUCGUCUGCAGCGGUAUUUCGCGGACCCUAAGGUAGCAAAGCUCCUGCGUUGGCACGCGGAUAGGGAGGAGAAGAAGCGAGAAGAUGACGCAAAUGAUACGGAGAUAGAUAAAAAAGACAAGAUGCUGAGUCACCCUAAGGAUGCGAGCCAGUGGCAAGCGUUGAACUUCGAAUAACCAGAAUUUGGGAACGAUCCAAGGAACAUCGUGCUGGGCGCGAGCACCGGUGGAGUCAAUCCGUUUGGCAGCCAGAGAAGCACACAUAGCACCUGGCCUGUGUUUGUGUGGAUGUACAACCUUCCCCCCUGGUUGUGCAUGAAGAGGAAGUACAUUCACAUGAGUAUGCUAAUUGAAGGGCCGAAACAACCAGGGAACGACAUCAAUCUGUAUCUGGGGCUGCUGAAAGAGGAGCUUGACACGCUGUGGAAAACGCCCACCAAUACGUGGGACGCCGCAGAGAAAGAAUAUUUCCCUAUGAGAGCCGCACUGCUCACGACGGUGCACGACUAUCUCGGUUACGGAUAUCUUGCGGGGCAGGUAGUCCACGGAUUUUCUGGAUGCGUAAGGUGCAUGGAUGACACAACGUAUCGCCAGCUAGAUAGAGACGAUGACCCGUGGAGGAAACGCAAGGAUCUGUUCGAUGGUGAAACCAAACCCCGAAAACGCCCGUGUACGAGGAGCGGCGAGGAAAUAGACAAGCUGUUGAAAAAUCGGAAAGACUGCCCACUGCCGGGAAAGAAGCAAAAGGUGCCAGAGCCGGGAAAGAAGCGAAAGGCGCCAGAGCCGCUGCUGAAGCUAUGGAAAACGAGGUCUGUUUUCUGGGACUUGCCGUACUGGAAGAUCCACCGUGUGCCUCACAGCCUUGAUGUCAUGCAUAUCACGAAGAACGUGUGCGAGAGUCUGCUUGGUACCCUGCUCAACAUGCCAGAGAGGACCAAAGAUGGGCCGAAAGCGAGGGCAGACUUGAAAUCAAUGGGCAUCAGGCAGGAGCUUCACGCUAUAUAUGAUGAUGAUGAUGAUGAUGAUGAUGAUGAUGAGGCGAAGCAGGACACAGAAAGUCGUCGCAAAGGCAAAAAGGCCAAGAAGACCGGAAAUGACUACCCUCCCGCGUGCUUCACUCUAAGUCAGGAGGAGAUCGAGCAGUUUUUCACCUGCCUCCUAGGAGUAAAACUUCCUUACGGUUACGCGGGGAAGAUAAGCAGAUACCUAGACCCAGCGAAGCAGAAGUUCAGCGGGAUGAAGUCUCACGAUUGUCACAUGCUGAUGACGCAGAUACUUCCAGUUGCAAUCCGUGGGAUCAUGGACGCGCACGUCCGUGAAACGCUAUUUGGCCUAUGCAACUUCUUCGACGUCAUCUCUCAGAAGUCGAUUGGCAUGAGGCAACUCAGAAGGCUACAGGAAGAGAUCGUGGUGAUACUAUGCGAGCUUGAGAUGUACUUCCCGCCCGCAUUCUUCGAUGUUAUGGUGCAUCUGCUGGUCCAUAUAGUGGGGGAUAUCAUCCAACUCGGGCCGAUGUUCCUGCACAGCAUGAUGCCGUUCGAAAGGAUGAAUGGUGUCAUCAAAGGAUACGUUCGCAACAUGUCACGUCCAGAAGGAAGCAUAGCCAGGGGCUUUCUGACCGAAGAGUGCAUCUACUAGUGCGCGAAUUAUCUAGGCAUCGAGAACCCCGUUGGUCUGCCCGUCAACAGGCACCUCGGCAGGCUCGCUGGAUGGGGUCACCGUGAGGGUCGCCGCGAAAUGCAUGUCGACUUCGAGGGUCGACUCGCCGACUUUGAAAGAGCAAACCUAGUCGCGCUACAACACAUAGACGUGGUCGAUGCUUGGGUGGUAGAGCACAAAACCUUUAUUAAGAAGACGUACAAUGACCGAGGCCAACAGAGGACGGACGGAGAUAUACUCAAAGAGCACAACUCAUGUUUCACGCGUUGGUUCAAGCAGAAGCUUCUGUCGUACCCUUUACAUGAGGAUUCUUCCGCGGAAGAACAACUCAUAUUCGCCUUGUCACAGGGCGCCGAGCACAACCUGAUGACCUAUGAGGCGUACGAUAUCAACGGCUACACAUUCUACACCGAGGCCAAGGACAUGAAGAGCGAUGGUUAUCAGAACUCCGGGGUAACGAUGGAAUCCUACACCGGUAACGACAAGGACAGAUACUACGGAAGGAUCGAGGAGAUCUGGGAGCUGAGCUAUGCUGGAGAGAAGGUCCCGAUGUUCCGUGUCAGAUGGGCCAAGAACGUCAUAAAAGAAGACCGGUAUUUCACCACCAUGGUUAUACCCGGAGCCAAAUCCAAGACCGCGAGCGCAAACGUCACCGCGAAAAAUGAGCCAUGGGUACUGGCUUCCCAAGUGGACCAAUGCUUCUUCAUUACCGACCCGCCAAAGCCCAGUCGUGUUGUCGUGAGGAGAGGCAAAAGGAAGAUCAUCGGAAUGGAUGGAGUAGCCAAUGAGCAAGACUUCGACAAGUACGGCGACCCGAGGAUCGAACAUGACGACGAUGAUGAAGUAGCAGCAUACACCACAAGAAGAAGCAGGACCACCCUACCUAAAGGACGUCCGUUCCACAGAAGAACUCCAUUUGCGAAAAAGAAGGGCAAGAAGAUUGUGAACAGAUAGCUAGCUAAGAUCGAUUGUAUUUAAAUCGUAGCCUUCAUUUCUCGAUUGUAUUUCAUGGGUACUUUUUGAACUAUCAUGAAUAUUUUUAAAUUUAAUGGACACUCGAUCUCGAUCCCCCUCCAUCUCGAUCGCUAUCCCACCUCGCCAGAUCCGGUCCCCCUCGCCGCCAAGCACCCCCCCAGCCCACCGGCCGCCGCCGCCGACCCCCCGCACCCUCGAUUCCCCUACCCAACCGCCGCCGCCGACCCACCGCACCCCGCGCACCCUCCCCUGCUCCACCAGCAUUACUGUUUGAUGAUAUUUUUAAAAAAAUUAUUAUUGUCUUAUAAAAAAAUAUUACUGUUAUGAUUUAAACAAGUUUGAACAUAUUUAAACACAAAUAAGUAUCAAACAGGUUUUUAAAUGCUAAAAAAAAUUUGUGGAGCCUGGGAGUCGAACCCAGGACCUCCUGGUGUGAGAACUGGCUGCUGACCAGUCGAGCUAGUAGAGGGGACUUGAUGUGGAUCAAUUCUGGUGGUACAUAACCUGUUGGCUCGAGUUGAAAUAAAAAAAAUACUAAUGGCGCACCACGGUGAGGUGCGCCAUUAGUAUGGAUGUACUUAUGGCGCACCGAGGGGUGGUGCGCCAUUAGUAUUGUGCCCGAUCCCUUCCCUCUCCCCCUUCGCCCGAUCCCCCCUUCCCUCUCCCCCUUGCCAGUUCCCUCUCCCUCGAUCCACCGCCGCCGCCGCCGCUGCCCUGACCCACUGCGCCGCAGCCGCCCACGCGCCCCCGCCGCCUCCCUCUCCCCUUCCUCCCCCUCGAGCCCGCGCCGUCCGCCCAAACCUAACCCGACGCCGUCCGCCGCGCCCGCUCCACCGCCGCCGCCCUGCCUCUCCGCCCUCUCCCUCCCUCNNNNNNNNNNNNNNNNNNNNNNNNNNNNNNNNNNNNNNNNNNNNNNNNNNNNNNNNNNNNNNNNNNNNNNNNNNNNNNNNNNNNNNNNNNNNNNNNNNNNNNNNNNNNNNNNNNNNNNNNNNNNNNNNNNNNNNNNNNNNNNNNNNNNNNCGUCGCCCCGCCGCCCCGACACCACCGUCCGUCGCCCCGCCGCCCCGCCGCCCCUCUCGCAGCAAGGUAUGCGGCUGGUUCGUCCCCUGUCAUGGUUCUCUCUUCGUUUAUUUUCCUGAAAUCUCUGCUGUUCAUUGGCCGAUGAUGUCUUACAAGUAAAAUAUCUGGCAAACUUGUGCUGUAAACUGUACAUUGCUGAGGCUGUGGGCAACCUGUUCUUCUCUUUGCCAUACUAGUGCUUUUGUUCAUUGGCCGAUGAUGUCUCUGUUGGUUUACGUCCCCGGCAAAUUAGGUACCCGUGAACCAUUUAUAGGCCCAACUUUCUUACUCUCAAUGACCACAAUGUGCUUAUUUUGUUAGGAUUGUGCAUUUGCGCGAUUUGUGCAGUGCUUAUUUGUUGGCACCUCACCAGCUUUCAAAUUCAGCAUUUGUAACACAGUUCAAUUUGAUCUAAGGGCCUAUCUUGUCUCAUUUCCAACAUGUAAUAAACUUCCCCCGAGGCCAUAGAUGAGAAUACUUCUUUCAGUACAUUUUGCUGAUUUCUCACUGUUGAAUACUUCAUUUCUGUUUGCCUUUGGCCAAAGAUGCAUUCAGUUCUUUCUGCCCUUAGCGGUUUGAUUCAAGUUUGUCAGGUUCUGUUAACUAAAAAGGUUCAGAUUCAGAAACAUUGUUGGACUACUAGGAAGUUGGACUACUAGGAACAUGUUUAGAUUCAGGUUCUGUUAACUAAAAAAGUUCAGGUUCUGUUAACUAAAAAAGUUCAGAUUCAGAAACCUGUAAUUUCUACUUUUAUGCCUCUGUUACUCCAGUCAAAAUUUUAUGUUUGAUGCCCAUGGUAGUUGAGCUCUCACCUCACCUCACGCAACAUGCAUGAUGCCACAAUGUCUAGUAUGUACUGCCAAGCAACUGGCAAAUAAUUAUAACUUAGAAUAAAUAAAUCUGAUGUAAGAUAAGCAUGGCAUGAGCUUUAAUUAAAUAGCAUAAUACACGUUGGUAGUCCAUCUCUCUCAAAAAAAAUACAUGUUGGUAGCAGAAAAAAAUACAUGUUGGUAGCAGAAAUUUUUUUGAGCCCUUAUUAGCUACUCACACUAUUUGCCCCGCAGUUUCUCUGUCAUGGCUACCAAGUGAUUGACGGUGGGCUAGAAAAAUAAAACCACCAAACUAUCAGUAAAAGAUGUGAACCAACAUCUUUCAUUGUUAUGCAUAUCAAACACCAAGGGUUAUUUUCACUUAAAGUUUUAGAAUGGGUGCAUUACAAUUCAGUCUGAUAUCUAAUAAGACACUCUGGGCUGAUAUAAUUAUGGAACAGAACCAACCAUGAUAAAUAAAAGGUGAUGUUGUCUAUGCAUUACCAAAAAUGUAUCUUUGUGAACAAAUAAAUUGGUACCAACAGCAAUGCCAUCUUACUGUAGAAUUAGAAUACAUGGACAUGAUCAGCUCAGCUCCCAAACUGCCAUUCAUCACAUCAAUUUCCCCUUAUGUAACUCCAGUCAAAAUUUUAUGUUGGUCUACCUAGUAGAUGCCCAUGGUUUGAUUUUAUGUUUGUUCCUAUCAAUACAAAUGCUGAGCUAUGUUCCAUUUUUACUGUUCUUUGUGAUAGUUUUUGCAACUUUACUUCCCAUCUUAAGGCAAGCCCCAUUUUUACUGUUCUUUGUUAGCAGAGCUGCUUGUUUCUAAGAACUUUGAUACUAUUUGGAUCAAAGUUAAAUGAGCACAUAGAUGACAAAAAAAAGUUCAGAUUGUAAAAUGUUCAUUUUGCUGCUAGUGCCCAUUUUGAGUAAUUGCUUAGAGGGAUGAUCCUGUGUGAGCUGGUGGAGUGAUUUGUUUUCUACAUAAAGCUCUUUAGUCAGGCUGGUUUUCGUGAAAUACACAUGAAGCUUCACCAGCUCCUGUGGGUGUGGGAUCCAUGUGACAUGUGACAUUGCAUCCAUGUCCACCUGGGAUAAUGAUUUUGCAUGUACCCCGAGAGGCCCUUAAGUUUGCCGGAAUGUCGAUUAACUUCCGUUCCGGCAAAUUCGGGUACUCCAUAUGUCCUAUUUUCAGCAAAGGUCAUGCUGAAAUUUUCCGUGAAUUUUAGCAUGACUUUGCAAAAAAUAGGACAUAUGGGGUACUUGUGACUAAUGCAUGGGCCGGGGUAUCAUAGUAGUUAAUUAAGUAGGAUCAAGUGCCCCGGCGUACUUGUGACUGAUGCAUGGCUUUUAGGGUGCCUCGGUGUUGAUAAAAACCGAAAUGAUGAAAGCUUAGGCUUUUAGGGUGCCUCGGCGUCGAAAAACCCUCAAUGAUAAAAGCUUAGGUCUUAGGAUGCCUCGGUGUCGACAAACCCUAAAUGAUGAGACCAUGUCUUGUUCCUUGACAAUAACCAACUUUUUGACCAAACUUUGUUUCUAUUUAGAGAGAAACAUGGCCCACAACGAUGAGGCCGGGGGUUCGGGCGGCAAGGCAUUCUGGGAGCUGUCCCAGGAGAUGGAGGAACAACCUCACUUGUAUGAGGCCGCCGCCUUCCCCACCGAUCCUGAGACCACUGAUGGUGCCGCCGAGGAUGACCACACUGAUGCCACCACUGAUGGUGCCGCCGAGGAUGCCACCACUGAUGAUGGCAGCGCCCGCACAGAUGGCAGCCAACCGAAGAGGCAACGGAAGGACCGACGCCCGAUCGUGCUCCUCACCCUCAAGGAGGAAGUUACUGAAGUGGACUCCAACGGGUAUCCAACGGCGCCCGAACGAAUAGUCAAGGGGUACUCGCUUCAGCUCGGGUGCAUUGUCCGGAGCACCGUCUCGAUCAACACCGAGAACCUGAGGCAUCCUGACCGAGGGAAUUUGUGCCACCUCCUCUUCACGAAGCUGCACGAAUGAUACAAGUUCCCCGCUGAAUUUGCAAACAGAAGCCUCAAAGGGAAUAAAGUGAACAAUGCUGCCCUCACGAAGAUGAGCAAGGCCCUGUCUACUUGGAAAAGCAAUGUGAAGAAAAUGAUCGAUAAAGGUGAGAGUUAUCAGAAGAUCAAGGAGAAAAAUCCUUCGAUCACCAAAGAUGACUACAAUGACUUCAAGAUCAAUUGCUCGAGCACCGCAAGCUCCCAAUCAAGUGAGUGGGGGAAACAAAUGCGGGAGCUGAACAUAGGGGAACACACACUCGGUCCCGACGGUUACAGAGUGGCGGAGCCUAUAUGGGACAAGGAGGAGGCGGACCGUGCCGAGCAAGGCCUACCGCCCCUCUUCGAGAAAUACAGCGGUAACAAGCAGACCAGGAACUUUGUCAGGGCCCGGUACAAGAAGGACCCGAAAACAAAGGAGCUUACCACGGAUCCGAAGACCAGGCAGCUUGAGCUUGUUCUGGUAAGGAAUACACCCCCGCGUAAUUAGCUCCAUAUGGUUGCAUUCUAAUUAAUGAAGCCAAAUUUCUAAAUGGUUCACAUUCCUUCCGCAGGCGACUGAAAGCAGUAGCGCGGGGUCGACUAAGAGCAACCCUUGGGACACCACUCUAAAUAGGGCGAUGAAUGUAAUGAAGAAGAAGGAUAAGCUCAGUAAGCCGACGUCAGCUGGUCGUGUGGCCGGCAAAGGCUUGUCGACAAAAUGGGGGUCAUACUAUACCGCUGGUGUGCGGAAGGAGAAAAAGACCAGCUCGGAAAGCCAGGCGCGAGAGGAUCAAGAACUCAAGGAACAGGUGACGCGGAUUCCGGAGAUUGUCCAAGAGCAAGUGGAACAAUGACUCGGAGCGACGAUCACCGCCAUUGUGCCUACCUUGAUCUCGGGGUUGAGUGCGUGGAUUGCGGGCGGCCAACAGGGGCCGCCCCCGAUUCCUAGCUUCACGGCCAGCAACUCGCAUAAUGCGAUGGCGGGGCCAUUGGUGCCUCCGGCGGAGGCGGCAUUGGUGUCUCCGACGCCGGCACGGGAGCUUAAUGCACCCGGGUGUACGCCGGCCGGCACCUCUGCAGCAAGCGGCCCCUCCGUCAACUGCACGCCCGCCGUUGGCGGUGCGUCGACAUUAGCCGAGCUCGACGCCAUCAACACGGUAACUAAUUAAGCCUCUCUCGGCCGAGGACUUCAUCUCCUUGCCUUUGACUAGGCAUCCCUGACGCCCUACAUGUUUUCGCAGGGCGCCGCCGACGUUCCGUGCACUCUCCUCCACUUCGUGAACAACGAGUUGGUCGAUGUCGCCAAGGGCAAAAUCGUUCAACCGGCAACCCCUUGUUCCACGGUACCCAGAUGCCACCCAACUUGUUUAGGGUUCAACUGGUUCGGGUGUUGCCAGGCUGCGACGACUUGUUACCUCUGAUUCGACCCGUUGGGGCCGACGAUGAAGACGUGAUGACCCUCAGCGCCUGCCUGAGCUGGCCCCUAGUUUGGCCGAAGAGCCAGAUUCGUUUGGGGGCGGGGGACACCACCCCAAAGACAACACCGCCAGUCGUGCUGGUGCCAAGUCGGCCCCAUGGCAAGACCGCCGUAACGGUGCCGGACAUCCCUAUGCCACUGGAUCCAAACAUGCAUAUGGCACAGGAUCAGAAUGACGACGACAACGACGAUGAUACAUUUGGCAACGUCGAUCAGUACUUUGCCGAUCAUGGGUACGAUGGCGACUUCAUGGGGCCUCCUUCUCAAGAACCAAACCCAACAAAAGACGUGUGCGAUCUAGCUGGUACCGCAGAGAAGCCAAGUUGCAACAGGCGCCGUCUGGCGUUCAGCUCUCAGGAGACGCCUCCAGCUGCCGACUUCACCGAUCCUCAGAUAGGCGAGGUGCGAAAUAUUAUCAGCCCCAACACACUCAAGAAGGCGGUCUGUGAGCAGAACUCGGUCCCAUUACAGGAGAAGAAGAAGGCACGCAAAAGAAAGACUAAGAAGGGUGCGAGCCAGCCGGCACCGAGUACGAUCCGUGCUCAGGACGGGCCACCUUCACCGCAGGAUAUCUCGAGGAGGGUGCAUGUGGCGGGUAGGGCGAUGCUACCGACAAAUAUGCUCAAUGCUGCAACCGGUGCUAUGCGGAGUCUGCAUGACAGUGUUCUUGCUUUGGAGAAGCGGCGUCUCAGAGAGAAGGAUGUGGCAUACCCGGUUUUCGCGGCCAAGGUGCCAAAGGGCAAGGGCUUUGUGGAUAACUCCAUCGGGCGUACGAUCGUCCUGCGUUUUGAUGACAUCCACGCUAUGUUGAACCUUCAUCCGCUGCACUACACCUUCGUUCGGCUAUUUUCGCUGAGUAUGGAGAUGCGGAUCAUUCGCGACAAGACCCCGGACAUCGUGAUAGUCGACCCCUUCUACAUGCGUGCCAAGAUCUUGGGCAGCGCUGGGGACCGGCAAGUCGCGAGUUCUUACCUCGAAGGCAUCAUUCUGGCAAACCAAGAUAAGGAUAACUUCCUCGUGCCUUACUUUCCCGAGUAAGUCCUCCCCUCAACCGGCCCGUAACAUAUGAAUUCUUACAUUUCGAUCGUUUUUCUUUUAACAUUCCGUGUUUUUUGCAGUGACACACGUUGCACGCUCAUCCUCCUAAGCCCCAAAUAUUCCAUGGCCACAUAUUUCGACCCGGACUGUUAGUCGAACGUAGACUACACAAAUGUCAAGAAGGUUCUUGAUGAUGUUCUCCCCGGCUAUGCCAAAUCUGGAGGCACCUUCACCAGGCCUAAUCGUAAGUACGGCAAGCAUGUUUUCUCCCACAAUACGAUGUUCUACUGCGUCAAGCAGCCGCCUGGUGGUCAGAAGGGUGCCUACUACGCCAUCCAUCACAUGCGGGCGAUCGUACGGGACCAUCAUCAACUUCUGCUACCGAGUAAACUCAAAGAUUGGGCAAAGAGCGUGUCGGCAAUCGAGGACGCGGACCUCCGACAAGAAUUCUUUCGCAUCCAGUCGGAGUUUGCGGAAAUCAUCCAUCAAGAUGUCCUUCGUACCUCGGGGCAGUUCUACCUCAACAAUCAACCGUCCAAUAGUGACAUCGACAUAAUGCUACAAAUGCAGGCUGACAACGACCGUUAUUUCAUGACUCCCACGAUAGACGGCGGCUUCAUCCACGCUCCGGUCCCUUGAGUCGAGUCGAAAGCAGUGAUGCUGUGUCUAGUUCUGAAACAUCGAUUGGCUCAUGUUGUAAUUAAACUUUAAUGAACUUGUAGUAUGUCUCUUUGGUUUCGAGAGUCGUUCAACUUAGAUGUAAUCGAUGCUAUUAAUGUCUUGCUUUUCUCUUCCGAUUGUUCUGUUGCAUACUUAUAUAUUGCUUAUGUAUUGUCUGUGAAUUGGUACUAACGUUUCGUUUGGCUAGUGCAUAGCGAUGCCGACGUAUGUCGUGUACAAGGGUAAGGUUCCCGUAGUCUACGAUGACUGGGAGGAGUGUCGGAGACAGGUUCACCGAUUCAGCGGUAACAGUUACAAAGGGUACACCACUAGGGCCGAGGCCGAAUCUAGAUACGCCCGCUAUCUAGCGGGAGAGGGGAGGGAGCGUUGGAGGAACCGGAUGAAGACGAGUUUCAUCGUGAUGAUGCUCAUCGUGAUGACCGCAGCUCUCUUCUAUGUGAUGGUAGUUUAGAUGAUCGAUAUCGACUUGUAAUGUGAAGACAAACUCGCUACUCGCGGUCUCGAGACUUGUAAUAUAAUGUUCUAUCUUUGUUCGGUCUUUUUAAUUCGGAGACUAAUAUGAUGAAUUGUAUUCGGAGACUAAUAUGAUGAAUUGUAUUCAAAGACUAAUCUUCUAUUGUAUUCGAUGAAUCUGUUGUUGAUGUGUGCUGUCUAUAUUUUGUCAAAUUAUACAUUUUGUAACCUGUGCAAAAAACAGAAAAUAAAAAAUAAAAAAAACCUAAUAUUCAUACUAAUGACGCAUCACAUGAUAGUGCGCCAUUAGUAUGACAGUGCAUACUAAUGGCGCAUCACUGGGCAGUGCGCCAUUAGUAUGCCGCGGUUACUAAUGGCGCAUCCAGCGGUGGUGCGCCAUUAGUAUGCCAAAGCACCUGGGUAUACAUGGCCCCUGGGAGGCAUACUAAUGGCGCACCCUUGCCUAUACUAAUGGCGCACGCGCGGUGCGCCAUUAGUAUACCAGAUACUAAUGGCGCACCAGGUGGUGCGCCAUUAGUAAAAAUUACUAAUGGCGUGCUAUUAAUGGCGCACCACAGAUGCGCCAUUAAUGGCCAUUUUAGGUGCGCCAUUAGUAGGGGUUUUUCUAGUAGUGUAAUAAGCGAGAUGACGCAGUUCCUGACCGCCCCGCUACCACUACUGGUUCCAGCGUGGCGUUUGAAUUAUGCCGCGCUAGAUGCCUUUUGUCCAGCGAGGAACAAGUGGGGUCAAGCGUGCUUUGGCAAUUCCCGCCGUCAGAAGACUUCCUUGUAGUCCGGUGUAGAGGUGAGGUUGUAGGGAGAUGCAUCGACUAGGAAGGAGUGGCCACAUGAACGAGCAUAUGUAUGAUGUGAUUAAGUCUCUCGAUCGGGUAUCUGGUGCCUUACGUACGGUGUCUUAUUUUUGUCAAGCUAUGACAUCUUUCAGUUUGAGUGUCUGAUAUUAGGGUUGCAUACGUUUUGUUAUUCAGUUGCCUGUUGUCAACUCUAUGGUUAUAUCACCUCGAUGUGUGAGUCAAUGUGUUUGAACCAAUGUAGAGUUUCAUGUGAAUGUUACAAGUGUGAUUGAUAUCUUCAUGUUAUAACCGCAGUUGCCUUGGUAAGAAAUUGAAAGAGCAAACCGUUAUCGUGUUAGGAAAAAAGUCAUCGCUCAAUAUAAGUUGCUUCUCUAGAACAACCACACCUUUCCCUCAAAAAAAAGAACAACCACACCUUGUGAAAGAAGAUGGCAAACACCCAAUUAUGUCUGGUUAGAUAUGGGCAUGGCUAUGGGUAGCUUAUAGCGACACGGAAGCUAGCAUCGCCUGAAGAAACACCCGGAUGGGCCGGCCUAGAGACAAAUUUCUUCAUUUCUACCCUUAGUUUUGUUUUUCUGCCCUUUUUUCUUUAUAUUUUAUAUUUUUCCCGACAUGUUCACUACUUGAUGCUCAACUGGGAUCUCAUCUGAUGCGGAGCAUCCUAUGGACAUCACCAUGUCAAGAGUCCGUUCGGCAAGUGACACGUGUGACAUCUACUUCUCAUACAUAAAGGUGAAUCUUCUCCUUUACACGUGUUUACUUGACCCCUUCGAGGAUGGUAUACUACUUGACACUUCUCCCGUGUGCAUGCAUAGGUAUUGUCGGAGCUUCAUGGAUGUCGAGGAGGAGUGCAAGCGCCAAGGAAUGACUACACCGUCCGCGAGGGAAGCAUGGAAGAGAAGGAGGAAGAGAACCUGGCUACUCCAGAACGAGCGGUACUACUGCCCACUCCAAGCGGUACUACCGCCGAGGCCACCCAAGCGGCACUACCGCCCAGCAUCCGCCCUUCUACUGCUCAACCCGACAAACUCCAGUGAUCGAGCGGUGUAAGUCCGGUACUACUGCCCCUCCAAGCGGUACUACCGCUCAAGCGGUACUACCACCCAUGAGUCCGGUACUACCGCCCUGCCUCUGCCCAGCCGUGGGCCUUUGGCCUUGUAUCCCUCUCCCACUUACCCCUUCGUGGCUUAGACUAUAAAUAGGCCACCUCCACCUCCUUUCUAGGGUUAGCACAGAUUUAGCUCAUUUUGAGAUAGAGCUUUGCUCAUCCAUACGGAUCUACUCCUCGUGAGAGACCGCGACCUCUUCGGAGAAGAUCCAUCUUGGAUUCAAGACCCCCUCGUGGGAAGAUCCGUCUAGGAUACCAACAAGACCUCCUCUUGGAGAUGAACCUUACCUUGUAUCUUUCCCUUUGUUGUUCAUGUACCCUUGUGGAUCUUGUGUGUUUGAUUGUCUAGUGGAUGUGUGAUUGGACUUGUACUUGAGUGUUUCCCCUUGUGAUUUCUCUCCGUUCUUCCACGUGUUCUUCAUAGGGAUCCGCUCCAAACGUGAAAGAUCGGCCUCUAGGGUUCUAGCCUACAUCAUCUUGGAUCAGAGCAAGGUUGAUCACGGAUUUGGAGCCCCUACCCCUCUUUUUCUAGCCUUCUUUUGCUUGCUUUCGUCCUAAAAUCCCCACAAAAAAUAGCCCCAAUUUUUUUGUGAUUUGUUCGUUUGAUGAUUUUUUGUUGAUUUUGAUCCAUGGAUUUGCUUGGUUUUGAGUGGAUCUAGCAUCUCUCCAAGUUUCCCCACCUUCCAUCCACGAAAUCCAUCCAAUUUUGCCCCUGAAAUCAUCCUUUUCCGCCCCAAAUUCGCCCCGAUUUCGAUCUGUGAAUUUUCCCGACACGAGCGGUACUACCGCCCUCGAAGCGGUACUACCGCCCUCGAAGCGGUACUACCGCUGAGCACCACAAGCGGUACUACCACCCUCCCAAGCUAUGACGCCCGGAUAAUUAAGCUACAGUAAUCCCCUUCUAAUGGUGCCAUGUCAUCACAUUACUGUUGCUAAUCCUCGCUUGAUCCAAAUCUUAGUUCAAACUCAAAUUCAAAUUAAAGACCAAAAUUCAAAUUUCUCAAGCAUGCAAAAUAAAAUGUUCAAAGUGUGGCAAAUAAUCGCUGGAUAUUUGUCAUGUUGCAAACAACCUCUUUUGAAUUCUCAAAAUGCCCCUGGGAAUUAAUUUUUGGUCCAGUAGUAAAUUAAAUGGCAUUUGCAAAAUAAAGAAUUGUUUAUUUAACUCCAAUUGCCUCCAAACUUUAUGUGCCACUCCAAAAUAUUUGUGGCUCUGUCUAAGAUCGCCAAGGAAUUAAAAGGGCACUUCCCAUAUUUUCCCUAAGUAAAUAGUGUGCCCAAAAUAUUCUCUUAACCAUCUCUAUUUUUUUAAAUAAAAAAAGGCGAAGAAGAACUCCCCCGGGCCUCGGGCCACUCCCACUUACCAGCCCACCUAAGCCGGCCCACUCCCCCGCUCCCCUAGCCUAUAGGCCACGGCCGACCGAACCCUAACCCCGCAUGAUCCCCCCACUCCCCACUCCUCUCCCCUCUCGAUCCGAUCUGGAUCGGACCGAAACCGGCGCAAUUGGUCGAUCCAUGUAUAAAGUAAAAAUAACUAGGCCCAAUUGGUCGAUCCAUGACAGUUUUCGUGACGGUACUUCCACGUCUGUCAUGAGGGGGCUACCCUACUUGGCCCCAAAUGGAUCUUGCUAAUUGGUGACGGUUUCCGUGAUAGAUUUCUGGAACGUCACCAGAAAUCCGUCAUUGAUUAACAGAUUUCCGCACAAUCCCCCCACUCCCCACUCCUCUUCCCUCCUGAUCCGAUCUGGAUCGGACCGAAAUCGGCGCCGCGACGCCAACCGCCGUCGCUGGAGGCGUCCCCGACUCCACGCCGGGCCGCCCCGUCACUGGACCUCCUCCCCGUCGCCACUCGUCACUCGCUGGACCGCCUCGUCCCCACCAAUGCCGCCCCCACCCCAACGUCCCCGACGCCUUCGCCGUCGGCACCGCCCCAAUGUCGCCGCCACCCGACGCCGGCGCCCUCGACAUCGCCACCCCGAGCCCACUGCCACCCCUACGCUCCGCUAUGAGCCCCUCGCUGAUUCCCCCUCCUUCCCGUCGUCGUAGGUGGCUGCGCGCGUCGUUGGCCAUCGUGGCCGCGCUCCGGCCGUUCCCCAUCCGUGCGCUGGCCUCGCCUUCCUCGGAUUGCAAACAUUGAACUUUUCCCCUCGGGUUCAUCUAUCUGACAGACGUUCGGGACCAGAAAAACUUUCCCGGAUGUUUCCCCCUUCGCCAGUAUCACCUAGCACCGCGUUAGAACACUUCUAGCCCCGCUUAUUGUCUUGUUAUGCAUAUGUUUGCGUGUAUUUACUGUUUCUUCCCCCUCUUCUUCUCCGGUAGACCUCGAGACCGUUGCUGAUGCCCCUGUGGUCGACUACGUCGACGGCGACCCUCCUUGUCUGAGCAACGAGGCAAGCCCCCCCUUUGAUCAUCCCGAUAUCGCCCAUUCCAUUCUCUAAUGCUUGCACUAGAUUUUCUACUGUAUUUGAUUGCUCCUAUUCUGAUGCAUAGCAUGCUUUUCUACCUGCUGUUGUACCUUACCUGCUUAUCCUAAACUGCUUAGUAUAGGUUGGCUAGUGAUCCAUCAGUGACCCCCACCUUGUCUUUGUUGCCCCUGCUUCAUCAUUGACGACUCGAUCAACGUGAUCGACGACCGGAGCCUGACACCUCACAUCACAUCACGCCCCUUUUUGUUGCUCGACUCUGCAGAGUUACCAUCGAGUGCCGAGGGUGGAACCUCAUACAUCACUCCUUAUGAGAUCUCUGUAGUGUAGCUAUUCGGUCGUGGUCAUCGAGGGUGGUUCCUCCUUCACCAUUCCUAAUACGGCUCUGUCGUGCAACACCUCAAGUGUGAACCUCGAGGGUGGUUCCUCUUACGUUCACCUUGAUGAUUACAUCGAGUGGAAUCCACCGGGGGUGAUUCCUCGGAUUUUCCCCUUUAUGUCUGGACACACAGUUACCUUGACUUCACUUGAGACCGUUUUGAAAGCCGGGCAGGCCCGGAGAGCACCCGUGCGGUGUGACGGUGGCGGCUGGCUGUUUAGCGGUAUCACCCGGGAGGGGGUGAUAGCUCCGGACUUGUCCCGACAGCCGUCACUUCUUUUAAUAAUGCACUAACAGGUUUGGGUAUUUUUUCUAAGUUCACUAACCACGACGCUAGAAUAGUUAUGGGUCUCGAUGUUGCAGUAUCAGCCGAAGCUUUCUCAGACGUCCAGUUCAGCAUUGUGGCCGGGCCGAAUCAUGCCAUCCACUUCACGGGUGGUGCUGGUAUCCCCUUGCGCACAACGACCCAGAGUGCAACGGGCGAUGGGCCCAGACCCCGGAGUGCUUAGGAUGUAGACCGGCAGGGACCUCUCUGCUGAGCCUAGGUAGGGCAGCUACGUGUUGAUCUUCCGAGGCCGGGCAUUGACCCCAGAAAGGUGUGUCCUUCCAGAGUGAUCGAGCGUGUUGGGUAACGUGGUGCCCCCCUGCAGGGAAGAUUAUCUAUUAAUAGCCGUGUCCACGGUAACGGACGUUCAAACUUAUAUCUUGAUCUUAUACAACUACAAAUGGAUACUUGAGAUAUGUGGCUCCGGGAUUGCUUUCUCGCAGGGAGUCGAGGAAGGAUCUCUGGGCGUUGUUGUCACAACAUGCUUGUUAAUUAAACUGCUAUUCUUUACUCUUCUACAUGCUGCAAGAUGCUUGGAGCUACUUGAAGAUGCUAGUCUUCAUGAGGCUAGGCCUUCCCCUCUAUUCUGGCAUUCUGCAGUUCAGUCCACAGAUACAACCCUUCCAUUUGAUACCAAUGCAUACUUAGUAUAGAUCUGAUGCUUGCGAGUACUUUGGAUGAGUACUCACGGUUGCUUUGCUACCCCAUUUCCCCCUUCUUUCUUCUUUCCGGUUGACGCAACCAAAUGGUGGAUCCCUGGAGCCAGAUGCCAGCGCUGAUAGAUGCUACUAUGUGAAGAUCGCCGACGACCAGGAGUAGUUAGGAGGUCCCAAGCAGGAGGCCUUGCCUCUUCGAUCAUUGUUGCUUUUGUGCUAGCCUUCUUAAGGCAUCUUUGUUUAACUUAUGUCUGUACUCAGAUAUUGUUGCUUCCGCUGACUCUUGUGUAUCGAGCUAUGUAUUCAAGCCCUCGAGGCCCCUGGCUUGUAAUAUAAAGCUUGUAUUAUUUUGAUUUGUGUCUAUAGUUGUGUUGUGAUAUCUUCCCGUGAGUCCCUGAUCUUGAUCAUACACAUUUGCGUGCAUGAUUAGUGUACGAUUGAAUCGGGGACGUCACAAGUUGGUAUCAGAGCCGACUGUUUGUAGGAUCCCCCUUUCCAACUCCUUGGCUGAAGUUGAGUCUAGUCUUUGAAAAAAAUUGUUUUACUAACAUGGUUGUGUGGCUUACGGGCCCAUGUCGCCAUUGGGUGGUAUUAGGAUCUUUUACUCCUCGACCUUUACUCUGGGACUCUAAUCGCUCUUCUAUUCGGGUUAAAUGGUCUCGCAAACUAUAACUCUAGGUUCUCGUAAAUACUUUCUCCCGGAGAGCCCCUUCAUUCCAGAUGAUGGCCUGCUUCACCAGAUGAUUUCGAAGAUACCCUUCUGUAAUUUCCUGAGACUUUUGUACUCAUUGCUUUUGCAGUUCCCUACCUCUGAUAUAUCCUUACGGAUAACUUCAUACACUUGUCAUUCAUACAAUCAUUCCUAGUUGCUCUUGUUUUUACAAGAUACAUUGAAUUAUUCUCCGACUUUUAAGAAUCCCUUGCUUACUGCCCUGCAGUUCCUUGCCGCAUGAAUACCCCUACGGAUAAUUACUCGCACUUGCCGAGUAUCCGUUCGUCCAUAGUUGUUCAUGUGUUUCACAACAUUCUUUGGAAAGCUAUUUGAUCUUUUCAAAAAUCCUCAGUAGCCUAUUACUCUUGUUCCUCCUUACCUACUUACAGUAUGGUUACUUCCAUUUGUCUAGCAAUAUUCUUUAAAAUCCUUUGCGAUUGACAUCCUUACCCUAUUGUUUCAACAUGUGUGUGAAUGCACGCAAUCAUCAAUUGUUCCCUGGAAUUGUCCUUCUGGCUCAGACGUUACCCCGGACACGAGCUGGUGUUCGACAAAACAAACCUUGAUUGAUUUUGAAUCUAUGUCUAUACAACUUAAUUGUCUUUGAUCAGAGCCUCUGCUUUUGAUCCCCCAUUUUGAAAAUCAUAAUCCCCUUUGCAUUCGAGCAUAGAAUUAGUCAGUUGUUUCUAUAACCUGACCUCCUUGAAUUCUUUCUUCUUCUGGUUGAGUAUCGAUACUCACAUCAGAUCCAUUGUGGACCUCCAGGUCCUUUGUUGGUUUUUAUCCGACAGCAUCCUUCAUAUUCAGUAACCUUGUGAGCCUUUCCUCGAAUACACAAUGCCUUUGGUAAAUUGUAUCCCCCACUCUCGUCAACCAUACUCUGCUUCCGGGCUUGAGUUAUUUACUCGUGAAGUUUGUGGUAUAUGUUCCUAAUAUGUCCCUAUGGGUUGAAUCUAUGUCUUCCCUAAAUCUGUGUGAACCCUACGACUCAUACUCUACUGGUGUUAUGCCAGAUAAAAUCUCAACAGUACGGCUUCGUUGAAAAUGAGAAGUGAAUGAAAGGUUAUGCAUCGAAGAAGUGGGAGUCGACCUUGAGCCUUGUGUUCAUGCCCAUGGACACGAUGUGGAACUUAACAUGGAAGCUUCUUUUUAUAAUAAUAGCCCCCUAGCGAUAAGUACAUCUUGUAUCCAUGUGUGGUCCAUUGCAAUCGUGGUUCCGACCAUAUUGUUCUUGUUUGAUCCAUUUAUCGGACAAGUUAAAGUACUUGUCUUCUUCAAAUUGUUUCACAUGUUCAACCUCUACAUUGAUAUACCUUCGAGCAUUAUCCUCUGGUAUCUCGAGAAUAUCACGGAACUACAUAACUUCUUAUGAGUUCUUGAUCAACUAUUAUUUCUCACUGAUUCAAAUUUUUCACUAGUUGGGAGUUGUUAGACACUCGAGAAUACAGUUAACUGAUUCAAGUCUACGCUUUCCUUUCCAUUGUUCUGUUUAAUCUUUCUGGUAACCUAUCUUAUCUGAGAACUGAUAAUUCCCUGCUUAUGUAAACACCUCGGUGUACAAGCUCUGUCUGUAAGACCUUGUUACUAUUGUUGAGGACAUUCCGAUAGCUACCGAUGGACGAGAACUUUGCCUAUUGGUCCGCCUCAUCUUAACGAGCAGGAAAAUGGUUCUCUUUGUCCCUCUCCCUUGGUACCAACGUUGUUGCCAACAUAACUGACAAGUUGUCCUCUGACCUGCCUUGCUAUCAUGACCAUGCAAAAUGCUAGCGCCCUUCCUGCUUUUAACCCACAAGGUGGGCCUGAGGGAGUCCUGGACUAGGCGGUGUCCGGACAGCCGGACUAUCAUCGUCCGCCGGACUCCAAGACUACGAAGAUACAAGAUUGAAGACUCCGUCCCGUGUCUGGAUGGGACUUUCCUUGGCGUGGAAGGCAAGCUUGGAAAUACGGAUAUGUAGAUCUCCUACCAUUGUAACCGACUCUGUGUAACCCUAGCCUCCUCCGGUGUCUAUAUAAACCGGAGGGCUUUAGUCCGUAGGACACAACAUACAUUACAACAAUCAUACCAUAGGCUAGCUUUAGGGUUUAGCCUCCUUGAUCUCGUGGUAGAUCCACUCUUGUACUACCCAUAUCAUCAAUAUUAAUCAAGCAGGAUGUAGGGUUUUACCUCCAUCGAGAGGGCCCGAACCUGGGUAAAACAUCGUGUCCCUCGUCUCCGGUUACCAUCCGCCUAGACGCACAGUUCGGGACCCCCUACCUGAGAUCCGCCGAUUUUGACACCGACAUUGGUGCUUUUAUUGAGAGUUCCUCUGUGUCGUCACCAAUAGGCUCGAUGGCAUCUUCAACCAACAACGCUGUCCAGGGUGAGACUUUUCUCCCCGGACAGAUCUUUGUAUUCGGCGGCUUCGCACUGCGGGCUAAUUCGUUUGGCCAUCGGAGCAGAUCGAAAGCUACGCCCCUGGCCGUCAGGUCAGAUUCGGAAGUCUCAACUUCACGGCCGACGUCCGCGGAGACUUGAUCUUCGACGGGCUCGAGCCACAGCCAAGCGCGCCGCACUGUUACGAUGGGCAUGAUCUAGCUCUGUCGCCGAACAGUGCCUUGGUGGCCGCCCACGAAUCCGCUUCGGCCUUUAGUCCGGGGCCGAUCGCCCAGACCGAGGAACGGUGGAUGGACACCGCCUCGGGGGCUUCAACUUCCACGGCGAUGGAGCCGAACACUAAUCUUGUCCCUCGCAAAACUCGUGAUUCCGAGGUGCCGGACUCCUUGCCGGACUCCGAAGCUCCCACGCCCCUACCAACCGAAUCGGAUUGGGCGCCGGUUAUGGAAUUCACCGCCGCGGACAUCUUCCAAUACUCGCCUUUUGGCGACAUCCUGAAUUCGCUAAAGCAUCUCUCGUUAUCAGGAGAGCCCUGGCCGGACUAUGGCCAGGAUGGUUGGGAUACGGACGACGAAGAAAUUCAGAGCCCACCCACCACCCACUUUGUAGCCACUGUCGACGAUCUAACCGACAUGCUAGACUACGACUCCGAAGACAUCAACGCUAUGGACGACAAUGCCAGAGACGAACAGGAACCAGCGCCUACAGGGCACUGGAAGACCACCUCGUCAUAUGACAUAUACAUGGUGGAUACCCCAAAAGACGGGGACGGCGAAGAAACAGCGGAGGCAUAUUCUUUAAAGAAACAGCCCAAGCGCCGGCAUCAGCGGCGCUGCUCUAAAUCCCGCCACGGCAAGAAUGGAGAUUCCAGCACAGGAGAUAAUAAUACCCCAGAAAGUGCCGAAGAUAACCCCCUCCAGCAAGACUCAGCGCAGGAGGAUGCAGAAGCAAGCCCUCACGAGAAGGCGGCAGACAAAGAGGUUGAGGAUUACAACUAUAUGCCUCCCUCCGAAGACGAGGCAAGCCUCAACGAUGACGAAUUCGUCGUGCCCGAGGAUCCCGUCGAACAAGAGCGUUUUAAACGCAGGCUUAUGACCACGGCAAAUAGCCUAAAGAAAAAGCAGCAGCAGCUUCAAGCUGAUCAGGACCUGCUGGCCGAUCGAUGGACCGAGGUCCUCGCGGCCGAAGAGUAUAAACUCGAAUGCCCCUCCAAAAGCUAUCCAGGACGCAAGCUGCUCCCCCGAUUAGAGGAGGAAGCAUACAUACCUCCAUCACCAGCGCACGAUACGGCUGACCGACCACCCCGUGGUCGUGACAGAGAGGCAUCCAGGCCCCCAACCAAGACCGUACCCCGGCAUCGCUCGAAAAGUAUGAAGCCAAGAGGGAACGCGCCGGACUUGCGAGAUAUAUUGGAGGACAAAGCAAGGCAAUCCAGAUCCAUCUACGGAUCACGGGGGUGCCCCACGACCCAUGACGAAUACCGUCGCGCCGGAUACAAUAACCCCGGCCGGGCCGAACACAGCAGACAACGCUCUCUCGAGUUGCAUCGUGAUAUUGCUCAAUAUAGAGGCGCCGCACACCCGCUAUGCUUCACAGACGAAGUAAUGGAUCAUCAAAUCCCUGAAGGGUUUAAACCCGUAAACAUCGAAUCCUACGAUGGCACAACAGACCCUGCGGUUUGGAUCGAAGAUUACCUUCUCCACAUCCAUAUGGCCCGCGGCGACGAUCUACAUACCAUCAAGUACCUCCCACUCAAGCUUAAAGGACCAGCUCGGCAUUGGCUCAACAGCUUGCUCGCAGAGUCAAUUGGGUGUUGGGAAGACCUAGAAGCCGCAUUCCUUGAUAACUUCCAGGGCACGUAUGUGCGACCACCAGACGCCGAUGACCUAAGUCACAUCAUUCAGCAGCCAGACGAAUCGGCCAGACAAUUCUGGACACGGUUCUUGACAAAGAAAAAUCAAAUCGUCGACUGUCCGGAUGCAGAGGCCCUUGCAGCCUUCAAACAUAACACCCGCGACGAAUGGCUAGCCCGGCACCUGGGGCGGGAAAAGCCGAAAUCCAUGGCAGCCCUCACAUCAUUAAUGACCCGCUUUUGCGUGGGAGAGGAUAGCUGGCUAGCUCGCAGCAACAAUCUCCGUAAAAAUUCUGGCAGUCCAGACACCAAGAACAAUAAUGGCAGGUCACGUCGAAACAAAAACAAACGCCGCAUCAACGGCAAUGAUAAGGAGGAUACGGCAGUCAACGCCGGAUUCCGAGGCUCUAAACCCGGUCAACGGAAGAAGCCAUUCAAAAGAACCACUCCGGGUCCGUCUAAUUUGGACCGAAUACUCGACCGCUUAUGCCAGAUACAUGGCACCCCUGAAAAGCCAGCUAAUCACACUAAUAGAGACUGCUGGGUGUUCAAGCAGGCAGGUAAGUUAAUUGCCGAAAACAAUGACAAGGGGCUAAACAGCGAGGACGAGGAGGAGACCCGACCGCCGAACAAUAGAGGACAAAAGGGUUUUCCCCCACAAGUGCGGACGGUGAACAUGAUCUACGCGACCCAUAUACCCAAUUGGGAGAGGAAGCGUGCACUAAGGGACGUCUAUGCGAUGGAGCCAGUCGCCCCGAAGUACAAUCCAUGGUCCUCUUGUCCGAUCACUUUCGAUCGAAGAGACCAUCCGACCAGCAUACGCCAUGGCGGAUUCGCCGCAUUGGUUCUAGACACAAUCGUCGAUGGAUUUCACCUCACGAGAGUCCUGAUGGACGGCGGUAGUAGCCUGAACCUGCUUUAUCAGGACACAGUGUGCAAAAUGGGCAUAGACCCCUCAAGGAUUAAACCUACAAAGACAACCUUUAACAGUGUCAUACCAGGUGUGGAAGCCAACUGUACAGGCUCAGUCACACUGGAAGUGGUCUUCGGAUCCCCGGACAAUUUCCGGAGCGAGGAGUUAAUCUUCGACAUAGUCCCGUUUCGCAGCGGCUAUCACGCUCUGCUCGGACGAAUCGCGUUCGCAAAAUUCAACGCGGUGCCGCAUUGUGCAUACCUCAAGCUCAAGAUGCCAGGCCCUCAUGGAGUCAUCACGGUCAAUGGGAAUACGGAACGCUCCCUCCGAACGGAGGAACAUACAGCGGCUCUCACGGCAGAAGUACAGAGCAGCCUUUUAAGGCAAUUCUCGAGUCCGGCCAUUAAACGGCCGGAUACAUCAAAGCGCGCCCGAAGCAAUACCAACCAAGACCACCUGGCGUGAUCAGAGCACGCGUAGCAAUGCGGCCCCAACCCCCGCCCGCGCGUGAUUGCAAGAAUAACCCUCCGCGUACAUCAUUACGCUUUGGAGAUACCAUGGGCGCAGGGGAAGGGGCACGAUCACAACGGACCCAGAGUGCAGUUCGACCGCACCAGGGGCUCGCAAGUGUGCCCCCUUUUUUUUAUUGUUAUUUUCCCUCUUUGUGUACACAGGACUCCGUUAGCCAGAGGCCCUAUCCGGCGGUGAACCUGCCGAACUCAUGAUGCAAUAACCAGGGAAGAAAGAACGCUGCGACGAACACUCAGGUGGUCUCAAUUACAAGCAUUAAAUUCGAUUAUAUACACCAAGUCCGCAGCUUACCCUUGGAGGGGGACAUGUUUAAUUAGUCCAAAUCCCUUGCUUACCACACUAUUUGUAUCAGUCCGCACUCAUAGCAGACUUUCUUUCAUAAAUAAUGCAGCACCUUUUUGACUGCAAUUACAUUACCUUUUAUAUAUAUAUGCUCAUUACAUGACAUCUUGCACCCGUAUAUUUUGGUACGGCCUAAUACACCAGGGGCUUAUGUUCCCCACAUUAUGGUGUGAUAAGUCCGAACACUUUCGUAAGUGCAGCACCCCGAACUUAUAGCACUAUAUGAAUCGGCUCCGAAUCAUGUCUUGGGUCAAUAGUUGGGUUUGCCCGGCUCCCACGUUUUGGUGCCUUACGUUCCGUUCUGUCGGCUAAGGUGGCACUGGGAGAACCACUGCGAUUGCGCCCCGGUUGAGCCGGGCGAGCACCUCAGUGGAGAAAGCUAAAACUGACCGGCAUGAUAAGGCGAGAGACUGGUCGCUGUUCGAGAGGUUUUUUCGGGUCCUUAAAGACUCACGCCACUUCGAGCGAAGUUCCGGACCAUGUCUGACGAAGGCGUGGAUAGCGCCCCGGAUUCGGCCUUUCGGAUACCAGGGGCUUCGCCGAAAUUUAAAAUUAUAGAAUUCUAUGGCUAAGUGAGAGUGUUCAAGCAUUAUAAGUCCGGUCGCCUUGUUCGUUGUGUUGAGCACCUCCCUAGAUGGACCCAAAAAUGGGAAUAAGAGUGCUCAAGUUUAUCCCGAACACCCCAGCACUCGUGGCUCGGGGGCUGAAGCCAAUGACUUUCCAUCUCUCAGAUUUUAUAAACGGCCGCACAGAAGGUAAUAUUUUAAAUUAAAACAAGCGUUGCUCAUGGCGCAUCUGAACGAAGUUUUCAGCGCACAGGAUAAUACAUAGCGAGUUCACUCAAAGAUUACAUUUCUAGGGCACUCAUCCGCAAUAUCGCGGGCUCCCUUCAGGACAGUUUUAUAAUACAUUUCAGGCGUGCGAUACUCCUUGCCCGGCGGCGGUGGGUCUGUGAGAAGCUUCUCCGCAUCCAACCUGCCCCAAUGCACCUUUGUGCGGGCAAGGGCCCGACGAGCACCUUCAAUACAGGCGGAGCGCUUGAUGACCUCCACCCAGGGGCAUGCAUCCACCAGCCGCCGCACGAGGCCGAAGUAGCUACCAAGCAUGACCUGUUCAGGCCACAGCCGGACUAUAAGGCCCUUCAUGGCCUCUUCAGCUACCUUGUGGAGUUCGACCAGCUGCUUCAGCUGGUCGCUUGGGGGCACCGGAUGGCCUGCCUCAGCGUACUAAGACCAGAAGACCUUCUCCGUUGAGCUCCCCUCCUCGCCACGAUAGAAUGCGGCGGCAUCGGAGGCACUACACGGCAGAUCUGCAAACACCCCUGGAGAGCUCCGAAUGCGGGUAAUUGUCAGGUAGUUUACAUUAACAUGCUUGCUUUGCAUGAAAAAUGCCUUACCCGCCGCUAUCUUCUUUACAUCUUCAACCUCCUGAAGGGCCUUACGGGCCUCGGCCUUGGCGGACUUGGCACUUUCGAGAGCCGAGGCAAGCUCGGACUCUCGAGUCUUGGAGCCUCCUGCUUUUCUCGCUCCGCCCGUUCCGCGACCGCACUGCGUUCAGCCGCGGACACAGCCUCCUUCAGGGCUGCCACCUCGUUCGUGGCCCCUGCAAUACCCAUAUUAUCCUUGUUAAUUUUAUUGCAACCAAAAUCCUUUUCCGUAAGGUGACUAUUCAAAGCGGUGUUACUCACCUUCUUUGUCCUCGAGCUGCUUCUUGGCAGUGCCGAGCUCUUGCUCGGACCGCUCGAGAUCCUGCUUCAACACAUCGACCUCCGCCGUCAGUGCGGCAGAGGUCAGUAGCGCAGCCUGCAAACCCAUAUUGACAUAUUUUAAGCAACCCUGCGUAUAUCUUGUUAGAUCCUCAGUCCGGCUUUUCUUUCCGAACACCGAACUGAGCAUCAAGGGCUACUGUCUAUGCGGUAUUACAUUACAUAAUUUUAACUUCUUACCUCAAAGCCUGUUAGAAGGCUGCUGCAGGCUUCGGUCAGCCCGCUCUUGGCGAGCUAAACCUUUUGAAUCACCGCACUCAUGUUAGUGCGAUGUUUUUCCUCGAUGGAAGCGCCUUCAAGCGCCUCCAACAAGUUAUCCGGCGCCUCCGGUUGGACGGAGGUCGCCGGUGUCAAGGUCUUGCCCUUCUUUCGAAGGGGCCGCCCGCCGGACUCUAGAACCACUGCGGGUUCCGAUGUAGAGUCCGGCACAAAGUCUGGGAGGCAGCCUGACGACGCCUCCGGAGCCUCCUCCUGAUGGGUCCCUCUCUGGGAUCCCACCUCGGCGUCCCCGUCGGCGCGGGGGGUAGAGGCGGUCGGAAGUGAAUCCACAUCUAACGGGGCCAACGACCCGCUCGAUGAAGCGGGGAGAUCAUCAUCGGCCGGACUACGGACAGAACGCGGCAUUAGAAGGACACUACGCGACACGAAAGAAAUUGCAUAUCAUGGAUCCGGAUACUUACGAUCUUGUCGGACGCCUGGCCCUUGGAGGCCACUCAUCCUCGCCAACGGUGGUGUUGGCGAAACUGUCCGGGGGGAUAGUCCUCCCCCUCUUGGACCCUUCGGCCUCCCCUAUUGGGAAAGCCUUCCACUUCUUCUCUCCCUCCUCCGAGAGAGAGUCCUCUUCCUCCUCCUCGUCUUUGGGGGAGGAGUCCGCCUCGUCGUCGGACGCCUAAUUGCGGGAACUCUUUCGAGUCCCCGCGGCCACCUUCUUGGCCUUCUUCUCCGGCACCACGUGCGGUGCCGGAACCAGCAGCCCUGCUAAACGGGCGUUCUCUGGGUCUUCAGGCAUGGGAGCCGGGCUGAUGAGCUGCUUGGCCUUCUCCAUCCAUUCCUAUCAAAGGAAAAGAGAGAUUGAAACCCUCUUAGAAUCAGUUUAAUUACCACAAGUGUCCCGUAACGUGGUUGAAUCACUUACCUCGUCAGCCGGAUGCUGCGAGCGAAAUCCGUGAUCUUCCGUCGCGGAUGCGGGGGCUUCGGCGCCCUUAAACAGCACCCUCCAGGCGCCUUCGUAUGUCGUAUCGAAGAGCCCGCUCAGCGCCUGGUGCUGUUCCGGAUUGAACUCCCACAGAUUGAAUACCCGUUCUUGGCAUGGGAGAAUCCGGCGGAUGAGCAUGACUUGGACCACGUCGACGAGCCUGAGCUUAUUGCUCACCAGCUUCUGGAUGCAGGCUCGGAGUCCCGUCACCUCCUUCGGAUUUCCCCACAGCAAGCCCUUCUCUUUCCAGGAGGUGAACUGCGUGGGGACGCCAGAUCUAAACUCGGGGGCCGCCGCCCAUGUGGGCUUGCGCAGCUCGGUGAUGUAGAACCAACCCGAUUGCCACCCCUUGACGGAGUCCACGAAGGCCCCUUCGAGCCAAAGGACGUUGGGCAACUUACCCAACAUGGCGCCUCCGCAUUCCGCUUGCGUGCCCUUCACAACCUUCGGCCUCCCCUAUUGGGGAAGCCUUCCUCUUCUUCUCUCCCUCCUCCGGGAGAGAGUCCUCUUCCUCCUCCUCGUCUUCGGGGGAGGAGUCCGCCUCGUCGUCAGACGCCUGAUUGCGGGAACUCUUUCGAGUCCCCGCGGCCACCUUCUUGGACUUCUUCUCCGGCACCACGUGCGGUGCCGGAACCAGCAGCCCUGCUAAACGGGCGUUCUCUGGGUCUUCAGGCAUGGGAGCCGGGCUGAUGAGCUGCUUGGCCUUCUCCAUCCAUUCCUGUCAAAGGAAAAGAGAGAUUGAAACCCUCUUAGAAUCAGUUUAAUUACCACAAGUGUCCCAUAACGGGGUUGAAUCACUUACCUCGUCAACCGGAUGCUGCGAGCGAAAUCCGUGAUCUUCCGUCGCGGAUGCGGGUGCUUCGGCGCCCUUAAACAGCACCCUCCAGGCGCCUUCGUAUGUCGUAUCGAAGAGCCCGCUCAGCGCCUGGUGCUGUUCCGGAUUGAACUCCCACAGAUUGAAUGCCCGUUCUUGGCAUGGGAGAAUCCGGCGGAUGAGCAUGACUUGGACCACGUCGACGAGCCUGAGCUUAUUGCUCACCAGCUUCUGGAUGCAGGCUCGGAGUCCCGUCACCUCCUUCGGAUUGCCCCACAGCAAGCCCUUCUCUUUCCAGGAGGUGAACUGCGUGGGGACGCCAGAUCUAAACUCGGGGGCCGCCGCCCAUGUGGGCUUGCGCAGCUCGGUGAUGUAGAACCAACCCGAUUGCCACCCCUUGACGGAGUCCACGAAGGCCCCUUCGAGCCAAAGGACGUUGGGCAACUUACCCAACAUGGCGCCUCCGCAUUCCGCUUGCGUGCCCUUCACAACCUUCGGCUUGACGUUGAAGGUCUUGAGCCACAGGCCGAAGUGGGGCCGGAUGCAGAGGAAGGCCUUGCACACGACGAUAAACGCCGAGAUGUUGAGGAUGAAGUUCGGCGCCAGAUCGUGGAAAUCCAGGCCGUAGUAAAACAUGAUCCCCCGGACGAAUGGGUGGAGUGGAAAGCCCAGUCCGCGGAGGAAGUGGGGAAGGAAGACGACCCUCUCAUGGGGCCCAGGGGUAGGGAUGAGCUGCCCCUCGUCGGGCAGCCGAUGCGCGAUAUCGCCGGAAAGGUAUCCGGCGCUGCGAAGCUUGGUGAUAUGCUCCUCCUUAACGGUGGAGUCCAACCAUUUGCCUCCCGCUCCGGACAUAUUCGGAGAAGGUCGGGGCGAGAUGCGCGAGCUUGGGCGUUGGAGCUUGAGUGCACGGAGAUGGAUAAGCAAAGGAGGAAGAAGGCGUAGGUGAGAAGGUAAAUCCUUAUCCCUUAUAUAUAGGCGGACGAAAACUAUGCGUCCCCACCGGCCUGAUAAAACUCGCUUAUCUCCCAAGCGCCACCAUCAAUGGCGCGGUUGGGUUACCCACGUCCGUAUUGAUGGGAAUCCCGGAAUAAGGGGAACACAAUCUCUGCUUCGACAAGACGUGCCAAGGAAACCGCUUCGCUAAACGUGCUGAGGUGGUAUAGUAAAAAACGAUUCAAACAAAGGCUUGGUAGCGGUGUGAUGUCACGCCGCAUAAUACGUCAGCAGAUUGGACUGGUGUACAUUUUAUUCUCUCUACGGUGGAAUGUGGAAUUUAUUUUGCAGAGCCGGACACUAUCCUGGUGUUCAUGAUCUUCUCUGGAUUAUUCAAGGGAGGAACCCGCCUUGCAAUGCCGAACAUUAUGCGCGCCGGACUUAUCGUCAUUGAAGCCUGGUUCAGGGGCUACUGAGGGAGUCCUGGACUAGGGGGUGUCCGGACAGCCGGACUAUCAUCGUCCGCCGGACUCCAAGACUACGAAGAUACAAGAUUGAAGACUCCGUCCCGUGUCCAGAUGAGAUUUUCCUUGGCGUGGAAGGCAAGCUUGGCAAUACGGAUAUGUAGAUCUCCUACCAUUGUAACCGACUCUGUGUAACCCUAGCCUCCUCCGGUGUCUAUAUAAACCGGAGGGCUUUAGUCCGUAGGACACAACAUACAUUACAACAAUCAUACCAUAGGCUAGCUUUAGGGUUUAGCCUCCUUGAUCUCGUGGUAGAUCCACUCUUGUACUACCCAUAUCAUCAAUAUUAAUCAAGCAGGACGUAGGGUUUUACCUCCAUCGAGAGGGCCCGAACCUAGGUAAAACAUCGUGUCCCUCGUCUCCUGUUACCAUCCGCCUAGAUGCACAGUUCGGGACCCCCUACCCGAGAUCCGCCGGUUUUGACACCGACAGGGCCCAUAACCCACAGUUCCACAGGAUCGAAACCUGACUCAUGUACAUCCCUGUUUUUCAAAGUUGUUCCUCGCGCUUGGAUUCGUAUGUAAUUCACGAGCCACCUUCCUUGUGAUCUGUUCUGGUAUCAGAUGCAAUACUUAUUCCCAUUGCUCUAAACCCCUUUCACCUUCUUACCUUGCUCUCGAUGACUAUCCUGAAUUCCAACUCAAGAGAUGCCUCUAUGCCAUGUUGAGGUACCUAUCUUGUGUUGAGCUCCAUCCCUCCCGAGUCUUUCCCCCUUACUCACCCCUUAAAUCUCGAGACGAUAUUUCUUGUAGUGGAGGAGAAUUGUGACGCCCAAAUAAUUAAGCUACAGUAAUCCCCUUUUAAUGGUUCCAUGUCAUCACAUUACUAUUGCUAAUCCUCGCUUGAUCCAAAUCUUAGUUCAAACUAAUAUUCAAAUUAAAGACCAAAAUUCAAAUUUCUCAAGCAUGCAUAAUAAAAUGUUCAAAGUGUGGCAAAUAAUCCCUGGAUAUUUGUCAUGUUGGAAACAACCUCCUUAGAAUUUUCAAAAUGCCCCUGGGAGUUAAUUUUUGGUCAAGUAGUAAAUUAAAUGGCAUUUGCAAAACAAAUAAUUAUUUAUUUAACUCCAAUUGCCUCCUGUCGUGGGAAACGAACACCUAUGGGGCAGGGCCCCUUUUCGGUCUGGCAAGGGAGCGGAGGGCACACGAAGAGCAGAUCGAGGCGAAGCACGCGGGGGAAUUUUACCCAGCUUCGGAGCUCUCCGGAGAGAUAAAACUCCUACUGCUGCUUUGUGUUUCUAUUCUGUUCUUGCUCAAGAGUGUGGGUGUGUUGUAGUUUCGAAUGAGUCGAACCCCUUCUACGUGCGCAUGGGCCUCCUUUUUAUAGUCUAAAGGGGUCACCGACAGGUGGCAGCAUAGAGAGAGGGGUAAAAAAGUAAAAACGCGGGUUGGUACAACCGCUAUCAACAGUGCCCCCUACCUAACUCUGACAGCAGGGGACAAGGGCAUUUAAUGCCCAUCCGGUCGCCCAAACAGUGCAGGAAGUGACCGUUAGGGGCGCCACCAAUCGCCACGAUGGCCUCCUAGUCAUCUUCACUUGCCACCUCGCACCGCUUGGCUGCACAGCUACCCGCCACGUGCACCGGGAGCGAUCCUGCGGCGACACGUCAUCGGAUGCGCUGGAGCAUGGGCGCAGAGUUGUGGCUUUGCCGCGGCAAGCGCCUUGCCGCGGUCACUAUCUUGUUGCACCCGCAAGCUUGCCGCUCGCCGGGUCUUGGUUGGCCUUCCCGGCAAGAUCCUCCUGCCGGGGUCUUGUCCUUCCCGGCAAGCUUCUCUUGCCGGGGCUUCGUCUUCACAGUUAACACUUUGUUCUUGAAUGGCAGUAAAUAGGAAUGACGAAGGAUCUUGGCGGACGCCCGGCAAGCCUUGCCGCAGGACGCUGCGCCUGCCCGUGCACAAGUUCGGGGUACUAAGGUACCCCUACUUUAGUACACCGACUGGAGCCCCCGGGCCUGGGCCAUACACGGUGCUGAGCGCUGUUGGGCCAGGCCCAAAACAGGACACGGGCACGCGCGGCCUGGGUCCUAACUAAAUCCACUCCGUAUCCACCGCGUCCUCCCGUAACGGCACGCGUCAAUCGCGGCGUCGUGGGAGAGAUCGUGGGUGGAAGACGUUCGCGCGUAUCCACAGCCUGAUGGAGGGGUUUACCCUCCAUUUUAAGUUAAUGGAGGGCGAUCUCCUCUCCGUCAAGGUCUUCGGGUGCUUCGACACUCGGGCGAAGUGCUGCGUGGACAGCUCCUCCGAUAGCAAAGGCUCCCCCUCGAGCGAGAGCGACAAGGAGGAGAGCAACAGCGAUGAUGAGGGUAGCGGGCGGCGGGAUGGCGGGCCCGACUAGGUGUCGGGCGCCGCUUCGUGCGUCACCGGUGACCCCAUCAUCCGUGUCGCCGGCUCCUUGAACUCCCCGGGGUCGUCUCCUUGGGCGGCUGGCGUAGGGAGGCUGCGGAAGGGGAAGAGGGCUGGCGACAAGGCCGUCAAAUCGGAGUACGAGGGCGUAGUGCCCUCGACAGCGUGCUGACGUCCUGCCGCCCCAUCUUCGAGCCCCGCUUCCAGCGCCGCCAUCACCGUCCGGCCUUCGGACGGCCCCCGGGAUGUUCUCUUGGUGUCUUCGCCUAGGCGCCUCUUUUGCCCUUUUCGCCUCCUUGACCUACAUCCUGAAGAGAGGGACAGGAAAGGGAUUACGGGCAUCUUAUCUUUUUAAUUUGUAAGCCUUCGGGCCCUAGUCGCAUCUAAAACUUGUAACCCUCUCUUUCAUGUUUUUCAUCCUCUAUGGACUGUACCUGAGUGUGAUGUUUUUUUAAUGAAAAAGGGAUGCUUGCCGGGUUAUUUGUCUCAUGGGUUGAACCCACGCCAAGGAGCAAAUCCUUGGUAUCCCUCGGACAGGCAUUUCAUCUCCCGCCAACAGGCCCUGCCGCCUUCCCACGUCGCUCGACCUUUCUCACGCCUUUGACGGAGGCGGGAACGAGGUGGGUGCGGCCUCCUCAUUUCAUCCCUUUGCUGCUGUGACUACGACCAAACUUGGCCCCGGGAACGAGCCCCAGGGCCUAGAGUUGAGGGAGCACGGCAGUUUUCGGGAAGAAACGCGGUUUCGCAUUCCCCAGUCCAUAAGAGGAUGCAUGAUGAGGGACGAAAGACUUAUCUGAUAUCGCAGCCCCCGGCAACUCUGGCUUGCCGUGGAUGAAUCUUGGUACUCGCAGCCCCCAGCAACACUGGCUUGCCGGGGCCCAGGUGCCGGCGCGCCCUUCUUCUCCUUUCCUUGUCGCUGUUAUUUCAGUUAUGAGAACAAUUUAGUCAGUGCCGCAAUAAGUUACUCUUGUAAUAUAACUUUAUUCUGGGCAAUGCUUGUUAUGUUACAUCCUUUAUUUGAUUCCAUUCCUUGUAUGUUUGUACCCUUACGCUUUUACGGAACUUGCCGGUGCAAACACGCUUGCCACGAGCGCUGAGUGCAAAACAUCAGCAGCCUUCUAGCGGUGUUGCCUCCGGCAAGAAACCUUGUCGGGGCUAGUCGCAGCACACUUUCAUUGUUGAGCGGACUCAAAACAAAGUAAGGGUGCAACUUAACCACGAGCCGGUUCCUCUGCGCACAGGUUUUCCAUACAAGGCAUGGUCGUUCAAGGAAUAUAACUUAAAAAUUUAAAACUGACUGUGCUUAAACUUCGGCAACUUAGCUUUUUUGUUGUUUGUGUCCNNNNNNNNNNNNNNNNNNNNNNNNNNNNNNNNNNNNNNNNNNNNNNNNNNNNNNNNNNNNNNNNNNNNNNNNNNNNNNNNNNNNNNNNNNNNNNNNNNNNNNNNNNNNNNNNNNNNNNNNNNNNNNNNNNNNNNNNNNNNNNNNNNNNNNNNNNNNNNNNNNNNNNNNNNNNNNNNNNNNNNNNNNNNNNNNNNNNNNNNNNNNNNNNNNNNNNNNNNNNNNNNNNNNNNNNNNNNNNNNNNNNNNNNNNNNNNNNNNNNNNNNNNNNNNNNNNNNNNNNNNNNNNNNNNNNNNNNNNNUGUGGGCGCAGGAAUCUUCUCUUUGAGAAAAAGGAAGAAGAGAAAAUAAAGUUAUGGAGCCUUAAGGCUUGUUAUUGCUUACCGGGGGCAAGUUCUGCACAAAGUGUCAGUGUAUACAUGCUAAAAAGAAAAAGGCAUGAAUUUUGACAAUAUGUACUAAACAUAUGAUCUUUAUUUAUGCACGGGAUCUGCGCCCGGCUUUGUACAAAGGGUUACAUGCAACAACGGCAAGGCUUGUACAAAAGGUGGUUGCCAGGACAGCAGGUUCCGGCAACCGCGCCUUAUGGGUAAAACUUACGAAGAUGAUCUAUGUUCUAGGAGUUGCUCACCGGAAUGCCAUCUUCGGUCUCAAGGCGGACAGCGCCAGGCCUAGUGACUCGCUUUACCCGAUAAGGGCCUUCCCACUUCGGCGUCAACUUGUUGGAAUUCUUGGCAGAUUGAACGCGCCGAAGAACAAGGUCACCUUCCUCGAAGCUUCUGGCAUUAACUUCGCGGCUAUGGUAGCGGCGCAAAGCUUGCUGGUAGCGAGCAGCUCGUACAGCAGCCUGAAGACGAUCCUCCUCGAGGAGCAGCGCGUCAUCUUGCCGCAGCUGCUCUUGCUCAAGCUCAUCAUAAGCGAGCACUCGAGGCGAUCCGUAUACGAGUUCUGUGGGGAGAACUGCCUCUGCUCCAUAGACAAGAGCAAAAGGUGUCUGGCCAGUGGCUCGAUUUGGCGUCGUCCUGAUCGACCAAAGAACCACCUGUAGCUCCUCGAUCCAAUUUCUUCCGCACUUGUGCAGCCUGUCGAAAGUUCUGGUCUUGAGCCCACGCAGCACUUCAGCGUUUGCCCUCUCCGCUUGACCGUUGCUUCUCGGGUGAGCAACAGAAGCGAAGCAGAUCUUGGCGCCAAGAUCUUGGACGUACUGCAUGAAGGUGCAGCUCGUGAAUUGUGUGUUGUUGUCGGUGAUGAUCCUAUUAGGGACUCCGGAACGGCAAACAAUUGACCUGAAGAACUUGACUGUUGACUGUGCUGUCACCUUCCUCACUGGCUCCACCUCCGGCCACUUCGUGAACUUGUCGAUGGCCACGUACAAGUACUCGAAGCCCCCGACAGCUCGGGGAAAAGGGCCAAGGAUAUCAAGCCCCCAGACUGAAAAUGGCCAGGAUAAAGGGAUUGUUUGGAGAGCUUGAGCUGGUUGAUGAAUCUGUUUGGAGUGGAACUGGCACGCUUCACACUUGGUUACUUGUGCAGUCGCAUCCUGGAGGGCUGUUGGCCAAAAGCAACCUUGCCGGAAGGCUUUACUGGCAAGUGCUCUUGCGCCAAUGUGGUGGCCACAUAUGCCUCCAUGUAUCUCCGCCAACAGCUCUUGUCCUUCUUCCCGGGAAAUGCACUUCAAUUUCACUCCGUUGAAUCUUCUUCUGUACAGUAUGUCAUCGACAAACUGAUACAUACUUGAUUGUCGGGCUACUUUCUCUGCUUCUUCUUGCUCUUCGGGAAGUUCUCCUGUUUGAAGGAAAUGGACGAUCUGCUGUGCCCAUGCCGGAGCUUGUGGCUCGACGACAAGGACUAAAGGCGCAAAUGCUGCUGCGGGAACAUCCGCUUCUACGGCAAGAAUAUGAGAUCCUGCCGGAGCGUGAUGCUCCCCGGCAAGCGUGCCGGGGCACAGCUUGUCGGGAGCGUCUGCUUCAACGAAACAAACCCUAGGGCUUGUCGGAGCAGACUGCUCCUCAGCACUUUCUAUGUUGAUCCUGGGGACCUUCUUGGCGGCGGCUUCGGGGAGCUCUGCCGGAAAGUAGUCGCCAGUAACCAACUUUCUCUUCUUGCUCUGUCCAGUUGAUGGUGUUACAGAUGGCUGAGUCAGCUUGAGCACAAAAAUACCUGGUUCCACAGGUAACUUGAGUGCGGUGCACUUUGACAGGCCGUCUGCAAUGUCAUUCUGAGCUCUUGGAACAUGUUCCAUCUGCAGGCCGUCAAAAUGCUCUUCCAGCUUCCUCACUUCAUCAAUGUAGGCCUCCAUCAGCGGACUCUGAUAAUCUGUGUUAACUUGGCGGACGACAAGCUGUGAGUCACCCCUGACAAUAAGCUUCUUGAUCCCAAGUUCUGUCGUGAUCCUGAGUCCGGCAAGCAGGCCCUCAUAUUCUGCAGUAUUGUUUGUUGCUUGCUCCUUGGGAAAGUGCAUUUGGAUCAUGUACUUGAGGUGCUCUCCGGUGGGUGCGACAAGUAACACACCCGCACCGGCGCCUUGCAGCGAGAAAGCACCAUCAAAGUACAUGAUCCAUUCCCUGUUUGCUUCCUUGACGGGGAUCCUCGUCUCCGGAGUUUCUUCAUCUGGUGUUGGCGUCCACUCCACUAUGAAUUCUGCCAAUGCUCGGCUCUGGAUAGUUGAAGUACUUUCAAACUUGAGGCCAAAGCUUGACAGUUCCAGUGCCCACUCGACAAUCCUGCCUGUUGCUUCUGGAUUUUGCAAUAUCCUCUUCAACGGAAAGCGAGUGACAACUGUGAUCUGAUGUGCUUGAAAAUAAUGGCGCAGCUUCCUCGAGGCCAUGAGAAGGCCGAAAAGCAACUUUUGCACUCCAGAGUAUCUUGAUCUAGCCACCUGCAGAAGGGAGCUGACAAAAUAAACUGGGUGCUGCACCAUCUUCUUUUGUUUCUCUGCCUGCGGCUGCACAGACUCAUCCUUGUCGGGACCAGAGCUUGACGGAGAAGCCCCCUGCUUGUCGCUGGACUCGCUUGCCGCGGCCGCUGGCUCAUCAUCUGCCUCCCUCUCUGCUACUAACGCAGCACUAACCACUUGAUUGGUUGCUGCUAGAUACAGCAGCAACUUCUCUUGCGGCUUAGGUGCGACAAGUACUGGAGUGGAGGAUAGGUAUCUCUUCAAGUCCUGUAGCGCAGCCUCCGCUUCUGGAGUCCAUUUCAUUGGACCUGCCUUUUUCAAAAUUUUGAAAAACGGCAGGGCGCGCUCAGCAGACUUAGAGAUGAACCUACUGAGAGCAGCAACGCAGCCGGCAAGCCUUCGCACAUCCUUGAGGCGCUUCGGGGCUUCAAUCUGCUCGAUGGCCUUGAUCUUGUCGGGGUUGGCUUCGAUCCCCCUCUGGGACACGAAGAACCCGAGAAGCUUGCCGGAAGGAACUCCAAACACGCACUUCUCAGGGUUCAACUUGAGAUUGAUCUUGCGCAGAUUUGCAAAAGUCUCAUCCAAAUCUUGGAUCAAAGUUUCUCUAUCUUUGCUCUUGACCACUAUAUCAUCCAUGUAUGCUUCUACAUUCCUGUGCAGCUGUGGCUCAAAAGCAUGACUGACUAGUCUUGCAAACGUUGAACCAGCAUUCUUUAGUCUGAAAGGCAUUCAUACAAAGCAGUACGUGCCACAUGGAGUAAUGAAUGCGGUGUUCUCUUCAUCCUCUUUUGCCAUGAAAAUCUGAUGGUAUCCUGAGUAUGCAUCAAGAAAUGAAAGCAGAUCACAUCCUGCCGUGGAGUCGACAAUCCGGUCAAUGCGCGGCAAGGGAAAUGGAUCUUUGGGACAAGCUUUAUUAACAUCCGUGAAGUCAAUACAAAGCCUCCACUUCCCAUUCACCUUGCGCACAAUUACUGGAUUGGCUAACCACGUUGGAUGGAGUACUCCUCGGACGAGGCCUGUUGCUUCCAACUUCUUGAUCUCUUCUGCUAUGAACUCUUGGCGUUCCGCCGCUUGCUUCUUGACUCUCUACUUGACGGGCCGCGCGUGAGGACAGACGGCAAGGUGGUGCUCAAUUACUUUCCUGGGAACACCGGGGAUGUCAGAUGGUUGCCAUGCAAACACAUUGACAUUCGCCCGCAGGAAAGCAACGAGCGCGCUUUCCUAUUUAGGGUCAAGCGUGGCACUGAUGGUGAAGGUACCACUAGUGCCGUCCUCCUUGGCGGCCACUUUCUUGGUAUCAGGUGUCGCUAUCUUUGCCCUCUUGCACUUGCCGGUGGAGCUCGAUGGUGCGUCCUCGACGGUAGCACAGCACUCCGAAGAGGUGCGCUUGCCGGAGUGGGCAUCAGAGCUACUCUUGCCGGACUUGGUCUUCUUCUUCUUCCCCCCGGGAGCUUCAGCGGCAAGUGGUUUGUGCUCUGCUGCGGCUGCUGCUUCCUGGUAGAUCUUGUCGGUGCAGAUAAGCGCAUCCUUCUUGUCGCCUUGGACAGAAAUGACGCUUAUCGGACCGGGCAUCUUGACCACGUUGUAAGCAUAAUGAGAGGCUGCCAUGAACUUGGAAAGCGCUGGACGGCCGAGUAUCCCAUUGUAGGGCAACGGGAAAUCAGCAACAUCAAAUGUGACUCUCUCUGUCCUGAAGUUCAGUUUGCUGCCAAAUGUCACUGGUAGUGUAAUCUUCCCCUUGGGCUUGCUCCUUCCCGGGUUGAUUCCUUGAAAGGUACCAGUUUCUUCGAGCUCGCUGUCGGGGAUCUGGAGCUUGUUGAGCACCGCGGAAGAGAUCAGAUUUAGGCCGGCCCCACCGUCAACCAACAUCUUCGUGACCUUGAGGUUGCGGAUGGUUGGCGAAACCAACAUCGGCAAGCACCCGACCGCAGUGAUGCGAUCAGGGUGAUCCUCAACAUCAAAGACGAUGGGCGUACUGGACCACUUCAGGGGCUUGCGCGAUUCGACUGAUGGUUCAGCUGCAUUUACCUCCCGCACCCACUGCUUGAGUUGGCGGUGCGAGGUGUGCAGAGAAGCACCGCCGUCAACGCACAAAACCUCUGUUGCCUUCUGAAACUCUUGCUCGUCGGUCUCAUCCUCGUCCAUCUCAUCAUCCUCAUCUUCAUCUUCGUCCUUGUCACGGCCACGGGGAGGUCUGUCUCCUUGCCGCUGCUUGGCCUUGCCGCGGCGCCCUCCCCGGGCGGGACGCUUCUUGCCGGAUCCUCCGCCACCUUCCUGGGCCUUCUCCUUGUCGCGACGCUCGUAUUCAGCUUUCUGUAGUUCUGCCAUUUGCUCAACCUUCUUGCAUGCUUGGAGGUCAUGGCCCUUGGUGCGAUGGAUCUUGCAGUACUGCUUGCCGGAACAAUCCUGCUUGUCGGCGGCCACCACAGCCUCGCCGGAGUCACCAGCUUUGGCCUUGUCGGCGCCGCCUCCGUUGCCGGACUGCUCAACAACUAGCACAUCCUUAGCCUUUCUCUUUCUAUUAUUCCGCCUCCGGUUCUUCUUUGCCGGAGGGACGUCCUCAUUGUCCGAUCCUUCUGCUCCUGCAUUCUCUCCGGGAAGUUUCCUCCCCUCUUCAGCUCGUGCACACUUGUCAGCCAGAGCAUAUAGCUCGCUGACAUCUCUAAUCUUGCACAUCGCCAUCUCCUCCCUCAUCCUGCGGUUACGCACGUUCUGAUGGAAUGCGCUGAUAACCGCGGCAGGGUGGACGUCUGGGAUGUUGCGCUGCACCUGGCUGAAUCUCUGUAUGUACUUGCGCAGGGGUUCUCCUUCUUUCUGGGCGAGCAGAUGAAGAUUGCUCUCCUGACCAUGGGGUUUGUGGCCGCCUGUGAAGGCGCCGACAAACUGAUGGCACAGGUCCGCCCACGAAGAGAUGGAGUUGUCCGGCAAGUGCAUGAGCCAAGAUCUGACGUUGGGCUUGAGCACCAGCGGGAAGUAGUUGGCGAGGAUCUUCUCGUCGCGCCCCCCGGCAGCCUGCACCGCGAUGGUGUAGACGCUGAGGAACUCUGAUGGAUGUAUCCUGCCAUCGUACUUCUCGGGUAUGUCCGGCUUGAAGUUCUUGGUACUGGGCCACUGGACUUGCCGCAGCUCACGGGUGAACGCAGGGUAACCUGCCGCGUACGGCAAGUCGCCUGGUUCCCCUGGCGCAUGCAUAUCGACAGUGGGCCCAGCGCACUGGUCAGAUUAAUGUCGCGCUUCUCUUCUGCGCUCGAUGCGAGUACGAGCGUCUCUGUGUCGUCGUUCUUGGAGAACUUGGCGUUGAUCGCGGCGAGCUCGCGGGUCCGACGACGCGGUGGAGUCGGUGUCGAGGUUGGAACGGCGAGUUGGCGAUCAUGGCCUUCGGGGCGGGGAGUGCACGGUGGUGGCACCCCCAGCGGUCUUGUCGGUGUCGGCUUGCGCCCGGGCGUCUUGCCGGGGCUUUCGAUGUGCUCGGUUGCCGGGGCUUGUCGCCGUUGGCGAAGCCGAUGAGGCUUUGGAUGGUGAUCCUCCAGUCGUCGAUCUUGUCUGGCGCUGGAGGGUAAUCUAGAAGCAGCUGGGCUCGGGCCAGCGCUUCCUCUGGAGUCUUGGGCGGCGGUGGCGAGCGACGCGAGGUGCGGGAUAUGCUCAAACUUCUAACAGUGUUAGAAGGAGCAACAUCUCGCCCAGGCGACCGUACUUCGCUCGUGCCAGCGUGUUGACGUGUAUGUUGGCCUUGAGCGUCCCGCGAUCCGCCGGCUUGGCCUUGUUCCAACACGAGCACGGUGCUAGGAGUACCGUGGCAUUGCCGAUCUUGCACCUCCUGGGAGGGGUACGGUGGAUGUACAGACGCUGAAGCUUGCGGGGCCUUGUCCUCGGACCUGGUGACGAUGUGAGUCCCCCCGUCGGCGCCCGCUCCUCCGCCGGCGUCCACCCCACCACCCGUUUGCUCCGGUGGCGGUAGGAUAGUCGCAAACGGAGUGGCCACCUCCGAAGCCUUCUUCUUCGGUGGCAUGUCGAUGAAGAUGUUGAUGUAGCGCGCAGAUGCCGGAUCAGGUACGCACAACCUCGACGCCCACCUACCUGGCGCGCCAAAGAUGUCGUGGGAAACGAACACCUAUGGGGCAGGGCCCCUUUUCGGUCCAGCAAGGGAGCGGAGGGCGCACGAAGAGCAGAUCGAGGCGGAGCACGCGGGGGAAUUUUACCCAGCUUCGGAGCUCUCCGGAGAGAUAAAACUCCUACUGCUGCUUUGUGUUUCUAUUCUGUUCUUGCUCAAGAGCGUGGGUGUGUUGUAGUUUUGAAUGUGUCGAACCCCUUCUACGUGUGCAUGGGCCUCCUUUUUAUAGUCUAAAGGGGUCAGCGACAGGUGGCAGCGUAGAGAGAGGGGUAAAAAAGUAAAAACGCGGGUUGGUACAACCGCUAUCAACAGUGGCCCCUACCUAACUCUGACGGCAGGGGACAAGGGCAUUUAAUGCCCGUCCGGUCGCCCAAACAGUGCAGGAAGCGACCGUUAGGGGCGCCACCGAUCGCCAUGAUGGCCUCCUAGUCAUCUUCACUUGCCACCUCGCACCGCUUGGCUGCACAGCUACCCGCCACGUGCACCGGGAGCGAUCCUGCGGCGACACGUCGUCGGAUGCGCUGGAGCGUGGGCGCAGAGUUGUGGCUUCGCUGUAGCAAGCGCCUUGCCGCGGUCACUAUCUUGUCGCACCCGCAAGCUUGCCGCUCGCCGGGUCUUGGUUGGCCUUCCCGGCAAGCUCCUCUUGCCGGGGUCUUGUCCUUCCCGGCAAGCUUCUCUUGUCGGGGCUUCGUCUUCACAGUUAACACUUUGUUCUUGAAUGGCAGUAAAUAGGAAUGACGAAGGAUCUUGGCGGACGCCCGGCAAGCCUUGCCGCAGGACGCUGCGACUGCCCGUGCACAAGUUCGGGGUACUAAGGUACCCCUACUUUAGUACACCGACACCUCCAAACUUUAUGUGGCACUGCAAAAUAUUUGUGGCUCUGUCUAAGAUUGCCAAGGAAUUAAAAGGGGAACUUAACAUAUUUUUCCUAAGUAAAUAGUGUGCCCAAAAUAUUCUCUUAACCAUCUCUGUUUUUUUUAAUAAAAAAAGGCGAAUAAGAACUCGCCCGGGCCUCGGCCUACUCCCACUUACCAGCCCACCUAAGCCGGCCCACUCCCCCGCUCCCAUGGCCUAUAGGCCAUGCUCAACCGAACCCUAACCCCGCACGAUCCCCCCACUCCCCACUUCUCUCCCCUCCCGAUCCAAUCUGGAUCGGACCGAAACUGGCGCCCCGACGCCAACCGCCGUCGCUGGAGGCAUCCCCGACUCCACGCUGGGCCACCCCAUCACCUGACCUCCUCCCCGUCGUCGCUCGUCACUCGCUGGACCGCCUCGUCCCCACCAACGCCGCCCCGAGCCCAACGUCCCUGUCGUCGUCGCCGUCGGCAUCGCCCCGAUGUCGCCACCACCCGACGCCGGCGCCCUCGACAUCGCCACCCCGAGCCCACUGCCACCCCUACGCUCCACUGUGAGCCCCUCGCCGAUUCCCCCUCCUUCCUGUCAUCGUAGGUGGCCGCAUGCGCUGUUGGCCACCGUGGCCGCGCUCCGGCCGUUCCCCAUCCGUGUGCUAGCCUCGCCUUCCCCGGCUGCGGCCACCAGCCUCCUCGUCGCGCUCCCGCCUUCGCCCACACCUGCCCCUGUACGCCCAGCCGCUGCUGCUCGCCGGAUCCGCAUGUUCGCCCCCUAGCUUCGUCUCCGGCCGUCGAGUCCGCACCCGAUGCCGGCGCCCCAGCGCGUCCAUGCGCCCGUACGGGCGGGCGCCCACGCCCAUGCCCCUCCGCCCGUUAGCCCGCCCCGCUAAGGCCUGGGCACCUAACCAAGGGGCCCCACGCCCCUGUGUAAUAAAAAAGAUUUAAAAAAAAUAAAUAUAAAUAUAAUUAGUUAAUUAGUUAAUUAAUUGUAUAGUUAAUUAACUAACUUAAUUAACCUUGCUUAGUUAGCCUAAUGAACUAGUUUAGUUAAUUUAAAUCUGUUAGAUAGGUCUAUGAGAGAACGACCCCACAUGUCAGUUUAACCAGUCAACACUCUUUUGACUGCUGACAUCAUGAUGACGUCAGGCUGACAUCAUAAUUCCAAUUUUGAAUUAAUAAUAAUUUCAGAAUAUUAUUAAAACUUUGAAAAAUCAUAGAAAAUAAACCGUAUCUCGGAUGGAAGUUGCUUGGAACGACGAGACAAAUCCGAAUGCGCAGUUCGUUCAUCUGUCACGCGUCCCUAGCAUAGCAAACGUUGAACUUUUCCCCUCCGGUUCAUCUGUCUGAUAGACGUCCGGAACCGGGAAAACUUUCCCGGAUGUUUCCCCCUUCGCCAGUAUCACCUAGCACCUCGUUAGAACACUUCUAGCCCCGCUUAUUGUCUUGUUAUGCAUAUGUUUGCGUGUAUUUACUGUUUCUUCCCCCUCUUCUUCUCCGGUAGACCUCGAGACCGCUGAUGAUGCCCCUGUGAUCGACUACGUCGACGACGACCCUCCUUGUUUGAGCAACCAGGCAAGCCCACCCUUUGAUCAUCCCGAUAUCGCCCAUUCCAUUCUCUCAUGCUUGCACUAGAUUUUGCUACUGUAUUUGACUGCUCCUAUUCUGAUGCAUAGCCUGCUUUUGUACCUGCUAUUGUAACUUACCUGCUUAUCCUAAAUUUCUUAGUACAGGUUGGCUAGUGAUCCAUCAGUGACCCCCACCUUGUCUUUGUUGCCCCUGCUUCAUCAUCGACGACUCGAUCAACGUGAUCGACGACCGGAGCCUGACACCUCACAUCACAUCACGCCCCUUUUUCUUGCUCGACUCUGCAGAGUUACCAUCGAGUGCCGAGGGUGGAACCUCAUACAUCGCUCCUGAUGAGAUCUCUGUAGUGUAGCUAUUCGGUCGUGGUCAUCGAGGGUGGUUCCUCCUUCACCAUUCCUAAUACGGCUCUGUCGUGCAACACCUCAAGUGUGAACCUCGAGGGUGGUUCCUCUUACGUUCACCUUGAUGAUUACAUCAACUGGAAUCCACCGGGGGUGAUUCCUCGGAUUUUCCCCUUGAUGUCUGGACACAUAGUUACCUUGAUACUUGAGACCGUUGUGAAAGCCGGGCGAGCCCGGAGAGCACCCGUGCGAUGUGACGGUGGCGGCUGGCUGUUUAGCGGUAUCACCCGGGAGGGGUGAUAGCUCCGGACUUGUCCCGACAUCCGUCACUUCUUUUAAUAAUGCACUAACACGUUUGUGUAUUUGUUCUGAGUUGGCCUCUGGCCUUUACGCACUAACCACCACGCGAGAAUAGUUAUGGGCCUCGACGUUGCAGUAUCUUUCGAAGCUUUGUCAGACGUCCAGUUCAGCAUUGUGGCCGGGCCGGAUCGUGCCAUCCACUUCACCGGUGGUGCUGGUAUCCCCUUGUGCACAACGACCCGGAGUGCAAUGGGCGAUGGGCCCAGACCCCGGAGUGCUUAGGAUGUAGACCGGCGGGGACCUCUCUACUGAGCCUAGGUAGGGCUGCGACGUGUUGAUCUUCCGAGGCUGGGCAUUGACCCCAGAAAGGUGUGUCCGGCCAGAGUGAUCGAGCGUGUUGGGUAACGUGGUGCGCCCCUGCAGGGAAGAUUAUCUAUUAAUAGCCGUGUCCAUGGUAACGUACCUUCAGACUUAUAUCUUGAUCUUAUACAACUACAAAUGGAUACUUGAGAUAUGUGGCUCCGGGAUUGCUUUCUCGCAGGGAGUCGAGGAAGGAUCUCUGGGCGUUGUUGUUAAAACAUGCUUGUUAAUUAAACUGCUAUUCUUUACUCUUCUACAUGCUGCAAGAUGCUUGGAGCUGCUUGAAGAUGCUAGUCUUUGUUUGGCUAGGCCUUCCCCUCUAUUCUGGCAUUCUGCAAUUCAGUCCACAGAUACAACCCUUCCAUUUGAUACCAAUGCAUACUUAGUAUAGAUCUGAUGCUUGCGAGUACUUUGGAUGUGUACUCGCGGUUGCUUUGCUACCCCUUUUCCCCCUUCUUUCUUCUUUCCGGUUGACGCAACCAUAUGGUGGAUCCUUGGAGCCAGAUGCCACCGCCGAUGGAUGCUAGUACGUGAAGAUCGCCGACGACCAGGAGUAGUUAGGAGGUCCUAGGCAGGAGGCCUUGCCUCUUCGAUCGUUGUUGCUUUUGUGCUAGCCUUCUUAAGGCAUCCUUAUUUAACUUAUGUCUGUACUCAGCUAUUGUUGCUUCCGCUAACUCUUGUGUAUCGAGCUAUGUAUUCGAGCUCUCGAGGCCCCUGGCUUGUAAUAUAAAGCUUGUAUUAUUUUGAUUUGUGUCUAGAGUUGUGUUGUGAUAUCUUCCCGUGAGUCCCUGAUCUUGAUCGUACAUAUUGGCGUGCAUGAUUAGUGUACGAUUGAAUCAGGGGCGUCACACAAGCGGUACUACUGCCCCACCCAGUUUCAGCAUUUCGAGUUUCACCGUUUUGCCCAUAACUUCCACAUCCGGAGUCCGAUUUUUGCAUUUUUUAGCUCGUUGAGUAGCUAUUGACAUCCCCCAUCCAUCUAUAUAGGUUCCAACACCAUUUGACUCCAUCAAAUUUUCCAAAAUUUGGAAAGUUUGCCUAGGCCGUCCACCAUAUCAUCUGCAUAGCCACCACCGACCACCGCAACCUAACCCAUUUUGUUCCCCUUAGCAUUUGAGGUUGUUUGAGUUGUGGCUUGUGUCUCCUAAGGUGUUUCGGCUACUUAGGGAUGGUAACUUCAACUCCAACACGUGUAUAGCCCAUCAUUCCACUUCCGCAUUGCCGAGUGCAAACCACCACCUCUUUCCACUACCACCAUUUGACAUUUACCUUUGUAGAUUUUGAGUUUGCGAUUUUUCCGUUUCCUAGGGUGUUUUGGCUAACUAGGAAUGGGUCGACAUCAGCAACAUCGCCUCUCAUCAUCGCCAAGGACGGUAACCUCGAUGACACCAUUGUAUAUUCCCUUGCCAUUGCAUUGAUAACCCCUAGCCCAUUUUGCGUCACUUGCCUAUCGAGACUAGCCGUUUGAGUAUUGCCGGCAACGUGACUUGUGCACAUUAGUGAUCAUACUUCCCAUAGCAUCAUACCAUAUCAUCGUGGUGCAUAUAUUGGUAGCAUAUCUUGCGUCACAAGUUUGUUGCCGCAUAUACACAAUUGCUAUCUUGGUUUGUGCAUUAUGCAGAAGUGGCCAUACAAAAAAGAGAAAUAAAGCUUUUAAGCAAAAGAAAGAGAGAAAAGAAGCUUGUAAGCAAGUGCCAUAGCAUCAUACCAUAUUGCACAUAAGAUUGUCAUAUCCGAUCAUCUUGGAUCAUCUUGAGAGAACAUCGGGAACCAUACAUACAUAGCAUACUUGGGAUAGAAAGUAUAUCCAUUUGGCAUCUUGUAGGUUGUGCACAAGUGUCCUAUCCGCCUAUUGAGCAAUCGUGCUAGCGUCUCUCUUGAGUUGUGCAACACGAGCGUUUUCUGUGGAUUCCACAUUUUGUGCUCAUUGCUUGGUUGCACGACCCCAUUUAUCUAUCCGUGUGUGUGUUUCCGUGUGUCAUUCUUUGCUAUUGGUCUACUUGUUUCACUUGCAAAUUUGUGAAUCUCUUUCAACAUUAUUGACUCUUGCUAACAUUUUGCAUCAAAUUUUUGUGCCACUAUCCUCACCGAGCUCCACCAUAAGCUUUACUUGAUAGGUGUGAGUGAACAAGUCCGGUACCAAUUCCACUAUUCUUUCAUUUCACAUUGAGUUAAACGGGAUACAUCCUCAACUUUGGGAAAGGUAACUUCCUAUUGUUUAUCUCAUUUCCUACUGGCAUUUCACCUUCGGUCUACAACAACAACGACGAGUUCGAUGCCACGAACAACUCCAACGACGCCAAGAUGCAAGCUCAAAUGGAGGAGAUCAAAGCCCUCAUCAAGUCCUACAAGCAAUCUUCCUCAUCUUCGAGAAGACACUCACGUGCACAUGUUUCCGAGCUACCAUCUCCGGUAAGAUCACAUCAGCAUCGACACCAUCACCAACAAGAACGUGAAGGUCAAGAGCUCAACACCAACUACCGCUCAACGACUUCACCAUCUCCCUUGGCAUCUUCGCCAAGCGACUUCAAGGCAUCUUUGAGUACGGAUAUACGGCAUCUUCGCCAACAAGAACCUCAAGGCUACGCUCAAGAGAAGCUCCCCAAGCUCAAGUCCACGACUUCCAUGAGCUACUACGACCUCGACACCGACCACAAGAUUCCUUUCUAUGGAACUCAAGAACCCGAGGAGUACCUCGAGUGGGAGCGUUUGAUGGACGACUACCUCAAGCUACAUCAAGUCCCUUCCGAAGAUCAAGUGAAGUGCGCCACAAGAAACUUCCACGACUACGCCUCGACAUGGUGGCUUCACACACCUUCGGAGAGCUACGAGAUGAGUUAGCCCAAGACGAAGAGAGCUUUGCAGCGAGAGCUCGUGCCUCCAACCUACAUGGAACAACUUCGACGCCAAUUGGAGAACACCAUCCAAGGAUCCAAGUCCAUCGACGCGUACUUCAAGGAGAUGAAGAAUGCCUUGCGACGAGACGGCGUGGAUGACCCCAUUUCGAUGAAGUUCCACUUCAUGAUGCGAUUGAACAACGACAUCUCCAAGACUAUCUUCCUCGAGAACUACAAGUCCCUGGACAACUACUACAUUGGUGCUCUCAAGGCGGAACAAGAACUCAUGAAAGCCAAGGCUUCUCCACCCCAAGCACACUUCGCGGCGACCAAGCUGUACGACAAGCAUGAGGCUAGUACCACCAUGAUGUCCAAGCCCGACGAGCUCCAAGACAAUGCUCCCAAGUUCGACUUCACCGCCAUCCCUCUUUGUGGCAUUGAUGACGCCGAGUCUACCUUGACUCUUUUUCAAGACGGUGCGGCGACGAGUACGACUACGGAGACCUUCAAGGACCAAGCUUUGGAGGCGAGCGACAAGGUGGCGAGCAAGGAUGGUGUUUCCAUCUUUGGAGGCGAGAGUGAUGAUGUGCCAUCUUCGUCCUUCAUCCACGGCGACGAUGACGAGAUGAUCGAGCAUGGGAUUUUCCCUUCGGUCAUGGAGGAGAGUGAUGAUGUGCCAUCUUCGGCCUUCAUCCACGGAGACGACGACGAGAUGGUUGAGCAUGGGAUUCUCCCUUCGACCACGGUGACGUAUGAUGACUUGAGUGACUUUUGCCACCAUAUUGAGAGUGAGAGUGACUUCACCACUAGCCCCAUAUAUGACGAGUUGCCCCAAUUCCUAUGUGAGGAGAGCCACAACCCCCACCACUUGAGUGAGAUGAGUGACUCCACCAUAUGCGACUUUGAGUGCACCUAUUUUGAGGGAGUGAGUGAACCACCACAUAGAGAGAGUGUGAUAGUUGAUAGGUCUCGUGAGGCCAUUUGCAUUUCUAACAACUUGACCUCUACCUCUAUUGUGUCUUCUCAUUUGGUGCUAGGUCCCAUUUAUGAUGACGCGCCGAUCCUCGACGACUUCGUCCUCCCUUUGGACAAGACGAUGGCCAUGGUGGAAUAUGAUGCACCCCCCACAUGGUUCCAUCAAGAUGAAGAUGACCACCAUUUGGUCUUUCCCACCUCACCUACACCACUUGAGUGGAAUGAAAAAGGUAACAUAGGUGAAGGUGAUGCUCUAGUCCCACUAGUGGACAUUCUUGACAUUGAUUGCUUGCAUGAUGUUGAUCCACCUAGUACCAUGCUUCAUGCUAGUAUGAUUUCCCCAUGUGAUGAUUUGGCCAUUUAUGAUGAGUAUGAUGAUUCUCAUGUGGAGUCUCUUAGUUGUGAUGUCAUGUUACAUAGGAUUUCUUGUGACAAUUCUUUAGGUCACAUCAUGUUUGAUAAUCCGCUUGACUUGUCGUAUGCUAUGCAUGACAUUCACCAUAUGUCAUAUUUGCAAUCUCAUUGUAGUGACUAUGCAUAUGCCAUUCAAAUUAACCCAAUUUGCACUUAUGGCAUAGAUGACAAGCCCAUGGUUAUUGGGAUUUGUUUUUCUUGUGAUGAUAUUGAUAUGGUCCCUUUGCAUCAUUUAUCUCAUAUGCCAUGUCAUGCCCACCUAGCUUCGGAUAUGCAUUGUUUUGGAUGUUGUCCAUUUUCUCCAUAUGAUGUUUCCAAUCUUGCUCAUGAGGAGACCCCCAUAGUUCCCUCAUACAUGUUAGGAGAUUUUGAUCCAUCCCAUCCAUUGCAUGAUCCCAACAAUUGUGUGCACCAUAUGCUCCCCAUGAAUAAACAUGCUAUUGAUGUGCCAUAUACUUGCAUUCUCAAUUUGUGUCCCCAUCGUGUCAUACAUAAUAACUAUUCUUUCAUGAUGGAUGACAUGUUCUUAUACCAUGCAUCAAAUUUCGUUGAGCGAUGCUUAUCUUGUGCUAACUCACACGUGCACAUACACAUCAUGAUGGAUGAUGUGUACAUUUACCACACACACAAUUUAUUUGGUUUGUGUCUCUUUUGUGUAGGUACCCAGGAAUACUUGUCAACCUCGCAAUCCCACGAGUUGACAAAACGAGCUCUAGAGAGCAACGAUGAUUUGGGAUCCCAUGGAUUGUCUUUCCCACCGCUCUCUUCGCGCAAAGACUUAGCGCAUUUCUUCUACAUGGCCCUCACUUGGCUAUGGGUUGUUUUCCAUUACAUAUUAUAUGCCCAUCUUGCCAUGUUCACUUUGCAUGAUAUGCCCAUUCCCAUGCAUUUGUGACCCAUACUUUGCUUUACACAUGAUGAUUGACUCUCAUACUUUUAUGUGUAUUUGCAAGCUUGGUGGAGAUAUUGCUUGUUGUUUCCCUAUUCCAUUUUUGACCCACCCCUAUGAUGAUACUAUGAUCUUGCUUUGUGUUCGUGCUUGUGAUAUGUCAUGUGCAUUGUCUAUCCCUAUUAUUUGCUCACAUGACAUGAUUGCCAUGAUUUACUCUGGUGUGUUGCAUCUUCGCUCCACUAGUUUGCACCACAUGAUUGAUAUGCUUGCUUGUAUUGCAUCCCCCAUGAUUCAUACUUGCUCAUUUCAUGCGAUUGAUGACAACCAUUUCCAUACUUUGCACGUGAUUGCUAUAGCUUCUUGUCACAUAUCUACAUAUGUUGCCUCUCUCAUGCUAGAUCACUUGCCAUGUAUUUAGUGCAACAAUGCUCUUAUUCUUGCUCAUGAGAUUGCCCCCAUAGCAUUCUCACAUAUGAUUGGAGUUGACAUAAUUCUUGUGAAGCAUGCUUGCCUUCCUUCUUUGCACCAUAUGCCUAGUGCCAUGAAUAUUGCCAUUGUUGCAUCAUAUUGUUCAUGCACUUGUGCUACUAAAGGUUAUGUGCAAGAGAUGAGAACCAUCAUGAUGGAUGAUGUGUUUCUCUACCAUGCGCAUAUACUCUUUGUUUUGUUGUGUGCAUGUGUAGGAUACUUGGACUUCGUCUCGACUUCCACUUCAUGUGAGUUGACCAUUCAAGCUCUUAAGAGCGAGCCUCACACAUUCUACCACUACUCGCUUCUACACCGCAUUUGCUUGCGCUUCGGCAUUGUGAAGAAUGCACAAGGACAUGCCUUCAAGGUGACAUCUUUCUUGAGCAUGGAUAUUGCGGAUCAUACUACUUGUGUAGCUUGCACUGUGAGACUUAUUGGUCAUCUUGGACCACUUGAUUGCGCACUUGCUAGAGAUCUUGCUUUGACUUGCCAUUUUCACAUUCCCAUGCAUCAUGAUAUAUAUGCCUUGUGUGUUGCAUCCAAUUCUUGGAUUACUAUCACAACCUAGCUAGUCCAUGCAUUAGAGUGUUGCAUCAUGUCUACCUUUUAUCAGAAACUUGAAUUGGGGAAGACAGAACCCCCCAGAACCCCUCUGAAUUCAACUAGUGCUUACUAAAAAUAUUUUCAAUGAACCUGAAAUGCCCUUCUAAAAAGUUCACCCUCUUUGUCUUGGGUUAGAACCUCUGGCAAAAUUGGUGCACAAUUUUCUAGGUCAACAAAAGGCCAUUGAAUUAAAUCAUAUCUACUUUGAGUUUGGGCAUUUAAACUAUAUAAAAUAUUUCAAAUGCUCAAAUAACUCCAAACUAAAAUGUUCCAUACUGGAUAUAUUCCAACUAGGGACCAUGUGCAGUUUGGUGAUUUUUGGAGUUGCCUAAGUAUUUUUAGAAAUGCAACAAACUUACAGAAACAAUUAAAAACAGAAACAAAUGGGAAAAACCCUUACCUGGCCGAACCAAGCCCCAGCCCAGCUGGCCGGCCCAGCACUGUGCUGGCCCAUGCCAGCCAGCUGCUUCGCCGUCGCCACGCAGGCACAGAGCUGACGCCGGCAAGCGUGAGCUCGCAACGGCGCCAGCUGCUUGCCGCCCGCGCCCCCGAGCACCUGGGUGAGCUCCACGUCGCCGCCCCGACCCCGUGGACACCUCAUUCGCCCCCUGCCUCUCUCCCUCGCUCUCCCGCACCAUGGCCGACGCACCCGCCGCCGCACCCCCGACGUAGUCGCGCCCUCCGUCGUCCUCGUGCUGCACCACCGUGUCCCUUCGCUCCGCCGUCAUCGACUACAUCGAGUAGGCCGAGCCCCGAGCGCUCGCUGGCCCUGUUUCAUCUUCUUCGAGCUCGUCUUCACCGAGCACCGCCACAGAUCCCCUUCGCCGUCGCCGCCGUACCAGCUCGUCCCCGACCUUGCCGACCACUCCGUUGUGACCGCCGUGAGCUCAGCCACCUCCCCAUCCUCCCCGUUUGCCUUCUCGUGCACCGUAGCAACCGCAUGGAGCUUCAUCGCACGCACCACCGACGAGCUCGUCGCCGACGUGCCUCCGGCCAUCCACCGUCCACACCACGGUGUCUAACAUGCUCACCGCAUCGUGUAGAGUCUAACGCCCCACUCCACGCGCCUCGCCGUGCCCCGUAGCCAUGGGUCCAUUUUCAUCCGACUCCGGCGACCGCCGUGGUCGUCGCCGGCGACGUUCCUGGCCACCUCGACCUCAACCACCACCACCAAACGCCGCGACUUGUUCCCGGCUACACGUAGAUGGUCUCCGUCGUCCAUUUGGUCGCCAGAACAUGCUAACCCACUUCCUCCGCCGCGUCUGGCCUCGCCGGCGGCUAGACACCGGCAUGUUUGACCCGUUGACAUUCACUGGGUGGGCCAGGUUGACUCCCCUGAGUCUAUGACAAGUGCCCCCCCCUCUGCUAAUUAACCUAGUUUAGCUCUUACUAAAAUCAGUUAGUUUAAAUAAGUGCUGACAUGCGGGACCCACUGGUCAGUUUGACCUGAACGACCCCUUUGACCACUGACGUCACCCUGAUGCACUGCUGACGCAAUAACCAAUUUCUGGAUUUAUUGUUAUAUAGGAAAUUCCAGAAAUUGUUGCAAACUUCAAAAAUUCAUAGAAAUUAAUCUGUAACUCCAAAUGCAAAGAUUUAUAUAUGAAUUUUGAUCAGAAAAAUUCAAUCUAUCCAUUGGUAAUGGUUUCAUGCAUGUCAGAACAAGUUAACCUUGCUGUUUAAUCAAAACAAGUUAAUGCACUAAUAUGACUAUGUUAAAUGAACUACCAUUUGCAUCUUUGAUUCAAAUGAGUUCAUACCUUUCUGUUCUAGCUUGCAUUAGGCCAGGACACAUUCAUGUUGCCAUGUCAUAGCAUGCAUCAUAUUGUUGUAUAUCGUCAUGUGUUGUUCAUGUUCGGUGUGUUUUCGUGAUAGGUUCUGCCUCCGAGGAUAACCCCGAAUAUCCGUCUGAAGGGCUGUAUCCUACUACCACUACAUCAGGCAAGCAACCCAUUGAUCAUUCCGAUACAAACCCAUGUUCUUGCCUCUGCUCUUGUUUACUGCAUUAAGACAAUGCGAUUCAAACUUUUGUGUGUUGUGGUAGUUGAACCCACUUCCUUUGCAUGACCUGUCAUUGCCACAGUAACUAGAUGAAACUCAGUAGCAUGUGUAGGAGUUGAUUGAGCCAUAUCUGUGUUACCUACCAUGCUAUGCUUGCUAUGCUUAGAGUUGUGUCAGGUCUGGCUCAUUGGGAUGAUGAACUAGAGUGAAAGGUUGUGUCGGUAAUGAAGUGUUGAACACGAUUUGGUAAAGGUAUCGAUGAGAGGCCAUGUAGGAGUACAUGGUGGGUUGUUUCAUUGAGGCCGUCCUUAAGCACUGAGAUCUGUGUGUGUGAUUUAAGAUUCAGCUACUACCACGCAUUGGGCCCGAAACCAAUGGACCCUCUCGACUUAUUAACCACUCUUGUCCUCUGUCCGGGAGUUGCAAGUAGUUUUUGGUGUUUGUAGCAUGAUGGGGGCCGCACGCAGUGCUGACCUUAGGGGUGGGUUGGGUUGCGGUAGGCAUGUGGCACGGUGUAUCGAUUCGCCCGUUUGGUGUCUCGGGAACCAUGUUCACAUCAUUCGGGGCCGUUAGUGGAAACCUCGGCCGGACUCCCUGCGGAUGGAACCCGAAUAGGCGAUAAACCUGGACUAGGGACUCGUGUGUUUAGUCAGGCCGUGGCCGACACCCUCGCUGGGCUUCCGCUUGAGGCUUGCCGAGUACACGUCAUGUAGCGGUGAUAAGUGGUGAGAGCGUGUGUGAAGAAGUACACCCCUGCAGGGUAUAAAACUAUUCGAAUAGCCGCGUCCGCGGUAAAGGACUACUUGGUCACCUAUGCAGUUCAUAGACAAGUAAAUGGAUACUUCUAAAAGCCUCAAGUUAAGUGUGAGUACCGAGGAUGGCCCUCUCGUAGGUUGACAAGAGAGGAUCCUCGGUGGAGUAUUGUGUUGGUGAGUAGUGGACUCGUGUGCGACAAAUGUUUUGCAAGUUGUGUCUAUCGUAGAAUAGCUUAGCCAAGAGUCAAAGCUGGCUUGCUGCAAUAACUCCACUACCUUCUUGAGAAUGUGCAUGUAUGAUAGGAUUCUGUUGUAAGACUUGCUGAGUACCUCUGUACUCAUGUUUGCUUAAAUGUUUUCAGACGACAACACCAACCCCUCCGAUGGGUUCUACGUAGACCUCGACGUUGACGAGUGACUAACCACCCAAGUGGUGAUCCGAGACUUGUGAAGGGCCGAUGUAGAUAGAAAGGCUUCGUCAAGCCCUCUUUCUUUCUAGUGUCUGUACUCAGACUAGUUGCUUCCGCAUGUGCUUGUAUGCUUGUAUGACUUGAGUCUCAGGUCAUGUGACCCCUAUCUGUAUGAACAUGUUAUGUAUGGCUCCUUGGAGCCACUUAAAUAAAGUACUUUGAGUUGUAGAGUUUUGUUGUGAUGCCAUGUUGUAUGUACUCAUAUCGGGCAUAUUGUGUGUAUGUUUGAAAUGCUUGGUAUGAGUGGGAUCCGACAAUCUAGUUGUUUAUCCUUGGCAGCCUCUCAUAUGGGGAAAUGUAGUCUAGUGCUUCCUGAGCGAUAGUAGUCCGCUACAGCCCGGUUCACCGGAGUCCUGCUAGCCCAGUACUACAGCUCUGGACACUUGACUGGACAGCAUGUGUUUCACUUCGUUCCUGUGUCUGUCCCUUUGCGGAAAUGUCACGCGGUGGCAUUCGGAGUCCUGCCUAGCCUGCUACAGCCCGGGUUACUGUUGGGAAACGUAGUAAUUUCAAAAUUUUCCUACGCACACACAAGAUCAUGGUGAUGGCAUAGCAACGAGAGGGGAGAGUGUUCGUCCACGUACCCUCGUAGACCGUAAGCGGAAGCGUUAGCACAACGCGGUUGAUGUAGUCGUACGUCUUCACGAUCCGACUAAUCCAAGCACUGAACGUACGUGGCCUCCGAGUUCAGCACACGUUCAGCUCGAUGAUGAUCUCCGGCCUCCAAUCCAGCGAAGCUCCGGAGAUGAGUUCCGUCAGCACGACAGCAUGGUGACGAUGAUGAUGUUCUACCUGCGCAGGGCUUCGCCUAAAAUCCGCGACGAUAUGACUGAGGUGGAAUAUGGUGGAGGGGGGCACCGCACACGGCUAAGGAACGAUCCAUAGAUCAACUUGUGUGUCUAUGGGGUGCCCCCCCCCCCCCGCCCCUGUAUAUAAAGGAGAAAGGGGGAGGCCGGCCGGCCCCUUGGGCGCGCCAAGGGAGGAGGAAUNNNNNNNNNNNNNNNNNNNNNNNNNNNNNNNNNNNNNNNNNNNNNNNNNNNNNNNNNNNNNNNNNNNNNNNNNNNNNNNNNNNNNNNNNNNNNNNNNNNNNNNNNNNNNNNNNNNNNNNNNNNNNNNNNNNNNNNNNNNNNNNNNNNNNNNNNNNNNNNNNNNNNNNNNNNNNNNNNNNNNNNNNNNNNNNNNNNNNNNNNNNNNNNNNNNNNNNNNNNNNNNNNNNNNNNNNNNNNNNNNNNNNNNNNNNNNNNNNNNNNNNNNNNNNNNNNNNNNNNNNNNNNNNNNNNNNNNNNNNNNNNNNNNNNNNNNNNNNNNNNNNNNNNNNNNNNNNNNNNNNNNNNNNNNNNNNNNNNNUCCGGUUUUCUCCGAAAUCACCCGGAACAAUUUCGGUGUCCGAAUAUAGUCGUCCAAUAUAUCAAUCUUUAUGACUCGACCAUUUCGAGAUUCCUCGUCAUGUCCGUGAUGACAUCCGGGACUCCGAACAAACUUCGGUACAUCAAAACUUAUAAACUCAUAAUAAAACUGUCAUCGUAACGUUAAGCGUGCGGACCCUACGGGUUCGAGAACUAUGUAGACAUGACCUAGAACCAUUCUUGGUCAAUAACCAAUAGCGGGACCUAGAUGCCCAUAUUGGUUCCUACAUAUUCUACGAAGAUCUUUAUCGGUCAAACCGCAUAACAACAUACGUUGUUCCCUUUGUCAUCGAUAUGUUACUUGCCCGAGAUUUGAUCGUCGGUAUCCAAUACCUAGUGCAAUCUCGUUACUGGCAAGUCUCUUUACUCGUUCCGUAAUACAUCAUCUCAUAACUAACUUAUUAGUUACAAUGCUUGCAAGGCUUAGGUGAUGAGUAUUACCAAGAGGACCCAGAGAUACCUCUCCGACAAUCGGAGUGACAAAACCUAAUCCCGAAUUAUGCCAACUCAACAUGUACCUUCGGAAACACCUAUAGAGCACCUUUAUAAUCACCCAGUUACGUUGUGACGUUUGGUAGCACACAAAGUGUUCUUCCGGUAAACGGGAGUUGCACAAUCUCAUAGUUGCAGGAACUUGUAUAAGUCAUGAAGAAAGCAAUAGCAGUAUACUAAACGAUCAAGUGCUAGGCUAACGGAAUGGGUCAUGUCAAUCACAUCAUUCUCCUAAUGAUGUGAUCCCGUCAAUCAAAUGACAACUCUUUUGUCCAUGGUUAGGAAACAUAACCAUCUUUGAUAAACGAGCUAGUCAAGUAGAGGCAUACUAGUGACACUAUGUUUGUCUAUGUAUUCACACAUGUAUCAUGUUUCCGGUUAAUAUAAUUCUAGCAUGAAUAAUAAACAUUUAUCAUGAUAUGAGGAAAUAAAUAAUAACUUUAUUAUUGCCUCUAUGGCAUAUUUCCUUCAGUCUCCCACUUGCACUAGAGUCAAUAAUCUAGAUUACAUGGUAAUGAUUUUGACACCCAUGGAGUCUUGGUGCUGAUCAUGUUUUGCUCGUGAGAGAGGCUUAGUCAACGGGUCUGCAACAUUCAGAUCCGUAUGUAUCUUGCAAAUCUCUAUGUCUCCCACUUGGACUUGGUCCCGAAUGGAAUUGAAGCGUCUCUUGAUGUGUUUGGUCCUCUUGUGAAAUUUGGAUUCCUUUGCCAAGGCAAUUGCACCAGUAUUGUCACAGAAGAUGUUCAUUGGUCCCGAUGCACUAGGUAUGACACCUAGAUCGGAAAUGAGAUCCUUCAUCCAGACUCCUUCAUUUGCUGCUUCUGAAGCAGCUAUGUACUCCGCUUCACAUGUAGAUCCCGCCACGAUGCUUUGUUUAGAACUGCACCAACUUACAGCUCCACCGUUUAAUAAAAACACGUAUCUGGUUUGCGAUUUAGAAUCGUCCGGAUCAGUGUCAAAGCUUGCAUCGACGUAACCGUUUACGACUAGCUCUUUGUCACCUCCAUAUAUGAGAAACAUAUCCUUAGUCCUUUUCAGGUAUUUCAGGAUGUUCUUGACCGCUGUCCAGUGAUCCACUCCUGGAUUACUUUGGUACCUUCCUGCCAAGCUUAUUGCUAAGCAUACGUCAGGCCUGGUACACAGCAUUGCAUACAUGAUAGAGCCUAUGGCUGAAGCAUAGGGAACAUUUUUCAUUUUCUCUCUAUCUUCUGCUGUGGUCGGGCAUUGAGUUUGACUCAACUUCACACCUUGUAGCACAGGUAAGAAUCCUUUCUUUGCCUGAUCCAUUUUGAACUUUUUCAAAAAAAAUUCAAGGUAUGUGCUUUGUGAAAGUCCUAUUAAGCGUCUUGAUCUAUCUCUAUAGAUCUUGAUGAGUAAUAUGUAAGCAGCUUCACCGAGGUCUUUCAUUGAAAAACUUUUAUUCAAGUAUCCCUUUAUGCUAUGCAGAAAUUCUAUAUCAUUUCCAAUUAAUAAUAUGGCAUCUACAUAUAAAAUUAGAAAUGCUACAGAGCUCCCACUCACUUUCUUGUAAAUACAGGCUUCUCCAAAUGUCUGUAUAAAACCAUAUGCUUUGAUCACACUAUCAAAGCGUUUAUUCCAACUCCGAAAUGCUUGCACCAGUCCAUAAAUGGAACGCUGGAGCUUGCAUACUUUGUCAGCACCUUUUGGAUCAACAAAACCUUCCGGCUGCAUCAUAUACAACUCUUCUUCUAGAAAUCCAUUCAAGAAUGCAGUCUUGACAUCCAUAUGCCAAAUUUCAUAAUCAUGAAAUGCAGCAAUAGCUAACAUGAUUCGGACAGACUUAAGCAUCGCUACGGGUGAGAAAGUCUCAUCGUAGUCAACCCCUUGAACUUGUCGAAAACCUUUUGCAACAAGUCGAGCUUUAUAGACAGUUACAUUACCAUCAGCGUCAGUCUUCUUCUUAAAGAUCCAUUUAUUCUCAAUGGCUUGCCAAUCAUCGGGCAAGUCAACCAAAGUCCAUACUUUGUUUUCAUACAUGGAUCCCAUCUCAGAUUUCAUGGCUUCUAGCCAUUUUGCGGAAUCUGGGCUCAUCAUCGCUUCCUCAUAGUUCGUAGGUUCACCAUGGUCAAGUAACAUGACUUCCAGAAUAGGAUUACCAUACAACUCUAGUGCGGAUCUUACUCUGGUAGACCUACGAGGUUCAGUAGAAACUUGAACUCCUCACUAAUUGGUGUAGUUGUCACAGGAACCGGUUCUCGUGAUGAACUACUUUCCAAUAAGGGAGUAGAUACAGUUAUCUCAUCAAGUUCUACUUUCCUCCCACUCACUUCUUUCGAGAGAAACUCCUUCUCUAGAAAGGAUCCAUUCUUAGCAACGAAUGUCUUGCCUUCAGAUCUGUGAUAGAAGGUGUACCCAACAGUCUCUUUUGGGUAUCCUAUGAAAACACAUUUCUCCGAUUUGGGUUCGAGCUUAUCUGGUUGAAGUUUCUUCACAUAAGCAUCGCAGCCCCAAACUUUAAGAAACGACAACUUUGGUUUCUUGCCAAACCACAGUUCAUAAGGCGUCGUCUCAACGGAUUUUGAUGGUGCCCUAUUUAACGUGAAUGCGGCCGUCUCUAAAGCAUAACCCCAAAACGAUAGCAGUAAAUCAGUAAGAGACAUCAUAGAUCGCACCAUAUCAAGUAAAGUACGAUUAUGACGUUCGGACACACCAUUUCGUUGUGGUGUUCCGGGUGGCGUGAGUUGCGAAACUAUUCCACAUUGUUUCAAGUGUAGGCCAAACUCGUAACUCAAAUAUUCUCCUCCACGAUCAGAUCGUAGAAACUUUAUUUUCUUGUUACGAUGAUUUUCCACUUCACUCUGAAAUUCUUUGAACUUUUCAAAUGUUUCAGACUUGUGUUUCAUCAAGUAGAUAUACCCAUAUCUGCUCAAAUCAUCUGUGAAGGUGAGAAAAUAACGAUACCCGCCGCGAGCCUCAACAUUCAUUGGGCCACAAACAUCAGUAUGUAUGAUUUCCAACAAAUUAGUUGCUCGCUCCAUAGUUCCGGAGAAUGGCGUUUUAGUCAUCUUGCCCAUAAGGCACAGUUCGCAAGUACCAAGUGAUUCAUAAUCAAGUGAUUCCAAAAGUCCAUCAGUAUGGAGUUUCUUCAUGCGUUUUACACCGAUAUGACCCAAAAGGCAGUGCCACAAGUAAGUUGCACUAUCGUUAUCAACUCUGCAUCUUUUGGUUUCAACACUAUGAACAUGUGUAUCACUACUAUCGAGAUUUAAUAAAAAUAAACCACUCUUCAAGGGUGCAUGACCAUAAAAGAUAUUACUCAUAUAAAUAGAACAACCAUUAUUCUUUGAUUUAAAUGAAUAACCGUCUCGCAUCAAACAAGAUCCAGAUAUAAUGUUCAUGCUUAACGCUGGCACCAAAUAACAAUUAUUCAGGUCUAAAACUAAUCCCGAAGGUAGAUGUAGAGGUAGCGUGCCGACCGCGAUCACAUCGACUUUGGAACCGUUUCCCACGCGCAUCGUCACCUCGUCCUUGGCCAGUGCUCGCUUAUUCCGUAGUCCCUAUUUCGAGUUGCAAAUAUUAGCAACAGAACCAGUAUCAAAUUCCCAGGUGCUACUACGAGCUCUAGUUAGGUACACAUCAAUAACAUGUAUAUCACAUGUAGCUUUGUUUACUUUGCCAUCCUUCUUAUCCGCCAAAUACUUGGGGCAGUUCCGCUUCCAGUGACCAGUCUGCUUGCAGUAGAAGCACUCAGUUUCAGGCUUAGGUCCAGACUUGGGUUUCUUCUCUUGAGCAGCAACUUGCUUGCUGUUCUUCUUGAAGUUCCCCUUCUUCUUCCCUUUGCCCUUUUUCUUGAAACUAGUGGUCUUGUUGACCAUCAACACUUGAUGCUCCUUCUUGAUUUCUACCUCCGCAGCUUUUAGCAUUGCGAAGAGCUCGGGAAUAGUCUUGUUCAUCCCUUGCAUAUUAUAGUUCAUCACAAAGCUCUUGUAUCUUGGUGGCAGUGAUUGGAGAACUCUGUCAAUGACGCUAUCAUCCGGAAGAUUAACUCCCAGUUGAAUCAAGUGAUUAUUAUACCCAGACAUUUUGAGUAUAUGCUCACUGACAGAACUAUUCUCCUCCAUCUUGCAGCUGUAGAACUUAUUGGAGACUUCAUAUCUCUCAAUCCGGGCAUUUGCUUGAAAUAUUAACUUCAACUCCUGGAACAUCUCAUAUGCUCCAUGACGUUCAAAACGUCGUUGAAGGCCCGGUUCUAAGCCGUAAAGCAUGGCACACUGAACUAUAGAGUAGUCAUCAGCUUUGCUCUGCCAGACGUUCUUAACGUCGUCAGUUGCAUCAGCAGCAAGCCUGGCACCCAGCGGUGCUUCCAGGACGUAACUUUUCUGUGCAGCAAUGAGGAUAAUCCUCAGGUUACGGACCCAGUCCGUGUAAUUGCUACCAUCAUCUUUCAACUUUUCUUUCUCAAGGAACGCAUUAAAAUUCAACGGAACAACAGCACGAGCCAUCUAUCUACAAACAAACAUAGACAAGCAAAAUACUAUCAGGUACUAAGUUCAUGAUAAAUUUUAAGUUCAAUUAAUCAUAUUACUUAAGAACUCCCACUUAGACAGACAUCUCUCUAGUCAUCUAAGUGAUUACGUGAUCCAAAUCAACUAAACCAUAACCGAUCAUCAUGUGAGAUGGAGUAGUUUUCACUGGUGAACAUCACUAUGUUGAUCAUAUCUACUAUAUGAUUCAUGCUCGACCUUUCGGUCUCCGUGUUCCGAGGCCAUAUCUGCAUAUGCUAGGCUCGUCAAGUUUAACCUGAGUAUUCUGCGUGUGCAAAACUGGCUUGUACCCGUUGUAGAUGGACGUAGAGCUUAUCACACCCUAUCAUCACGUGGUGUCUGGGCACGACAAACUUUGGCAAUGGUGCAUACUCAGGGAGAACACUUCUUGAUAAUUUUUGUGAGAGAUCAUCUUAAAAUGCUACCGUCAAUCAAAGCAAGAUAAGAUGCAUAAAGGAUAAACAUCACAUGCAAUCAAUAUAAGUGAUAUGAUAUGGCCCUCAUCAUCUUGUGCUUGUGAUCUCCAUCUUUGAAGCACCAUCGUGAUCACCAUCGUCACCGGCGCGACACCUUGAUCUCCAUCGUAGCAUCGUUGUCGUUACGCCAUCUAUUGCUUCUACGACUAUCUAUACCGCUUAGUGAUAAAGUAAAGCAAUUACAGGGUGUUUGCAUUUCAUACAAUAAAGCGACAACCAUAUGGCUCCUGCCAGUUGCCGAUAACUUCGGUUACAAAACAUGAUCAUCUCAUACAAUAAAAUAUAUCAUCACGUCUUGACCAUAUCACAUCACAACAUGCCCUGAAAAACAAGUUAGACGUCCUCUACUUUGUUGUUGCAAGUUUUACGUGGCUGCUAUGGGCUUAGCAAGAACUGUUCUUACCUACGCAUCAAAACCACAACGAUAGUUCGUCAAGUUGGUGCUGUUUUAACCUUCGCAAGGACCGGGCGUAGCCACACUCGAUUCAGCUAAAGUGAGAGAGACAGACACCCGCCAGCCACCUUUAAGCACGAGUGCUCGUAACGGUGAAACCAGUCUCACGUAAGCGUACGCGUAAUGUCGGUCCGGGCCGCUUCAUCUCACAAUACCGCCGAACCAAAGUAUGAAAUGCUGGUAAGCAGUAUGACUUGUAUCGCCCACAACUCACUUGUGUUCUACUCGUGCAUAUAACAUCAACGCAUAAAACCUAGGCUCGGAUGCCACUGUUGGGAAACGUAGUAAUUUCAAAAUUUUCCUACGCACACGCAAGAUCAUGGUGAUGGCAUAGCAACGAGAGAGGAGAGUGUUCGUCCAUGUACCCUCGUAGACCGUAAGCGGAAGCGUUAGCACAACGCGGUUGAUGUAGUUGUACGUCUUCACGAUCCGACCGAUCCAAGCACCGAACGUACGGGGCCUCCGAGUUCAGCACACGUUCAGCUCGAUGACGAUCUCCGGCCUCCGAUCCAGUGAAGCUCCGGAGAUGAGUUCCGUCAGCACGACGGCGUGGUGACGAUGAUGAUGUUCUACCGGCACAGGGCUUCGCCUAAACUCCGCGACAAUAUGACCGAGGUGGAAUAUGGUGGAGGGGGGGCACCGCACACGGCUAAGGAACGAUCCGUAGAUCAACUUGUGUGUCUAUGGGGUGCCCCCCGCCCCUGUAUAUAAAGGAGCAAGGGGGAGAGGCCGGCCGGCCCCUUGGGCGCGCCAAGGGAGGAGGAAUCCUCCUCCUAGUAGGAGUAGGACUCCUCCUUUCCUACUCCUACUAGGAGGGGGAAGGAAGGAGGAGAGGGGGAAGGAAAGGGGGGGCGCCGCCCCCCUCGUAGUCCAAUUCGGACCAGAGGGGGGGAGGGGGCGUGCGGCCCAUGCUGGCCGCCCCUCUCUCCUUUCCCCUAAGGCCCAUAAGGCCCAAUACUCUCCCGGGGGGUUCCGGUAACCCCCGGCACUCCGGUUUUCUCCGAAAUCACCCGGAACAAUUCCGGUGUCCGAAUAUAGUCGUCCAAUAUAUCAAUCUUUAUGUCUCGACCAUUUCGAGAUUCCUCGUCAUGUCCGUGAUGACAUCCGGGACUCCGAACAAACUUCGGUACAUCAAAAGAUAUAAACUCAUAAUAAAACUGUCAUCGUAACGUUAAGCGUGCGGACCCUACAGGUUCGAGAACUAUGUAGACAUGACCUAGAACCAUUCUCGGUCAAUAACCAAUAGCGGGACCUGGAUGCCCAUAUUGGUUCCUACAUAUUCUACGAAGAUCUUUAUCGGUCAAACCGCAUAACAACAUACGUUGUUCCCUUUGUCAUGGGUACGUUACUUGCCCGAGAUUUGAUCGUCGGUAUCCAAUACCUAGUUCAAUCUCGUUACUGGCAAGUCUCUUUACUCGUUCCGUAAUAUAUCAUCUCAUAACUAACUUAUUAGUUACAAUGCUUGCAAGGCUUAGGUGAUGAGUAUUACCGAGAGGGCCCAGAGAUACCUCUCCGACAAUCGGAGUGACAAAACCUAAUCUCGAAUUAUGCCAACUCAACAUGUACCUUCGGAAACACCUGUAGAGCACCUUUAUAAUCACCCAGUUACGUUGUGACGUUUGGUAGCACACAAAGUGUUCUUCCGGUAAACGGGAGUUGCACAAUCUCAUAGUUGCAGGAACUUGUAUAAGUCAUGAAGAAAGCAAUAGCAGUAUACUAAACGAUCAAGUGCUAGGCUAACGGAAUGGGUCAUGUCAAUCACAUCAUUCUCCUAAUGAUGUGAUCCCGUCAAUCAAAUGACAACUCUUUUGUCCAUGGUUAGGAAACAUAACCAUCUUUGAUAAACGAGCUAGUCAAGUAGAGGCAUACUACUGACACUAUGUUUGUCUAUGUAUUCACACAUGUAUCAUGUUUCCGGUUAAUAUAAUUCUAGCAUGAAUAAUAAACAUUUAUCAUGAUAUGAGGAAAUAAAUAAUAACUUUAUUAUUGCCUCUAGGGCAUAUUUCCUUCAGUUACCGGAGUCCUGUUAGCCCAGUGUUACAGCCCGGAUGUAUACGUUGAUGACCGACAUGCUCGAUGUGACUCAUGUAUGCCUGUCCCCAUAGGUUAGCGCCGCUUUGGGUUCAUGACUAGCCAUGUCAGCCCGGGUUCUCUGUCAUAUGGAUGCUAGCGACACUAUCAUAUACGUGAGCCAAAAGGCGCAAACAGUCCCGGCCAUGGUAAGGCGACACCCGUGGGAUUACCGUGCGUGAGGCCGCAAAGUGAUAUGAGGUGUUACCGGCUAGAUCAAUGUGACUUGGAAUCAUGGUCCAGACAGCAUUGGCAUCAGAGCCGGACUGCCUGUAGGUUCCUAAGCCAAACUGGUCGAUGUCGAGUCUAGAAAUGCUUUAGUUAUAUGUAGGGGAAUUUAUUGUGGGAGGAAACGUAAGGCUCUUUUUACCCCUUUACCUUAUGCCCUCUGAUCUGUGUCAUCCUCUUCUCAUUCUACGUGGGUUAAGGACUAGGCUCUCUUCUCUCUAUCAGGUUCACGUGUUACUAAUCCGUAGUAACUUAUAGGAUUGUUGGUUACCAGUCUCAGUACAGUUCCUACUACUUUAGUAUGUUAUCAGUUGAACCUGAACCUUGAUAUGAUGUUGUUGAGUGGUUUUGCAAUCCGUUGUGAAUGUCUCAAAUCUGCUCCUGAGCAUUUACAGCUGUUAUGUUGUCCAAUUUUCCCUAGGAAUUCUAAUGUCUUUGCAUUGUGGUUGUGCUUUCAGAUGGCCACUCGCGCUCAGAACCAAGUGGUUCGCCUGACGCGGUGCCUCAAUGUGCCCGGUCAUACUGCUAUGUUAGUCCGGGUCAUGAUCGAGACAGGUUACCGUUGGUAUCCCGAAUACAUUGCCGAAGAGCAAUUCCAAGACUUUAAUCAAAGCCAAUACUUCUGCACUGUCAGGAUAUUUCCUUCAUAUCCUGGAUCCACCGAGCCCCUUCACUGCUCCUAUGGACUCGGGGUCACCAUUGAGAUGGCUGUACAGGAUGCGGCCUAUUCUAUGAUGACCAUCAUGCGAGUCAGGACUGGUCUGCUUCGGAACACCGACUUCCGUUAUAUGCCAGCAUCGCUCCCAGGAGCGCAAGGGUAUCUCCAGGCUAUCUAUGCUGAUUCCACCCAUGAGGACUCACUAACUCGCACCAUUGCGGAGAUGCUCGAGGAUAAGGACCGAGAGAAUCAGGCCUUGAGGUUGGAGCUUUUCAACACCUGCGCCGAUCAUUGGGCCACUUUGACUCGGUUUGCACCGGCUGUGCAAGCUGGAUGUAUGGAUAUGAGGGAUCUGUUUCCUGUGAGAUCUGCUCUGCCAGACAUGGUGGAUUGGCGUGAUGUGGGAGGCAUCAUCCCACCCCGUGGUCCCCGUAGGCCAUCGUUUGUUGGUCCAAGACCUCAUCCUAGCCCCUAUGGUCCACAGGCUCCUCAGGACCGUCUGUUCCCGGAUGAUCACGUUGAGCUUCCAAGCUAUGGAGGGGACUUCUAUGAGGACUACUACGGAGCUGUCUGAGUUAGUAGUAGUAUCUUUAGUAUUGUAAUAGUUGUAAUUCCAUCGUCCUGCGUGACCUGUGGAAUAUGACUUAGUGUGUAUCAGUUCCGGAGGUGUAGAAAAAUAAUGUAUCGGAGCUUGGAAUGCCUCCGAUGAGAUGUAACUUCUUCCACCGUAGUUGUACUAUAGUCGGGCUUGUACUAAACUAUGUAUGGUGUGUAUGACUGUUGGUGCAUAUAUGGCAGUUUCUGUAUUACCAUGUCAUACAGAUGAACAUCUCUGCAUUCCUUGUUAUCCAUUACAUUCUGCACUUCCUUGUCCAGAUUUGCCAUCCUUGUCUAAAGCGAUGUCUUGUUUUCCUAGGAUGGUCAACACCCGUAACAACCCUGCUACUCCGGAGCAGGGUGAAGCCAGUGCAGCUAGGAAUGAAAAUCUGCCUCAACCACCUUCUCUGGUCGAAGUUAUGCUGGAGGCAGAGCGAAAUAAGCGUGAGACCAAUCGCUUGCUGGAGCGGAUUGAGCAGAAUACCGCACGCCAGCCGAGGAACGACCUGGUGUCACUUAAUGACUUUGUCAAGCUGUAUCCACCGAAGUUUAAACAUUCCGUCGAGCCCCUUGAUGCGGAUGAAUGGCUUCGCAGCAUUACCCACAAGCUACGUUCUGUCAAUGUGGCCGAAGCUGAUAAGGUUAACUUUGCUACCUAUCACCUCGAAGGCCCUGCUAGCCUUUGGUGGGAAAACUUUGAGGCUAUGCGCCCGGUCGGCCAAAUUACUACUUGGGCUGAAUUCAGUAUGGAGCAUCACAUUCCGGAAGGUCUUAUGGAUCGCAAGCGUGAAGAGUUCUGCAACUUCACCCAGGGUAGACUGACUGUGGAUGCAUACAGUCGCGAGUUUGGAUAUCUAGCACGAUAUGCUCCUAAAGAGGUAUCCACCGACGCCAAGAAGCAGGCAAGGUUCCGCAAGGGACUUAGCCCCGAGCUUCGUCGUGAUCUUCGUCUGCACGAGUGCACCUCCUUCCAGAAGUUAGUCAACAAGGCCAUCAGUGCUGAGACAGGGCAGUCGGACUUUGAAGCUUCACGCAAGCACUCCCGUGACUUUGGACUUCAUCCGGCUGUGCAUCUCAGAAGCGCCGGGUCUGGAUUCCAAGCACUGCUCUGCCACCCAGGUUCACCCCGAGGCCAUCCUUUGACGCGCCUCGCCCCAACCAAUAGUAUACACCGCCCAAGGCCUAUGGUGGCCCCACUGCUAAUGCUACUCCAUGCCCCAAUGUGAUAACUUGUUUCAAGUGUGGGGAGACGGGUCACUACAUUCGUGAGUGUCCCCAAAACAACCCCAACCAGAUUGGAAAGUCUGUUGGCCGUGGCAAGCCAGCAGGAAAGGUGCUCUACGCCAAGCCAGCCACCACUGCCCGUGGCCAUGUCAACUAUGUCUCAGCAGAGGAGACUCAUGAGGAUCCCAACGUCGUUCUCGGUACGCUUCUUGUUAAUUGCCACCCGGCAACCAUUCUCUUUGAUACUGGAGCAUCUCAUUCAUUUAUAUCUGAAAGCUAUGCUCGAUUGCACAACACCACAUUUUGUGACAUGCCCACCUCCAUGGUAAUUCAAACCCCUGGUUCUAAGUGGCAAACCUCUAAAAUCAGCCAUGGAAAUGAAAUCCUUGUCGACAGAUUAGUCUUCCUUGCAUCACUAAUAGCUCUCAAGUCCUCGGACAUAAACAUCAUCUUGGGUAUGGACUGGAUGUCAGCCCAUUACGCUAAGAUCGAUUGCUCCACUAGAACUGUUCAACUCACCCACCCUUCGGGCAAGACAGCCAAUGUUUUGACCCGAGUGUCUAAGCGUCAGCUUUACUCUUUAAAUGCCAACCCCCUUCCAGACCUUGAAGAUAUUCCGGUAGUCCGUGACUUCCCGGAUGUCUUUCCAGAGGAACUGUCAGGUGUUCCACCUAACAGAGAUGUCAAGUUCGUGAUAGACCUUGUUCCAGGAACCAUGCCAACAUCUAGGAGACCUUAUAAGAUGGCACCCCUAGAACUAGCUGAGCUUAAGAAACAACUCGAUGAGUCCUUGCAAAAGGGUUUCAUCCAUCCUAGCUCUUCUCCAUGGGCUUGCCCCGUCCUUUUCGUCAAGAAGAAGGAUGGAACGGAUCGGAUGGUUGUAGAUUACCGGCCAGUCAACUUGGUCACUAUCAAGAACAAGUAUCCGCUCCCCAAGAUCAACGACCUGUAUGAUCAGCUCGCUGGAUCCUCAGUCUUUUCUAAAAUGGAUUUGAGGUUGGGCUACCAUCAAAUCAAAAUUAAGAACGGGGACAUUCCUAAAACGGCCUUUGUUACUCGAUAUGGCCAAUACGAGUACACCGUCAUGUCCUUCGGUCUAACCAAUGCCCCAGCCACCUUCUCUCGGUUAUUGAACUCGAUCUUCAUGGAGUAUUUUGAUAAAUUCGUCGUGGUUUACCUUGAUGAUAUACUCAUCUACUCCAAGAAUGAAGAAGAACAUGCCGAACAUCUAAGGCUAGUGUUGAUGAAACUUUGAGAGCAUUGUCUUUAUGCCAAAUUCUCUAGGUGUGAGUUUUGGUUGCCAGAAGUAACCUAUCUAGGACAUGUAAUCUCUGGUAAGGGCAUUGCUGUCAAUCCCAAGCGAGUUCAAGCCAUCCUUGACUGGACUCCACCUGAAACGGUCAAGCAAGUUCAGAGUUUUGUUGGUUUAGCGAGCUAUUGCCGCUGCUUCAUCGAGAAUUUCUCCAAGGUUGCUAAGCCUCUAACCGAACUCCUCAAGAAAGAUAAAAAGUUCGAAUGGACGCCAUAGUGCGAGUUCAGUUUUCAGGAACUGAAAAGACGCCUGACAUCUGCUCCUGUACUUGUUCCACCAGAUUUCUCUAAGGACUUCGUUAUCUACUGCGACGCCUCGCGACAAGGACUAGGUUGCAUACUCAUGCAAGAUCGUCAUGUGAUUGCCUACGCUUCUCGACAGCUGCGUCCACAUGAGGAUAACUAUCCCACACAUGAUCUACAGCUUGCAGCAGUGGUCCAUGCACUCAAAACCUGGCGACAUUACCUUCUCGGUAAUCGUUGCGAGAUUUACACCGAUCACCAAAGUCUGAAAUACAUCUUCACCAAACCGGAUUUGAAUCUCAGACAAAGACGUUGGGUCGAGUUGAUUACGGAUUACGAUCUAGGAAUAACCUACACCCCAGGAAAAGCCAAUGUCAUGGCUGAUGCAUUAAGCCGUAAAUCUUAUUGUAACAACCUGAUGUUACAACAAAGCCAACCAUUUCUCCACGAGGAAUUUCGUAAGCUUAACCUUCACAUCGUUCCUCGAGGUUUUCUUUCCACCCUGGUGGCGAAACCUACCCUUACGGAUCAGAUCAUCAAGGCACAGAAGGUAGAUCCGGGAAUAUCCCGUAUCAAGAGAAACAUCAAAAGGGAGUUGGACUGUUUCUCCAUAGAUGAUCAAGGUGUUGUGUUCUUUGGAGGCCAUCUAGUGGUUCCCAAGGUAUGCAACCUGAGGCGAUUGAUCCUUAAGGAAGCUCAUGAAUCCCCUCUCACUAUUCAUCCCAGUAGUACUAAAAUGUAUCAAGACCUACGCCAGAGGUUUUGGUGGACUAGGAUGAAGAGAGAAAUCGCUCAAUACAUUACCAAUUGCGACGUCUGUCGUCGAGUUAAAGAAGAGCAUCAACGACCUGCUGGCACCCUGCAACCUUUGGAAAUUCCCGAAUGGAAAUGGGAUAAAAUCGGUAUGGAUUUCAUUACCGGGUUUCCCAGGACCAAGAGGGGGAAUAAUGCUAUCUUCGUUGUUGUCGAUCGUCUUUCCAAAGUAGCCCACUUCCUACACGUUCGUGAGAGUUUAACCGCUAGCCAGCUAGCUGACUUAUACAUCUCCCGAAUAGUGUCUCUUCAUGGUGUUCCAUUGGAGACUAACUCAGACCGUGGAAGUCUCUUCACCUCUCGAUUUCGGGAAAGUUUCCAAAAUGCGAUGGGAACUCGUCUUUCUUUUAGCACCGCUUUCCAUCCUCAAUCAAGUGGUCAAGUAGAACGAGUCAAUCAAAUUCUAGAGGAUAUGCUUCGAGCUUCUGUCAUCUCUUUUGGUAUGAAUUGGGAGAAGUGCCUUCCAUUCGCUGAGUUCGCUUAUAACAAUAGUUAUCAAGCUAGCUUGGACAAAGCUCCUUUCAAAGUUCUCUAUGGAUGAAAAUGUCGAACACCUCUUAACUGGUCAGAAACCGGGUAAAGACAACUCUUUGGCCCGGAUAUGAUCCAGGAAGCAGAGGAGCAGGUUCACGUUAUUCGUGAGAAAUUGAAAACAGCCCAAUCUCAUCAAAAGAGCCAAUAUGACCGCAAACAUACACUAGUAGAAAAGGGGCCAAUGGUCCAGGCCGGUCCAGCCCAUUAGUCCCGGUUCAAUCCAGAACCGGGACCAAUGGGGGCAUUGGACCCGGUUCGUGAGCCCUGGGGGCCGGCCGGGCCACGUGGGCCAUUGGUCCCGGUUCGUCCUGACCUUUCGGUCCCGGUUGGUGGGACGAACCGGGACCAAUGGGCCUCGCUCCUGGCCCACCAACAUUGGUCCCGGUUGGUGGCUUGAACCGGGACCAAAGGCGUCCCUUUAGUCCCGGUUCAAGUCACCAACCGGGACCAAUUAGUUGCCUAUAUAUACCCCUCGCCUGCGAGCAGAGCACUCCCAGUGCUCUGUUUUUCGUGGCUGGCGAGGGGAGAGCUUUGUGGUGCUCUAGCUCACGUCCUAUGCACACAAGGUGUUCGAUGGAAUGCCCGAGCCACACUACUUAAGCUUUCUCCUCUCCAAGCUCGACCUCCAAGCUCCAUUUUCCUUCAUAUUUGUCUAGGUUUAGCGGUUCGUCACGUCCCGUCCCCAUCUUCACCACCGUUGAUCGCCCGCGCCGAUCUCGUCGCCGGCACCACCGUGGUGAGCCUCUUGUUCUUAUCUUCUUUCUGAAAGGAAAAAAAAUUCUUACUUGUAUGUUUAUAUAGAUACUUGUAUAAUUUUCUUACUUUUAUUAUUGCAUCUUAUAUAGUGCGAUGGUUUUGGUAUCCGCCCCCGUCGGCCCUCGUCCUGUCUAUGAUUCAGAUGUGGUAUAUAUAUAUUAUCUUUUCAUAACUAGUGGUUCAUUUAUUGUUUAUGACAAUUAUGCCGACCAACGUGACAUAGAUUUUAUUUAUCUAGGAGGUUGUUGAACCGGAAAUUCCAACCGACCCUAUUGUCGAGAGGUUAAAUUUAGUUGAAGAAAACAAUUUGUUGAAGGGAAAAAUUAGAAAAAUUGAGGAGGAGAAGAUGAUAUUGGAGUUGCAUGUUGCGGAUGUCAUCGAUGAUCACAAGAUCAAGAUGGAUGCAAUGCGCUUGAAGAUUAGAAAGAUUAGAAAAUAUGCCAUUCAUACCGAGGCUUGGUAUCAUUAUGUCGUUGGAUCAGUUGUUACAUUGGUUGCGAUUAUGAUCGUAUUUGUUUUCGCAUUGAAAUGUUUUACAUAGUUUCAGUGUAUGGUUUAAUUAAUUUAGAUGCCCUGCAGAGCUUUAUGUUGUUAGAUGAGAACUAUGUAUGUACUUUGGUUUUAAUGUGAUGAUGAACUUCUAUUAAUUUCGUCACUUAAUUAUCUAUUCAUGAUGUUCUGUAAUGAUUUUUGACACACUUAAUUAUAUAUAAUGCACGCAGAUGAACCGGCAAUGGAUGUACGGUUCAAGACACACCUCCGAGUACAUUAAGGGCGUGCAUGAUUUUCUCGAAGUGCCUGAGGCAACAAGAAGAAUGGUUUUAUGUGUUGUCCAUGCCCUAUAUGUGGGAAUACGAAGUCUUACUCUGACUGGAAAAUCCUCCACACCCACCUUCUUUACAAGGGUUUCAUGCCACACUAUAAUGUUUGGACGAGGCACGGAGAAAUAGGGGUUAUGAUGGAAGACGGCGAAGAAGAAGAGUACGAUGACAACUAUGUGCCCCCUGAAUACGGUGAUGCUACUGAAGAUCAAGAGGAACCAGACGAUGUGCCCGAUGAUGAUGAUCUCCGCCGGGUCAUUGUCGAUGCAAGGACGCAAUGCGAAAGUCAAAAGGAGAAGCUGAAGUUCGAUCGCAUGUUAGAGGACCACAAAAAAGGGUUGUACCCCAAUUGUGAAGAUGGCAACACAAAGCUCGGUACCGUACUGGAAUUGCUGCAGUGGAAGGCAGAGAAUGUUGUGCCUGACAAAGGAUUUGAGAAGCUACUGAAAAUAUUGAAGAAGAAGCUUCCAAAGGAUAACGAAUUGCCCGACAGUACAUACACAGCAAAGAAGUUCGUAUGCCCUCUAGGAUUGGAGGUGCAGAAGAUACAUGCAUGCCCUAAUGACUGCAUCCUCUACCGCGGUGCGUACAAGGAUCUGAACGCAUGCCCGGUAUGCGGUGCAUUACGGUAUAAGAUCAGACGAGAUGACCCUGGUGAUGUUGACGGCGAGCCCCCCAGGAAGAGGGUUCCUGCGAAGGUGAUGUGGUAUGCUCCCAUAAUACCACGGUUGAAACGUCUGUUCAGAAACGGAGAGCAUGCCAAGUUGAUGCGAUGGCACAGUGAGGACCGUAAGAAAGACGGGAAGUUGAGAGCACCCGCUGACGGGUCGCAGUGGAGAAAAAUCGAGGGAAAGUACUGGGAUGAGUUUGCAAGUGAGCCAAGGAACGUAUGGUUUGCUUUAAGCGCGGAUGGCAUUAAUCCUUUCGGGGAGCAGAGCAGCAAUCACAGCACCUGGCCCGUGACUCUAUGUAUGUAUAACCUUCCUCCUUUGAUGUGCAUGAAGCAGAAGUUCAUUAUGAUGCCAGUUCUCAUCCAAGGCCCUAAGCAACCCGGCGACGACAUUGAUGUGUACCUAAGGCCAUUAGUUGAAGAACUUUUAUAGCUGUGGAAUGGAAAUAGUGUACGUACGUGGGAUGAGCACAAACAGGAGGAAUUUAACCUAAAGGCGUUGCUGUUCGUGACCAUCAACAAUUGGCCCGCUCUCAGUAACCUUUCAGGACAGACAAACAAGGGAUACCACGCAUGCACGCACUGUUUACUUGACACCGAUAGUAUAUACCUAGCAAGUUGUAGGAAGAAUGUGUACCUGGGCCAUCAUCGAUUUCUUUCGACCAACCAUCAAUGUUGAAAGAAAGGCAAGCAUUUCAAAGGCGAGGCAGAUCACCGGAAGAAGCCCUCCAUGCGUACUGGUAUCACGUACUUGCUAUGGUAGUGAUUUACACGUAAUCUUUGGAAAGUGUCCCGGCGGACUAGCUGUUCCGAAUGACGCUGAGAAUCACGCACCCAUGUGGAAGAAGAAAUCUAUAUUUUGGGACCUACCCUACUAGAAAGACCUAGAGGUCCGCUCUUCGAUCGACGUGAUGCACGUGACGAAGAACCUUUGCGUGAACCUGCUAGGCUUCUUGGGCAUGUAUGGGAAGACAAAAGAUACAACUGAGGCACGGGAGGACCUGCAACGCUUGCACGAAAAAGUGGGCAUGCCUCCGAAGCAGUAUGAAGGUCCUGCCAGCUACGCUCUUACGAAAGAAGAGAAAUAAAUCUUCUUUGAAUGCCUGCUCAGUAUGAAGGUCCCGACUGGCUUCUCUUCGAAUAUAAAGGGAAUAAUAAAUAUGCCAGACAAAAAGUUCUAGAACCUAAAGUCUCAUGACUGCCACGUGAUUAUGACGCAACUGCUUCCGGUUGCAUUGAGGGGGCUUCUACCGGAAAACGUCCGAUUAGCCAUUGUGAACCUAUGUGCAUUCCUCAAUGCAAUCUCUCAGAAGGUGAUCGAUCCAGAAAUCAUACCAAGGCUAAGGACUGAUGUGGUGCAAUGUCUUGUCAGUUUCGAGCUGGUGUUCCCACCAUCCUUCUUCAAUAUCAUGACGCACGUCCUAGUUCAUCUAGUUGACGAGAUUGUCAUUCUGGGCCCCGUAUUUCUACACAAUAUGUACUUCUUUGAGAGGUUCAUGGGAGUCCUAAAGAAAUAUGUCUGUAACCGCGCUAGGCCAAAAGGAAGCAUCUCCAUGGGCUAUCAAACAGAGGAUGUCAUCGGGUUUUGUGUUGACUUCAUUCCUGGCCUUAAGAAUAUAGGUCUCCCUAAAUCGCGGUAUGAGGGGAGACUGACUGGAAAAGGCACGCUUGGAAGGGACUCAAUUAUAUGCAGGGACGGAUAUUCUUGGUCUCAAGCACACUACACAGUUCUACAGAACUCUACCUUGGUGACCCCGUAUGUCGAUGAACACAAGAACAGUCUGCGCUCCAAACACCCGGAGCAGUGCGACGACUAGAUUACAUGUGAACACAUCAGGACUUUCAGUAGUUGGUUGGAAGCACAUAUCAGAGGUGACAACACUGUUUGUGAUGAGUUGUACUUGUUGUCCAGGGGACCAUCUUUGACUGUAUUGAUUUGGAAAGGAUACGAGAUAAAUGGGAAUACAUUUUACACGAUUGACCAAGAUCAAAAGAGCACCAACCAAAACAGCGGUGUCCGCUUUGAUGAAACAACCGAGAGGGGAAAGGACACAUAUUGUGGUUACAUAGUGGACAUAUGGGAACUUGACUACGGACACGAUUUUAAGGUCCCUUUGUUUAAGUGCAAAUGGGUCAAUCUGUCAGGUGGCAGGGUACAGGUAGACCCACAGUACGGAAUGACAAUAGUGGAUCUGGAAAAUCUUGGAUACACUGACGAACUGUUCGUCCUAGCCAAUGAUGUGGCACAGGUUAUCUAUGUGAAGGACAUGUCUACCAGACCAAGAAAGAGAAAAGAUAAGGAAGCGAAUACAUCAUACGAUGAGCCAAAGUGCCACAUAGUUCUUUCAGGAAAAAGGGACAUCGUGGGAGUGGAGGACAAGACAGACAUGUCUGAAGAUUAUGAAAAGUUUCAUGAAAUUCCUCCCUUUAAUGUCAAGGCUGACCCCAGCAUCCUGAUAGACGAUGAAGAUUAUCCAUGGUUACGGCGCAAUAAGCAAAUGACACAAGCGAAGAAAAAGUGAAGACUUUCUCCCGCAACUAUUAUGAUGAUACCAUGCCAAAUUUGUAACUGACGAGUAUGAUACCAUUGUCCGUUUUGUACAUGCACAUGCUAUGUGGGUCAAUUUAUGAUACCAUGCCAACUUUCAACUUUUUCAGAGUUCAUUUGAAAUGCUUUAAUGUCUUAUGGUUCGGCCCUCGUAAUGAUUAAAAAUAGCAACAAUAAGUAUUUUGUUGUAAGUAGAAACAAAAUAAAAUAAAUAAAGCAAGAAAGAAAACAAAAAAAACAAAAAAAGUGUUUUCAAAUUUGAAAACUAAUGGUACUAACAGAAAGUUUAUAAUUUUCCUAAAACUAAAAGCAAAAAGAAUUGAAAAAUAAAGCAAAAAACAAAAGACAAUAAAUAAUGCAGAAAUCAAAACAAAAAACAACAAUAAGUAUUUUGUUGUAUGUAGAAACAAAACAAAAUAAAUAAAGCAAGAAAGAAAACAAAAAAACAAAAAAAGUGUUUUCAAAUUUGAAAACUAGGGCACUAACAGAAAGUUUAUAAUUUUCCUAAAACUAAAAGCAAAAAGAAUUAAAAAAUAAAGCAAAAAACAAAAGAAAAUAAAUAAUGCGGAAAACAAAACAAAAAAACUGGAAAAAAAAUAAAAUAGCAAAAAUAAGUAAAGAAAACAAAAAAAUGCCUCCUACUGGGCCCCCACGGCCUGAAUACGACUAGAAACCCUACUAUGGGCCAGGAUUCAGGCCCGCAGUAGGCCCAGAAGGCCCAUCAGGCAAAGCAAUAGCAAGUAGGCCCGAAAGCCUGCGGUGGAGAGGAGCUCGAGAGGGGUGCGGCAGUGGGGCUUAUAAACCACUGCACGCCCCUCUCAACUAGCGAGGUGGGACUAAACUUUGGCCCCGACGCGGGAAGCACAGGGGCCUUUGGUCCCGGUUGGUGGCACCAACCGGGACUAAAGGGGGGGGCAUUGGUACCGGUUCGUGGCACCAACCGGUACCAAAGGCCGCCGCUUCCCGCCCUUUGGGCUGCCGAAAAGGAGGCCUUUGGUCCUAGUUGGUGGCACUAACCGGGACUAAAGGGUGCAUUAGUCCCGGUUGAUUUCACGAACCGGGACCAAUGCCUUUGCUAUAUAAGCAAACACUUUGCAAAAUUUCAGAAUCCCAUCGCCAGUUGCCCCCGACGACGCCGACCCUCCUCGACGCUGCCAGGCUGCUCCACCUCGCCGUCGUCGCCGCCACCGCCAAGCCGUCGCCUCCCCGAGCCCGCGCCAUCCUCGUCGCCGGCCUCCCUGAGCCCGCGCCGUCCUCGUCGCCGGUCUCCUCGAGCCCGCUCCCCGUCCCGCCCCCGCGCGCCGCCGCCCCGAGCCCCUGCCCCGUCCUGCCCCCAUGCGCNNNNNNNNNNNNNNNNNNNNNNNNNNNNNNNNNNNNNNNNNNNNNNNNNNNNNNNNNNNNNNNNNNNNNNNNNNNNNNNNNNNNNNNNNNNNNNNNNNNNNNNNNNNNNNNNNNNNNNNNNNNNNNNNNNNNNNNNNNNNNNNNNNNNNNNNNNNNNNNNNNNNNNNNNNNNNNNNNNNNNNNNNNNNNNNNNNNNNNNNNNNNNNNNNNNNNNNNNNNNNNNNNNNNNNNNNNNNNNNNNNNNNNNNNNNNNNNNNNNNNNNNNNNNNNNNNNNNNNNNNNNNNNNNNNNNNNNNNNNNNNNNNNNNNNNNNNNNNNNNNNNNNNNNNNNNNNNNNNNNNNNNNNNNNNNNNNNNNNNNNNNNNNNNNNNNNNNNNNNNNNNNNNNNNNNNNNNNNNNNNNNNNNNNNNNNNNNNNNNNNNNNNNNNNNNNNNNNNNNNNNNNNNNNNNNNNNNNNNNNNNNNNNNNNNNNNNNNNNNNNNNNNNNNNNNNNNNNNNNNNNNNNNNNNNNNNNNNNNNNNNNNNNNNNNNNNNNNNNNNNNNNNNNNNNNNNNNNNNNNNNNNNNNNNNNNNNNNNNNNNNNNNNNNNNNNNNNNNNNNNNNNNNNNNNNNNNNNNNNNNNNNNNNNNNNNNNNNNNNNNNNNNNNNNNNNNNNNNNNNNNNNNNNNNNNNNNNNNNNNNNNNNNNNNNNNNNNNNNNNNNNNNNNNNNCGCUGCAUUGGCUCUGUUUUUUUUUCAUUUUUAUUAGUUUAAUUAUUUUUUUGUUCAUAUAUAUAUAUAUAUAUAUAAUGUAUAUGUGUAUGUAUGUGGCUAUAUAUGUGUAUGUAGAUGUUCAAAAAUUAUUCAGAGCACGUUUUUAUUCAUAUAUGUAUUUUUUGUUCAUAUGUGUAUUAAUGUUUUCAUAUAUGCAAAAGAUAGAUUUUUAGAAAAGUUAGGGUUUUUUUUUCUAUUCAUAGAUUUUUUUGGUGAUAUUAAUUAUUGUAGAAUAUGCAAAUGUUUGUAUAUUCAUAUGAACAAUGCAUUAGGCAAAACCUUUGUUUUUUUUGAAAUUUUUUAUUUGAACAUUUUUUAAAAACAAGCAAUACUAAAAGAAUGAGAGGAAAAAGGAAAAUAAGAAGAGGAAGAAAGGAGAAGAAGAGGAGAGGAAGAAGAGGAGAAAUAAAUAAGAAGAGGAAAAAAGAAGAGGGGAAGAAGAAAGGAAUAGAGGAGAAGAAGAAAAAUAGAAAUUUUCUAUUUUUCUUCUUCUCCUCUAUUCCUUUCUUCUUCUCCUCUUUAUUUUCUUCUUUUUUUUCUUCUUCCUUCUUCCUCUUUUCUUCCUUUUCCUUAUUUUCCUUUCUCGAGGGAGAAGAAGAAAAAGAAGAGUAAAAGAAGAAGAAAGGAAUAGAGGAGAAAGAAGAAACUUCAACACAAGGGGGGGUUACCGAUACCCCCUCCCCGAUAACAUUAUUUUCCCAUGUAUAUGUAUGUCGCGUCAUUGUCGAUAUAACCCCCUCGAGAUAACUUCGACAUGAGGGGCGGUCGAUAUAUAUACCCCCUCUCGACCGUGAUAACUUAUACAACGGCAGCACCCCCCUCGGCCCUCUCGCUCGACCAAAACUCUUGAGGACACCCAAACCCUAGAGAGAAAACGAUGUUGGUCUCCUACCCCCUCCCGCCGCGCCCCUACCCGACAUAUUAACUCUCUCGAGGCCACCCAAAUUUACCAAGUUAAAAGAGCGUUGUCGUCGAGGCCACCCCAAACCCUUGAAGCGUUGUGUCGAGGAGACCCCAAACCCUAGAGAAGCAGCGUCGAGGCCACUAACAUGGAUCGAUCCAUCUGUAAUAAUAAUUGACAUGGUGUAAAUAUUUGCAGAAACUAUGGAGCACUCCCGAGACGAAGAAACAGAAGCGAUGUUGGGGGACAUUAUCGCACAAGGAAGUGAUGAAGUUGCGUCAUUUCUCAACGACACCGAUGGUCAGGAACGACUGGGUGAAGAAGAGGGCUAUGUUCAUGAUGGCUUCGACCCAUUAAUGCCGGUACAAGAAGAGGACUAUGUUCAUGAUGGCUCUGGUGACACAAUGGAGGUACAAGAAGGAGACCGUGCUGACUGCUCCGGUGACCGAACCGAGUCCGGCCAGGUAUAUAUAUAUAUAUUAGUUAAGCCCGUGCUGACUAGUUAAUUGAUGCAUCCAUUGUUUUGGUAUAUGUACACAUAUUAAUUACUCUCGUCUUUCUUCCUUAUAAUUUCUAGCCCUCCGGAUCGAGCACAACUUCGGUAAGAAGACGAAGCCCGAAGAAAAAGUUGAGCUCGGAUGAAAAGUUUGAGAUCAUAGAAAUCGCGCCCGACGGCGAACCGAUUGAACCCAUCCGGACAAGGAAGGCAUUUUCUGCUCAGUGCGGGGUUCUUGUUAGGGACAAGAUCCCGAUCAGCAUCCAUCAAUGGUAUAAGCCUAAGGAGGAAGACCCCGAGGUGUCUUAUGUCAAUGAUAUGCAGAAAGAAGAUCUUUGGACUGAGCUAAAGGCAAAUUUCACCCUACCGCUAGAGGAGGAUCCGGAGAAGCCAGUUAUAGAGCAAUUAAUCAAUUCUUGUGCUCUUAAGAAGAUGGCAACCCUAAUGAGGAGGUGGAGGAAAGAGGUGAACCAGUUUGUCGAGAAAGAUAAGACACCAGAAUUCAUCGGCAAAUAUGAGAAGAUCAAAGAUCACUGGCCCGCAUUUGUGGCCCACAAGACAUCGGAAAAGAGUAAGAAGAUGUCGGCAACAAACAAGAAAAAUUCUGCAAAGAAGAAGCUUCACCAUCGCACGGGGUCAGGUGGCUACCUCAAAGCCCGGCCUAAGUGGUCCAAGGCUGAGCAUGAUCUGCUUGAAAAAGGGAUCGAACCAGAGACAAUGUACUGGCCAGACCGUUGUCGGACUUGGUUCUUCGGGGCUGGCGGAACCUUGGACCCUGUAACAGGGAAGUGCCAGUGGACGGAUGAGCAACUACAAAUACCAGUCAAGAAACUUCGACACUAUAUCGAUGCAGCGUAGCGAGGGACGCUCCUUCCAAACAGGGAGAAGGACGAGCUCACAAUGGCCCUUGGGAAUCCUGAGCACCCUGGAUGGACACGAGGCACGCCAGGCUCCAUUCCAUGGAAGGUUGGUCUUCCGCACACAGGGGGUUACAAAACCCACGAGAGGAGGAAGAAACUGGAGCAGGACCAAAUGCAGGCGCUGCACGAAAGGGUAAUGGGGCUAGAGGAACGAGAAGCAGCAGAUCGCAGCAAACGACAUGCCGAAGCUUCCCCCGAAGCUACCUCGCCAUCUCAGCGGAGAAGCAGCGUGGCUUCCACCGAGCUGCUUCAGCCGGAGCAUGUCUUGACGUCUCCUGCCAGCUAUCCCGUGGAUGGUAUCACGGAGUCUCAAAGUUGCCACAUUAUGACGCAAUGUAUGAAUUUGAAGGUCAAGGCGGCUGUUGGCCAAGUUUAUCCUAGUGGACCCGGCACAACUUAUCACUGCCAGCCGAUUCCAGAAGGAUUUGCUAAGGUGAUGGUGGAUGAAAUAACGGAGGGAUUUGAGGACCUCCUGCUUGAGCACCCUACCGGUGAAGGGGAGACUAGGCUGGGUUCUGCUCUGAAGACUCCAUGCCUAUGGCGGAAGGAGCUCAUCAACCUUCCGAACUGGACGCCUCCGCCUCCUCCUCCUCCUCCGGCGAGUCAGGGCACUCCGCCUCCUCCACCGCCUCCUCCUCCGGCGAGUGAUGAUCAGGGCACACGUGGCAGCACUCCGCCUCCUUCUCCGCCUGCGCCGGCGCGCCCGAGCAGCCAGCCUCCUCCUUCUCCGCCUCGUCAGCAAGGGCGAAAGAGACCCGCCGCUGCUCCGGCUGCUCCGGCGCGUCGUAAUCCUUCUCCUCCGCCUCACAAAAAGCAAGCAAAGAAGACAUCCACUCCGUCUGCUCUGUCGGUGUCUAGCAGUACAGCCAAAGGCGGGAAGAAAUACAGAUUUGGUCCUUCUCCGAAGACUCCAGAGAAGUUACCGUACGAGAGGACCGAGGAGGAAAACGCGGAGAUCACGCAGAACGAACUGGAUGGCUGGUUUGCAGGGUUGAAAGCAAAGAGACAUCCACCUCCGGAGGAGAAGGUAGAUCCGGUGAAAGUGAAGCGCACUCUGGCUGCCCUGAGGAAACCGGCAAAGUCUCCGCCGAGAACCAACUAUGAGCGCAUUACUGAACAGACAUAUCUCCAAGCGGAGCAGUCGGGAAGUACUGUCAGACAUCAAAGAGCAAAAGAACGAGCAGCUGCGAAAAAAGUUGACCAGCUCGGCGAACAACCAAACCAAUCGUGCCCCCCGCUCAAUGUGUCUAGCGGCAACAUCGUCGCUAAUGUUCCGGGGAUCAUGGACGGUUAUGGCAAUCCACAAUAUUACCUGCCUGACGAUGCACUUCCUGAAUUCAUGAUGGUGGAAGAACGCAGAUACGAGUACGGGAAGCCUCUCAUCAAAGAUGUAAAAUCUCUAACAACGAUGAUGCGAAGAUUCCAUACUUGGUACAUGAAAACCUGCAGAGAGUCUGGGGGGACGAAUAGUUUGUAUCUACACAUUAAAGAGGAGCACGACCUCGUUGGAACUGAUCUGUUGUGUGUUCCAUUUGAGGAGUUCUUCGCGUUCUUCAAUCAAAUAGCCCUCGAUAAAUUAACGGUCUUUUGCUACUGCCUGUAAGUACUAUUUCUGUCAUUAAGUCUCUAUAUAUAGCUUGGCUUUCAUUACAUGUAUUUAUAAUUAAUUAUCCUCAAUAUAUUAUGCAGAUUGAAGAUCGUCGAGUGCAAAAAAAUGAAAUCUAUGAUAUUGGGUUCAUUAACACAAAUAUCAUAGAUGUAUUUCUGGUUGAAAAGCACAUCGAAGAGGCCGAGGACAACUUGCUACGAUCAUUGAUCAAAAAUCAAAACAAAGAUACCAUACUCUUUCCUUACAACACCAAGUGAGUGUUACUGAUCAUUUGCAUAUUCGGUUUCCCUUAUUACUCGAGCGAGGUUAUAGUAAUGUAAUUGAUGAGUUAUGCAUGUGUGCGCAGGUACCACUAUAUUCUUCUGGAGAUUAAGCUUGAGCGUGGACUAGUAACCGUCUUAGACUCGAGACGGAAAGAUCCCAGCACCUAUGCGGACAUGACUGAAAUGCUCAGCAAGUAAGUUCAAUCGAUCAUUAUCGCACCAUAGCGGCAACUUUUUGUUCAUUUCCUGAUAUCUCAAGUAAUAAUAAUUAUUUUCUUUGUCUUGCAGGGUUUGGAAACAGUUCACCACAGUAGCUCGGGGACUGCCGAAGGAGCUGCGAUAUAUAUACCCGAAAGUAAGUACUACUGGCUAGCUAGUUGUGUGCAUCUCCUGUUGAUUCUAUAGCUAUACUUUCAUCACAUUUAUAAUGCUUCAUUAUCAGUUUGAUAGACCUCUAUUUCUCGUAAAGUGCUUGUGGUAGGAACAAGGGAAUGAUUUCUAUAGAUACUACGUGUGCGAGUUCAUCUACAACGCGACUUUGAAAAAUAAGCGGGGCUACUCUCAAAGACAAUAUGAAGUGCGUAAGCAAUUAAUAAUAUUCACAAUUUCUGUUGAGUUUCAUUCAUAUAUAUAUAUAUAUAUAUAUAUAUAUAUAUAUAUGUAUUAAUUAACCCCCUUCUUCAAAUUAGACGUGGCAGAUGCGGAAUGAACUCCUAGAACCAGAUCGCAUGAAAGGAAUUCAAGAGGAAUUGGCGGGAUUCUUUCUUGACCACGUCAUCAAUAAAGCCGGAGAAUACCAUGUGGAACUUGAUUUCAAAUGCUAGGGGACUGUAAUUGAGAGAUCUUAUAUAUUGUACAUGUUGUAUGUAGCCAGUAGCGUCGGACAUACAUGAUACAAAAACUUGUUGUUUGACCAAUCUCUCGGAGAAGGAGACGUCGAUCGAUCACUUCUCUCGGUAUGCAUGACGAACUUCUGUACUUAAUGGUUUCCUUCAUUUUCUUACUAGCUAGCGUGUCGAGAGCCUCUCUAUGUAUAGUACGUAGCGUCGACCAAGCACGGACAUAAGAGAGGACACUUCUCUCUAUUAAUUAGCUAGCUAACACAAUAUAUGAAACACCUAAAUUAACCCCCAAAACCNNNNNNNNNNNNNNNNNNNNNNNNNNNNNNNNNNNNNNNNNNNNNNNNNNNNNNNNNNNNNNNNNNNNNNNNNNNNNNNNNNNNNNNNNNNNNNNNNNNNNNNNNNNNNNNNNNNNNNNNNNNNNNNNNNNNNNNNNNNNNNNNNNNNNNNNNNNNNNNNNNNNNNNNNNNNNNNNNNNNNNNNNNNNNNNNNNNNNNNNNNNNNNNNNNNNNNNNNNNNNNNNNNNNNNNNNNNNNNNNNNNNNNNNNNNNNNNNNNNNNNNNNNNNNNNNNNNNNNNNNNNNNNNNNNNNNNNNNNNNNNNNNNNNNNNNNNNNNNNNNNNNNNNNNNNNNNNNNNNNNNNNNNNNNNNNNNNNNNNNNNNNNNNNNNNNNNNNNNNNNNNNNNNNNNNNNNNNNNNNNNNNCCCCCUGCCUGGGCUCGGCGCGUGGAUGCCUUUUGGUCCCGGUUGGUGCCACCAACCGGGACCAAAGGCCCCCCUGCCUGGGCUCGGCGCACAGGCCACGUGGAGGACCAUCUAUCCCGGUUCGUGUUACAACCGGGACUAAAGGGGGGAGGUAUUAGUAACGACCCAUUAGUCCCGGUUCAUGAACCGGGAGUAAAGGCCCUCACGAACCGGGACUAAUAGGUGUUUGUCUACUAGUGAUAAGCCUAUGACUUAUGAAGUUGGUGAGAAGGCUUACCUUCGGGUUACACCUUUAAAGGGAACCCAUCGAUUCGGUAUCAAGGGCAAGUUGGCCCCUUGUUACAUUGGACCCUUUUGCAUUCUUGCCAAACGAGGGGAAGUUGCCUACCAGUUGGAACUACCUCCACAUCUUUCUAGAGUUCAUGAUGUCUUCCACGUCUCUCAACUCAGGCAUUGCUUCUCGAAUCAUAUCCGCGAAGUAGACCAUGAAACGCGUGAUCUCCAAGAAAAUCUCACUUAUCGAGAAUAUCCAAUUCGCAUCCUUGAUCAAGCCGAGCGUACCACUCGACGCCAGAAUAUCAAGUUUCUCAAGGUUCAAUGGUCACACCACUCCGAUCAAGAAGCAACUUGGGAAAGGGAGGAUCAUCUACGACUUGAGUAUCCCACCUUCUUCCCGAUAGACCCUAAAUCUCGGGAUGAGAUUCUUUUGAGUGGGGGUGAGUUGUCACAACCUAGCUAGUCCAUGCAUUAGAGUGUUGCAUCAUGUCUACCUUUUAUCAGAAACUUGAAUUGGGGAAGACAGAACCCCCCCAGAACCCCUCUAAAUUCAACUAGUGCUUACUAAAAAUAUUUUCAAUGAACCUGAAAUGCCCUUCUAAAAAGUUCACCCUCUUUGUCUUGGGUUAGAACCUCUGGCAAAAUUGGUGCACAAUUUUCUAGGUCAACAGAAGGCCAUUGAAUUAAAUCAUAUCUACUUUGAGUUUGGGCAUUUAAACUAUAUAAAAUAUUUCAAAUGCUCAAAUAACUCCAAACUAAAAUGUUCCAUACUGGAUAUAUUCCAACUAGCGACCAUGUGCAGUUUGGUGAUUUUUGGAGUUGCCUAAGUAUUUUUAGAAAUGCAACAAACUUACAGAAACAAUUAAAAACAGAAACAAAUGGGGAAAAAACCCUUACCUGGCCGAACCAAGCCCCAGCCCAGCUGGCCGGCCCAGCACUGUGCUGGCCCAUGCCAGCCAGCUGCUUUGCCAUCGCCACGCAGGCACAGAGCUGACGCCAGCGAGUGUGAGCUCGCCACGGCGCCAACUGCUUGCCGCCCGCGCCACCGAGCACCUGGGUGAGCUCCACGUCGCCACCCCGACCCCGUGGACACCUCAUUCGCCCCCCUGCCUCUUCCCUCGCUCUCCCGCACCAUGGCCGACGCACCCGUCGCCGCACCGCCGACGUAGUCGCGCCCUCCAUCGUCCCCGUGCUGCACCACCGUGUCCCUUCGCUCCGUCGUCAUCAACUACAUCGAGCAGGCCGAGCCCCGAGCGCUCGUGGGCCUUGCUUCGUCUUCUUUGACCUCAUCUUCACCGAGCACCACCGCAGAUCCCCUUCGCCGUCGCCGCUGCACCAGCUCGUCCCCGACCUCGCCGACCACUCCGUUGUGACCGCCGUGAGCUCAGCCACCUCCCCAUCCUCCCCGUUUGCCUUCUCGUGCACCGUAGCAGCCGCAUGGAGCUUCAUCGCACGCACCACCGCCGAGCUCGUCGCCGACGUGCCUCCGGCCAUCCACCGUCCACACCACGGUAUCUAACAUGCUCAUUGCAUCGCGUAGAGUCUAACGCCCCACUCCACGCGCCUCGCCGUGCCCCGUAGCCACGGGUCAAUUUUCACCCGACUCCGGCGACCGUCGCGGUCGUCGCUGCCGACGUUCCUGGCCACCUCGACCUCAACCACCACCACCAAACGCCGCGGCUUGUUCCUGGCUACACGUAGAUGGUCUUCGCCGUCCAUUUGGUCGCCGGAACGUGCUAACCCACUUCCUCUGCCGCAUCUGGCCUCGCCAGCGGCUAGACGCCGGCGUGUUUGACCCGUUGACGUUGACUGGGUGGGCCAGGUUGACUCCCCUGAGUCUAUGACAAGUGGGCCCCCCCCUCUGCUAAUUAACCUAGUUUAGUUCUUACUAAAAUCAGUUAGUUUAAAUAAGUGCUGACAUGCGGGACCCACUGGUCAGUUUGACCUGAACGACCCCUUUGACCAUUGACGUCACCCUGAUGCACUGCUGACGCAAUAACCAAUUUCUGGAUUUAUUGUUAUAUAGGAAAUUCCAGAAAUUGUUGCAAACUUCAAAAAUUCAUAGAAAUUAAUCUGUAACUCCAAAUGCAAAGAUUUAUAUAUGAAUUUCGAUCAAAAAAAUUCAAUAUAUCCAUUGGUAAUGGUUUCAUGCAUGUCAGAACAAGUUAACCUUGUUGUUUAAUCAAAACAAGUUAAUGCACUAAUAUGACUAUGUUAAAUGAACUACCAUUUGCAUCUUUGAUUCAAAUGAGUUCAUACCUUUCUGUUCUAGCUUGCAUUAGGCCAGGACACAUUCAUGUUGCCAUGUCAUAGCAUGCAUCAUAUUGUUGCAUAUCGUCAUGUGUGGUUCAUGUUCGGUGUGUUUUCGUGAUAGGUUCUGCCUCCGAGGAUAACCCCGAAUAUCCGUCUGAAGGGCAGUAUCCUACUACCACUACAUCAGGCAAGCAACCCAUUGAUCAUUCUGAUACAAACCCAUGUUCUCGCCUCUGCUCUUGUUUACUGCAUUAAGAUAACGCGAUUCAAACUGUUGUGUGUUGUGGUAGUUGAACCCACUUCCUUUGCAUGACCUGUCAUUGCCACGGUAACUAGAUGAAACCCACUAGCAUGUGUAGGAGUUGAUUGAGCCAUAUCUGUGUUACCUACCAUGCUAUGCUUGCUAUGCUUAGAGUUGUGUCAGGUCUGGCUCAUCAGGAUGAUGAACUAGAGUGAAAGGUUGUGUCGGUAACGAGAGUGAAGUGUUGAACACGAUUUGGUAAAGGUAUCGAUGAGAGGCCAUGUAGGAGUACAUGGUGGGUUGUUUCAUUGAGGCCGUCCUUAAGCACUGAGAUCUGUGUGUGUGAUUUAAGAUUCAGCUACUACCACGCAUUGGGCCCAAAACCAAUGGACCCUCUCGACUUAUUAACCACUCUUGUCCUCAGUCCGGGAGUUGCAAGUAGUUUCUGGUGUUUGUAGCAUGCUGGGGGCCGCACGCAGCGCUGACCUUAGGGGUGGGUUGUGUUGCGGUAGGCACGUGGCACGGUGUAUCGAUUCGCCCGUUUGGUGUCUCGGGAACCCUGUUCACAUCGUUCGGGGCCGUUAGUGGAAACCUCGGCCGGACUCCCUGCGGAUGGAACCCAAAUAGGCGAUAAACCUGGACUAGGGACUCGUGUGUUUAGUCAGGCCAUGGCCGACACCCUUGCUGGGCUUCCGCUUGAAGGUUGCCGAGUACACGUCAUGUAGUGGCGAUAAGUGGUGAGAGCGUGUGUGAAGAAGUACACCCCUGCAGGGUACAAAACUAUUCGAAUAGCCGCGUCCACGGUAAAGGACUACUUGGUCACCUAUACAGUUCAUAGACAAGUAAAUGGAUACUUCUAAAAGCCUCAAGAUAAGUGUGAGUGCCGCGGAUGGCCCUGUCGUAGGUUGACGAGAGAGGAUCCACGGUGGAGUAUUGUGUUGGUGAGUAGUGGACUCGUGUGCGACAAAUGUUUUGCAAGUUGUGUCUAUCGUUGGAUAGCUUAGCCAAGAGUCAAAGCUGGCUUGCUGCAAUAACUCCACUACCUUCUUGAGAAUGUGCAUGUAUGAUAGGAUUCUGUUGUAAGACUUGCUGAGUACCUCUGUACUCAUGUUUGCUUAAUUAAUGUUUUCAGACGACAACACCAACCCCUCCGAUGGGUUCUACGUAGACCUCGACGUUGACGAGUGACUAGCCACCCAAGUGGUGAUCCAAGACUUGUGAAGGGCCGAUGUAGAUAGAAAGGCUUCAUCAAGCCCUCUUUCUUUCUAGUGUCUGUACUCAGACUAGUUGCUUCCGCAUGUGCUUGUAUGCUUGUAUGACUUGAGUGUCAGGUCAUGUGACCCCUAUCUGUAUGAACAUGUUAUGUAUGGCUCCUCGGAGCCACUUAAAUAAAGUACUUUGAGUUGUAGAGUUUUGUUGUGAUGCCAUGUUGUAUGUACUCAUAUCGGGCAUAUUGUGUGUAUGUUUGAAAUGCUUGGUAUGAGUGGGAUCCGACAAUCUAGUUGUUUAUCCUUGGCAGCCUCUCAUAUGGGGAAAUGUAGUCUAGUGCUUCUUGAGCGAUAGUAGUCCGCUACAGCCCGGUUCACCGGAGUCCUGCUAGCCCAGUACUACUGCUCUGGACACUUGACUGGCCGGCAUGUGUUUCACUUUGUUCCUGUGUCUGUCCCUUCGGGGAAAUGUCAAGCGGUGGCAUCCGGAGUCCUGCCUAGCCUGCUACAGCCCGGGUUACCGGAGUCCUGUUAGCCCAGCGUUACAUCCCGGAUGUAUACGUUGAUGACCAACAUGCUCGAUGUGAUUCAUGUAUGCAUGUCCCCAUAGGUUAGCGCCGCUUGGGUUCACGACUAGCCAUGUCGGCCCGGGUUCUCAGUCAUGUGGAUGCUAGCGACACUAUCAUAUACGUGAGCCAAAAGGCGCAAACGGUCUCGGGCCAUGGUAAGGCGCCACCCGUGGGAUUACCGUGCGUGAGGCCGCAAAGUGAUAUGAGGUGUUACCGGCUGGAUCAAUGUGACUUGGAAUCGGGGUCCUGACAAUUACUUGCUCCUAUCAUAUGUUUGGUUGCAACAAUGUCACUUCUUCACAUAUGCCAUGUCCCAUUGCUUGUCUCAUGCUUGACUUCAUUGCCUCACACAUGAUGAACAAUUGCUCUUUAUAUUGUGUUGAGUGUUACACUAUAUUCACUACAUCCUAUGCACGUUAUGUUUGGAUUGUCUUGCACUUGACCCAUGUGUUUAGACACUUCAUUUUAUUUGGUGUUGUGAAUCCUUCCUAUGCCUACCAUAGACCUUUCAUUGAGCAAUUUGUGAAUGCUUGCUAUGACCUCGAGGUAGAUGCUUAUGCUCUUGUCACACAUAUUUGCAUCUCUACCUCACAUUUACAUGCUUGUUCCCAUGAUAUUUUUGCUUGUGCUCGAUUGAUAUGCUUACAUGCCAUGUCACAAUCCUUUGUCACACCCUAUGCUAUGCUUGAUGACAACACUUGUUUGGUGAAUCACCUCUUGAAUGCUUGGUUUUGCACGAACGCAAACCACAUUUGUUUUUCCACGGGUUUGUUCUAUUUGCUCCUUUUGAAGGAAUCACAAGAUGGUGCGACACUGGAGAGUGCCCACUUCGAGCUACUAGACGAUGAGUGCUUGGUGAUCGACCACUUCGAUAUGGCACCGCCAUCUCUUUCCUAUGGUGAUUUGGUUUUCGAUCCGAGGUCGAAUCCUUCUCAAGGGGGAGGGGAUGAUGCGGAGCAUCCUAUGGACAUCACCAUGUCAAGAGUCCAUUCGGCAAGUGACACGUGCGACAUCUACUUCUCAUACAUAAAGGUGAAUCUUCUCCUUUACACGUGUUCACUUGACCCCUUCGAGGAUGGUAUACUACUUGACACUUCUCCCGUGUGCAUGCAUAGGUAUUGUCAGAGCUUUACGGAUGUCGAGGAGUGCAAGCGCCAAGGAACGACUACACCGUCCGCGAGGGAAGCAUGGAAGAGAAGGAGGAAGAGAACCUGGUGUUGGGGAACGUAGUAAUUUCAAAAUUUUCCUACGCACAUGCAAGAUCAUGGUGAUGAUAUAGCAACGAGGGGAGAGUGUUGUCUACGUACCCUCGUAGACCGAAGCGGAAGCGUUGACGCAGCGUAGAGGAAGUAGUCCUACGUCCUCCCGGUCCGACCGAUCCAAGCACCGUUACUCCGGCACCUCUGAGUUCUUGACACACGUACAGCUCGAUGACGCACCCUCGAUCUCCAAUCCAGUAGAGGCUCCAAGGGGGAGUUCCGUCAGCACGACGGCGUGGUGACUAUCUUGAUGUUCUCCUGUCGCAGGGCUUCGCCUAAGCACCGCUACAAUAUGACCGAGGUGUAAUAUCGUGGAGGGGGGCACCGCACACGGCUAAGGAACGAUCAAUGAUCAACUUGUGUGUUCUAGGGUGCCCCCUACCCCCGUAUAUAAAGGAGGGAGGGAGGAGGUGGCCGACCCAAGGAGGGGGCGCGCCAUGGGAGGAGGAAACCUACUCCAAGUAGGUUUCCCCUCUUUUUCCUUAUCUUAUUUGGAGGGGGAAGGAAGGAGUACUAGUAGUAGGAAGGAGUACUAGUAGUAGGAAAGGAAGAGGGGGAAGGAGAAAGGAAAGGGGGGGCCGGCCCCCCUCCCCAAUUCGGAUUGGGCUUGGGGGGGCGCGCCCCCCUCCCUUGCUCCUUCUCCCUUCCUCCUACAUGGGCCCAAUAAGGCCCAUAUACCUCCCGGGGGGGUUUCGGUAACCUCCCGGAGCUCCAAACUCUUCCGGAACCUUUCCGGUGUCCAAAUAUAUCCGUCCAAUAUAUCGAUCUUUAUGUAUCGACCAUUUCGAGACUCCUCGUCAUGUCCGUGAUCAUAUCCGGGACUCCGAACAAACUUCGGUACAUCAAAAUACAUAAACUCAUAAUAUAACUGUCAUCGAAACCUUAAGCGUGCGGACCCUACGGUUCGAGAACGAUGUAGACAUGACCGAGACAUGUCUCUGGUCAAUAACCAAUAGCGGGACCUGGAUGCCCAUAUUGGUUCCUACAUAUUCUACGAAGAUCUUUAUCGGUCAAACCGCAUAACAGCAUACGUUGUUCCCUUUGUCAUUGGUAUGUUACUUGUCCGAGAUUUGAUCGUCGGUAUCCAAUACCUAGUUCAAUCUCGUUACCGACAAGUCUCUUUACUCGUUCUGUAAUACUUCAUCUCAUAACUAACUCAUUAGUUAUAUGCUUGCAAGGCUUAUGUGAUGAGCAUUACCGAGAGGGCCCAGAGAUACCUCUCCGACAAUCGGAGUGACAAAACCUAAUCUCGAAUUAUGCUAACUCAACAUGUACCUUCGGAGACACCUGUAGUACUCCUUUAUAAUCACCCAGUUACGUUGUGACGUUUGGUAGUACCCAAAGUGUUCCUCCGAUAAACGGGAGUUACACAAUUCUCAUAGUUACAGGAACAUGUAUAAGUCAUGAAGGAAGCAAUAGCAGAAUACUAAACGAUCAAGUGCUAAGCUAACGGGAUGGGUCAUGUCAAUCACAUCAUUCUCCUAAUGAUGUGAUCCCAUUAAUCAAAUGACAACACAUGUCUAUGGUUAGGAAACAUAACCAUCUUUGACUAAUGAGCUAGUCAAGUAGAGGCAUACUAGUGACUAUAUGUUUGUCUAUGUAUUCACACAUGUAUCAUGUUUCCGGUUAAUACAAUUCUAGCAUGAAUAAUAAACAUUUAUCAUGAUAUGAGGAAAUAAAUAAUAACUUUAUUAUUGCCUCUAGGGCAUAUUUCCUUCAGUCUCCCACUUGCACUAGAGUCAAUAAUCUAGUUCACAUCGCCAUGUGAUUUAACACCAAUAUUCAUAUCUGUAUAUGAUUAACACCCAUAGUUCACAUCAUCAUGUGACCAACAUCCAAAGUGUUUACUAGAGUCAAUAAUCUAGUUCACAUCGCUAUGUGAUUAACACCCAAAGAGUACUAAGGUGUGAUCAUGUUUUGCUCGUGAGAGAAGCUCAGUCAACGGGUCUGUCACAUUCAGAGCCAUAUGUAUUUUGCAAAUAUUCUAUGUCUACAAUGCUCUGCACGGAGCUACUCUAGCUAAUCGCUCCCACUUUCAAUAUGUAUCCAGAUUGAGACUUAGAGUCAUCUGGAUCGGUGUGAAAACUUGCACCGAGAUAACUUUUACGACGGGCUCUUUUAUCACCUCCAUAAUCGAGAAAUAUUUCCUUAGUCCUCACUAAGGAUAUUCUUGACCAAUGUCCAGUGAUCUACUCCUAGAUCACUAUUGUACUCCCUUGUCAAAUACAGAGCAAGGUAUACAAUAGGUCUGGUACAUAGCAUGGCAUACUUUAUAGAACCUAUGACUGAGGCAUAGGGAAUGACUUUUCAUUCUCUUUCUAUUUUCUGCUGUGGUCGGGAUUUGAGUCUUACUCAAUUUCAUACCUUUGCAACACAGGCAAGAACUCUUUCUUUGACUGUUCCAUUUUGAACUACUUCAAAAUCUUGUCAAGGUAUGUACUCAUUGAAAAUCUUAUCAAGCGUCUUGAUCUAUCUCAAUAGAUCUUGAUGCUCAAUAUGUAUGUAGUUUUACUGAGGUCUUUCUUUGAAAAAACUCUUAUUCAAGUAUCCUUUAAUGCUUUGCAGAAUAAUUCUACAUUAUUUCCGAUCAGCAAUAUGUCAUUCACAUAUACUUAUCAGAAAUGCUGUAGUGCUCCCACUCACUUUCUUGUAAAUACAGGCUUCACCGCAAGUCUGUAUAAUACUAUAUGCUUUGAUCAACUUAUCAAAGCGUAUAUUCCAACUCUGAGAUGCUUGCACCAGUCCAUAGAUGGAUUGCUGGAGCUUGCACAUUUUGUUAGCACCUUUAGGAUUGACAAAACCUUCUGGUUGUAUCAUAUACAACUCUUCUUUAAUAAAUUCAUUAAGGAAUGUAGUUUUGACAUCCAUUUGCCAAAUUUCAUAAAAUGUGGCAAUUGCUAACAUGAUUCGGACAAACUUUUAAGCAUCGAUACGAGUAAGAAAAUCUCAUCGUAUUCAACACCUUGAACUUUGUCAAAAACCUUUUUUCGACAAGUCUAGCUUUGUAGAUAGUAACACUACUAUCAACGUCCGUCUUCCUCUUGAAGAUCCAUUUAUUCUUAAUGACUCACUGAUCAUCGGGCAAGUCAAUCAAAGUCUACACUUUGUUCUCAUACAUGGAUCAUAUCUCAGAUUUCAUGGCCCCAAGCCAUUUCGUGGAAUCUGGGCUCAUCAUCGCUUCCUCAUAGUUCGUAGGUUCAUCAUGGUCUAGUAACAUGACUUCCAGAACAUGAUUACCGUACCACUCUGGUGCGGAUCUUACUCUGGAAGACCUACGAGGUUUGGUAGCAACUUGAUCUGAAGUUUGAUGAUCAUCAUCAUUAACUUCCUCACUAAUUGGUGUAGGAAUCACUGGAACUGAUUUCUGUGAUGAACUACUUUCCAAUAAGGGAGAAGGUACAAUUACCUCAUCAAGUUUUACUCUCCUCCCACUCACUUCUUUCGAGAGAAACUCCUUCUCUGGAAAGGAUCCAUUUUAGCAACGAAUGUCUUGCCUUCGGAUCUGUGAUAGAAGGUGUACCCAACAAUUUCCUUUGGGUAUUCUAUGAAGACGCACUUCUCCGAUUUGGGUUCGAGCUUAUCAGGAUGAAACUUUUUCACAUAAGCAUCGCAGCCCCAAACUUUAAGAAACAACAGCUUAGGUUUACUGCUAAACCAUAGUUCAUACGGUGUCGUCUCAACGGAUUUAAAUGGUGCCCUAUUUUAAAACGUGAAUGCAGCUGUCUCUAAUGCAUAACCCCAAAACGAUAGUGGUAAAGAGACAUCAUAGAUCGCACCAUAUCAAAUAAAGUGCGGUUACGACGUUCGGACACACCAUAACGAUGUGGUGUUCCAGGUGGUGUGAGCUGUGAAACUAUUCCACAUUGUUUUAAUUGAAGACCAAACUCGUAACUCAAAUAUUUGUCUCCGCUAUCAGAUCGCAGAAACUUUAUUUUCUUGUUACGAUGAUUUUUCCACUUCACUCUGAAAUUCUUUGAACCUUUCAACUAUUUCAGACUUAUGUUUCAUCAAGUAGAUAUACCCAUAUCUGCUCAAAUCAUCUUGUGAAGGUCAGAAAAUAACGAUACUUGCCACGAGCCUCAACACUCAUUGGAUCGCAUACAUCGGUAUGUAUUAUUUCCAAUAAGUCAGUAGCUUGUUCCAUUAUUCCGGAGAACGGAGUUUUAGUCAUCUUGCCCAAAAGGCACGGUCCGCAAGCAUCAAAUGAUUCAUAACCAAGUGAUUCCGAAAAUCCAUCUUUAUGGAGUUUCUUCAUGCGCUUUACACCGAUAUGACCCAAACGGCAGUGCCACAAAUAAGUUGCACUAUCAUUAUUAACUUUGCAUCUUUUGGCUUCAAUAUUAUGAAUGUGUGUAUCACACGAUCGAGAUCCAACAAACCAUUUUCAUUGGGUGUAUAACCAUAGAAAGUUUUAUUCAUGAAAACAGAACAACAAUUAUUCUCUAACUUACAUGAAUAACCGUAUUGCAAUAAACAUGAUCAAAUCAUAUUCAUUCUCAACGCAAACACCAAAUAACACUUAUUUAGGUUUAACACUAAUCCCGGAAGUAUAGGGAGUGUGCGAUGAUGAUCAUAUCAAUCUUGGAACUAUUUCCAACACACAUCGUCACUACACUCUUAACUAGUCUCUGUUUAUUCUGCAACUCCCGUUUCGAGUUACUAAUCUUAGCAACCGAACAAGUAUCAAAUACUUAGGGGCUACUAUAAACACUAGUAUGGAACACAUCAAUAAUCUGUAUAUCAAAUAUACCCUUGUUCACUUUGCCAUCCUUCUUAUCAACCAAAUAUUCAGGGCAUUUCCGCUUCCAGUGACCAUUUCCUUUGCAGUGUAAACACUCAGUUUCAGGCUAUGGUCCAGCUUUGGGCUUGUCUUUCCACUUGAAGUUCCCUUUCUUUCCCUUUGCCCUUCUCUUGAAACUAGUGGUCUUGUCAAUCAUCAACACUUGAUGCUCUUUCUUGAUUUCUACCUUCGUCGAUUUCAACAUCACGAAGAGCUCGGGAAUCAUUUUUUCGUCAUCCCUUGCAUACUAUAGUUCAUCACGAAGUUCUAGUAACUUAGUGAUGGUGACUAGAGAAUUCUGUCAAUCACUAUCUUAUCUGGAAGAUUAACUCCCACUUGAUUCAAGCGAUUGAAGUACCCAGACAAUCUGAGCACAUGCUCACUAGUUGAGCGAUUCUCCUCCAUCUUUUAGCUAUAGAACUUGUUGGAGACUUCAUAUCUCUCAACUCGGGUAUUUGCUUGAAAUAUUAACUUCAAUUCCUGGAACAUCUCAUAUGGUCCAUGAUGUUCAAAACAUCUUUGAAGUCCCGAUUCUAAGCCGUUAAGCAUGGUGCACAAAACUAUCAAGUAGUCAUCAUAUUGAGCUAGCCAAACGUUCAUAACGUCUACAUUUGCUCCUGCAUUAGGUCUUUCACCUAGCGGUGCAUUAAGGACAUAAUUCUUCUGUGCAGCAAUGAGGAUAAACCUCAGAUCACGGAUCCAAUCCGCAUCAUUGCUACUAACAUCUUUCAACACAGUUUUCUCUAGGAACAUAUCAAAAUAAACAUAUGAAAGCAACAACGCGAGCUAUUGAUCUAUAACACAAUUUGCAAAAUACUACCAGGACUAAGUUCAUGAUAAAUUAAAGUUCAAUUAAUCAUAUUACUAAAGAACUCCCACUUAGACAGACAUCUCUCUAGUCAUCUAAGUGAUCACGUGAUCCAAAUCAACUAAACCAUGUCCGAUCAUCACGUGAGAUGGAGUAGUUUCAAUGGUGAACAUCGCUAUGUUGAUCAUAUCUACUAUAUGAUUCACGCUCGACCUUUCGGUCUCCGUGUUCCGAGGCCAUAUCUGUAUAUGCUAGGCUCGUCAAGUAUAACCUGAGUAUUCCGCAUGUGCAACUGUUUUGCACCCGUUGUAUUUGAACGUAGAGCCUAUCACACCCGAUCAUCACGUGGUGUCUCAGCACGAAGAACUUUCGCAACGGUGCAUACUCAGGGAGAACACUUCUUGAUAAUUAGUGAUAGAUCAUCUUAAAAUGCUACCGUCAAUCAAAGCAAGAUAAGAUGCAUAAAGGAUAAACAUCACAUGCAAUCAAUAUAAGUGAUAUGAUAUGGCCAUCAUCAUCUUGUGCUUGUGAUCUCCAUCUCCGAAGCACCGUCGUGAUCACCAUCGUCACCGGCGCGACACCUUGAUCUCCAUCGUAGCAUCGUUGUCGAUUACGCCAUCUAUUGCUUCUACGACUAUCGCUACCGCUUAGUGAUAAAGUAAAGCAAUUACAGGGCGUUUCCAUUUCAUACAAUAAAGUGACAACCAUAUGGCUCCUGCCAGUUGCCGAUAACUUCGGUUACAAAACAUGAUCAUCUCAUACAAUAAAAUAUAGCAUCACGUCUUGGCCAUAUCACAUCACAACAUGCCCUGCAAAAACAAGUUAGACGUCCUCUACUUUGUUGUUGCAAAUUUUACGUGGCUGCUACGGGCUUAGCAAGAACCGUUCUUACCUACGCAUCAAAACCACAACGAUAGUUUGUCAAAUAGACUCCGUUUUAACCUUCACAAGGACCGGGCGUAGCCACACUCGGUUCAACUAAAGUUGGAGAAACAGACACCCGCCAGUCACCUGUGUGCAAAGCAUGGCGGUAAAACCAGUCUCGCGUAAGCGUACGCGUAAUGUCGGUCCGGGCCGCUUCAUCCAACAAUACCGCUGAACCAAAGUAUAACAUGCUGGUAGGCAGUAUGACUUAUAUCGUCCACAACUCACUUGUGGUCUACUCGUGCAUAUAACAUCAACGAAUAAAACCUAGGCUCUGAUGCCACUGUUGGGGAACGUAGUAAUUUCAAAAUUUUCCUACGCACAUGCAAGAUCAUGGUGAUGAUAUAGCAACGAGGGGAGAGUGUUGUCUACGUACCCUCGUAGACCGAAGCGGAAGCGUUGACGCAACGUAGAGGAAGUAGUCGUACGUCCUCCCGGUUCGACCGAUCCAAGCACCGUUACUCCGGCACCUCCGAGUUCUUGACACACGUACAGCUCGAUGACGCACCCUCGAUCUCCAAUCCAGUAGAGGCUCCGAGGGGGAGUUCCGUCAGCACAACAGCGUGGUGACUAUAUUGAUGUUCUCCUGUCGCAGGGCUUCGCCUAAGCACCGCUACAAUAUGACCGAGGUGUAAUAUCGUGGAGGGGGGCACCGCACACGGCUAAGGAACGAUCAAUGAUCAACUUGUGUGUUCUAGGGUGCCCCCCUACCCCCGUAUAUAAAGGAGGGAGGGAGGAGGUGGCCGGCCCAAGGAGGGGGCGCGCCAUGGGAGGAGGAAACCUACUCCAAGUAGGUUUCCCCUCUUUUUCCUUAUCUUAUUUGGAGGGGGAAGGAAGGAGUACUAGUAGUAGGAAGGAGUACUAGUAGUAGGAAAGGAAGAGGGGGAAGGAGAAAGGAAAGGGGGGGCCGGCCCCCUCCCCAAUUCGGAUUGGGCUUGGGGGGGCGCGCCCCCCUCCCUUGCUCCUUCUCCCUUCCUCCUACAUGGGCCCAAUAAGGCCCAUAUACCUCCCGGGGGGUUCCGGUAACCUCCCGAAGCUCCAAACUCUUCCGGAACCUUUCCGGUGUCCAAAUAUAUCCGUCCAAUAUAUCAAUCUUUAUGUCUCGACCAUUUCGAGACUCCUCGUCAUGUCCGUGAUCACAUCCGGGACUCCGAACAAACUUUGGUACAUCAAAAUACAUAAACUCAUAAUAUAACUAUCAUCGAAAACUUAAGCGUGCGGACCCUACGGUUCGAGAACGAUGUAGACAUGACCGAGACAUGUCUCUGGUCAAUAACCAAUAGUGGGACCUGGAUGCCCAUAUUGGUUCCUACAUAUUCUACGAAGAUCUUUAUCGGUCAAACCGCAUAACAGCAUACGUUGUUCCCUUUGUCAUCGGUAUGUUACUUGUCCGAGAUUUGAUCGUCGGUAUCCAAUACCUAGUUCAAUCUCGUUACCGACAAGUCUCUUUACUCAUUCUGUAAUACUUCAUCUCAUAACUAACUCAUUAGUUAUAUGCUUGCAAGGCUUAUGUGAUGAGCAUUACCGAGAGGGCCCAGAGAUACCCCUCCGACAAUCGGAGUGACAAAACCUAAUCUCGAAUUAUGCUAACUCAACAUGUACCUUCGGAGACACCUGUAGUACUCCUUGAUAAUCACCCAGUUACGUUGUGACGUUUGGUAGUACCCAAAGUGUUCCUCCGGUAAACGGGAGUUACACAAUUCUCAUAGUUACAGGAACAUGUAUAAGUCAUGAAGGAAGCAAUAGCAGAAUACUAAACGAUCAAGUGCUAAGCUAACGGGAUGGGUCAUGUCAAUCACAUCAUUCUCCUAAUGAUGUGAUCCCAUUAAUCAAAUGACAACACAUGUCUAUGGUUAGGAAACAUAAUCAUCUUUGACUAAUGAGCUAGUCAAGUAGAGGCAUACUAGUGACUAUAUGUUUGUCUAUGUAUUCACACAUGUAUCAUGUUUCCGGUUAAUACAAUUCUAGCAUGAAUAAUAAACAUUUAUCAUGAUAUGAGGAAAUAAAUAAUAACUUUAUUAUUGCCUCUAGGGCAUAUUUCCUUCACCUGGCCGCUCCAGAACGAGCGGUACUACCGCCCACUCCAAGCGGUACUACCGCUGAGGCCACCCAAGAGGCACUACCGCCCAGCAUCCGCCCUACUACCGCUCAACCCGACAAACUCCAGUGAUCGAGCGGUAUAAGCCCGGUACUACCGCCCCUCCAAGCGGUACUACCGCUCAAGCGGUACUACCACCCAUGAGUCCGGUACUACCGCCCUGCUUGUGAGCAGCCGCGGGCCUUUGGCCUUGUAUCCCUCUCCCACUUACCCCUUCGUGGCUUAGACUAUAAAUAGACCACCUCCACCUCCUUUCUAGGGUUAGAACAGAUUGAGCUUAUUUUGAGAUAGAGCUUUACUCAUCCAUACGGAUCUACUCCUCGUGAGAGACUGCGGCCUCUUCGGAGAAGAUCGAUCUUGGAUUCAAGACCCCUCGUGGGAAGAUCCGUCUAGGAUCAUCAAGACCUCCUCUUGGAGAUGAACCUUACCUUGUAUCUUUCCCUUUGUUGUUCAUGUACCCUUGUGGAUCUUGUGUGUUUGAUUGUCUAGUGGAUGUGUGAUUGGACUUGUUCUUGAGUGUUUCCCCUUGUGAUUUCUCUCCGUUCUUCCCUGUGUUCUUCGUGUUCUUCGUGGGGAUCCACUCCAAACGUGAAAAAUCGGCCUCUAGGGUUCUACCCUACAUCAUCAUCCUUCAAAAAUAUGGAGGGCCAUUAUUGACGGAAGGGAUAUUAUAUGGCGCAAGGUAUAAUCAGACGCAUCGGGGAUGGAGCGACUACACACAUAUGGGAUCACAACUGGAUUAUGAUGGAAAGCUAUAAGAGGCCAAUAACUAAGUUAGUGCAGAACCCCCCUCAGAAACAUUUUAUGUAUACACGUUAACAUUUCCCAGAUAUAUGAUUAAUAUUUUUGGAAAACUUCUAUUUUUUAUGUGUACUUUUUUAUACAUUUUGUAAUAUCAGAAAUAGUUUUUAUAGAAGGUUUAACAUUUUUCAAAUACAUGAUUACCUUUUUGUAAACUUAUAUUGUUUGACGUUUACUUUUUUUCAUAGACAUAGUGAGGGGUUAUAUCUAAGGAAUAGGCCCAAGUACAUGUAUGGCACAACCAAAUGCCCAUGUUAAUCAAGGAUGUUCCACAAGACAAAUGGGGAAACACACCAAGGCCAAUGGAGCUACAAGGCCAAGGCAUCGGAUACAAGGGGAGAGUCAACUAUGUACAGUCGGAUUACACAGCCCUUAACAGACAAGACUCAUCAGUUGGUCCACUAUUGGAAUCAGGUCAUUUGCCGUCAGCCCAGAAUAGACGCGAAGACUUUGCCGUGAGCAAGUUGACGACAAACACAAUCAGCAAAGACUAUAUCGGCAGAGAGCUAAUUUGACGUCAACUUUUCAUCGCGCUGAUGACAAAGACUUUGCCGUCAAUUAAACUAUGUGUUUGUAGUCUGUAGAGAAAACACAAACGGCAAAGAAAUUAAAAAAAUGGUCAUUUUAAAAUAAUUUUUAGAAAUCUAUAUACUGUUUUUUAAAAUGUUUAAUAUGUACCAAGAAUUAUUUCGUAAGUAUACAAAAGAUGUAUAACGUGUAUGAAAAUUACGUAGACAUCAGAACAUAUUAUAGAAAUGUUAAUCUUGUAUUUAAAAAUUUUAAAUACACAUGCAUAAAAAUGUUUUUGAUGUACAUAAAAAAAUUGUACAUAGUGUGUGAACAAAGUAUGCAUUGAAAAAACAAAAAUCUUGUUGGAAAAAAAUCUCGUGUUGUAUACGAAAAUGUAAAAGGUGUAUGAAAAUAAUUAGAUAUAUGUUUAAUGAAAAAAGGAAAGAAGGCGCAAAAAAUCCGAUUAACACCAAGAUAGGAACAAGAAAACCUGAAGAAGACCAUUGAAAAAAAGAAAUGAAUACAAGAAAGAGGAAGAAAAACAAAAAAAAUGAAGAAGCUGAUGCAGAACAGGGAACUUAGUGAAAACGAAUAAAAAUUGAUGAAAACCGAGAAGAAAAACAAGAAAACUGAAGCAAAAAUUAAGAAAAAUAUGUAAAAAAAAUGAUGAAACAUUGCGAAACAGUGAAAUACUAUGAAAACCAAAGGAAAAAAAGACUCAAAAAUAAGAACGUACAGCAAGCGAAUGAACAACAACUGAGUGAACGAGCGAACAUGCGAGAAUACGUUAAUUGUCUGGCCCAUACUUGUGGAUUCCAGAGGCGAGCCAGAAUAGGCGAGAUAUAGCUAUGACGAUUUGAUACCCUUCAUAGCUUCACGAAUGCUAUAUCUCGCUCACAGCGAAAGUAUUUUUUGUCUGGCCUGAAGGUGAAAGAAUAGCAUCAGGUCGCUGUAAGUUUUGUGAUCCUACAAUCAGAGCUCGAUAAGAUUAAAAUUCAUGUUUCUGACAACCAGUCAUUCGCUCACUCAAUUCCACGUACUAGUUUGGUUAGGUUUUUUUUUCAUUUUUUUCUGUUUUUUAUUUCUUCACUGGCUUUCUUUGGUUUUUUUAUCGGUUUUCUUUGUUUCCUUCACGUUUUACUCUUUCUUUUCCUUUUUACUGGUUUAUCUAUUCCUUUUUUCUUUGUUUCUUUCUUGGUUUUCUUUGUUUUUUCUUUCUUUUGAUGUCAACCUUUUUACAUACACAUUCAACAAUUUUCGUAUACAUCAGAAACAUUUUAUGUAUACACGUUAACAAUUCCCAGGUACAUGAUUAAUAUUUUUGGAAAACUUCUAUUUUUUAUGUGUACUUUUUGAUACAUUUUGUAUAUAUCAGAAAUAUUUUUUAUAGAAGGUUUAACAUUUUUUAAAUACAUGAUUACCUUUUUGUAAACUUAUAUUGUUUGACGUUUACUUUUUUUCAUAGACAUAGUGAGGGGUUAUAUCUAAGGAAUAGGCCCAAGUACAUAUAUGGCCCAAGUACAUUUAAUCAAGGAUGUAGUCCACAAGACAAAUGGGGAAACAGACGGGGGCCAAUGGAGCUACAAGGCCAAAGCAUCGGAUACAAGGGGAGAAUCUACAGUCGGAUUACACAACCCUUGACAGACAAGACUCAUUAGUUGGUCCGCUAUAGGAAUCGGGUAAUUUGCCGUCAGCCGAGAACAUACUCAAAGACUUUGCCGUCAGCAAGUUGAUGACAACUUUUCAUCACGUUGAUGACAAAGACUUUGCCGUCAAUUAAACUAUGUGUUUAUCGUCUAUAGAAAAAACACAAACGGCAAAGGAAAGCACCUUUGCCAUCAGCGGCUAAUCUGCAUGUGUCUUCAACAAGACUCGUCUUGUCACUAGCCUCAAACAUCACAGAUGGAAAAGAAAUUUUUUAUUUUAAAAAAUCUGCGUCGACCACCCUACUUCGCACAUGUAGCCACCGCCUGGCCGCGCUCGCUGAUCACCCACAAGUGUAGGGGAUCUAUCGUAGUCCUUUCGAUAAGUAAGAGUGUCGAACCGAACGAGGAGUAGAAGGAAAUGACAAGCGGUUUUUAGUAAGGUAUUCUCUGCAAGCACUGAAAUUAUCGGUAACAGAUAGUUUUGUGAUAAGGUAAUUCGUAACGGGUAACAAGUAACAACAGUAAAUAAAGUGCAGCAAGGUGGCACAAUCCUUUUUGUAGCAAACGACAAGCCUGGACAAAUUCUUAUAUGAAGGAAAACGCUCCCGAGGACACAUGGGAAUUAUCGUCAAGCUAGUUUUCAUCACGCUCAUAUGAUUCACGUUCAUUACUUUGAUAAUUUAAUAUGUGGAUGGACCGGUGCUUGGAUACUGCUCUUUCUUGGAUAAGCAUCCCACUUAUGAUUAACCCCUAUUGCAAGCAUCCGCAACUCAAAAGAAAUAUUAAGGUAAACCUAAUCAUAGCAUGAAACAUUGACACGGCACAUUAUAAAGAGUUCAACCCAAAUUUUGUAGUAACACUAUUAUAUUUAAAUAGUGAUUAUUCCAACACAUGGAUAAUUAAUUAAGGCACCAGGUUGCGCUUGUGACCAGGAAAGACAAACUUAUGAACUUGCAAGCAUGACAAUCAGAUCGACAUCCACACAAUGUCAAUAUGAACAUUGUCUUGAUACAACUUUAUUUGUAUUUUAUUUCAGAAUUUAAACAACUAGUUUGGGCGGGUCACACACGACGUUGUGUGACACUUUAUUUGUCACCGCUGCAUCGACAUAUCCAUCGACUAAACAACGGUGAUCCAACUAUAUAUUACUAGAGACCUUUCCUUAUCAGUAG